rnacentral:lncRNA from 1 species
GUCACCACCACCUAGUUCUCCGCCUCCCUCCAUGUCUGGAACCCCACCUCCAUUAGUACCUCCACCAUCCCCACCACCAUCACCACCAUCUUCACCGCCGCCAUCUUCUCCGGCAGCGCCGCCACCGGUGCCACCUAGCUCUCCACCGCCACCAUCACCAUCAGCACCUGUUCCACCAAACCCUCCUAACAACACAUCUCCACCACCAUCACAACCACCACAGUCACCAGCUCCACCACCACAACCACCAGCUCCACCACCACAACCACCAGCUCCACCACCACAACCACCAGCUCCACCACCUAACAACACUUCACCAUCACCACCACGAAAUUCGCCACCCUCUCCGGCCGCCACGCCACCACGGGCCUCCCCACCGCAAAAUUCACCAUCCCCUCCGGCUGUGCCGCCUCCUAGAAACUCCACUAGGUCACCGCCGUCGGCUAAUUCACCGCCACCGCCGGUGAAUGCACCGCCUCCGAGGUCAUCGGCUCCACCAGCACCCGAACCAUCCACUCCUCCUUCUAGGACUAGUACUCCUCCCACACCAAGUUCUCAACCAGCUCCAACUUCAAAUUCUACACCAAGGUCAUCACCUCCAUCACCACCUUCAACUACUAAUUUGGCCCCGCCACCGCCAUCGCGAGUUUUAUCAUCACCACUACCAUCACCGGCUCAGAAUGGGACAAAAAACCCAAGCCCUGAUGGAGGUGGAGAUGGAAUUGGCACCGGUGGUGUAGUGGCUAUUAGUGUGGUGGCUGGAUUUCUUCUUCUUGGCUUCAUUGGUGUUCUUAUAUGGUGCAUGAGAAGGCAAAAGAGAAAGCUGCCUGUGAGUGGUGGUUAUGUCAUGCCAUCCACUCUUGCCUCAUCUCCUGAAUCAGGUAAACAUACGUUGUUGUUUCUUUCUUAGCUUGUCAUUAUGUCUCAUACUUCUCAUGUUUUUAUCAUGUCCUCUUUUAUUUGGUAGUUUGGUGCUUUUGAAAUUUAAUAAGAUAGGGCACUCCCAUUAUUGUUGGUGCAUAUUAUGUUAGAUUAGAUUGGUUGAACCAAUCUAUCUGACUUUCUUAAUUUAUUAUGCCCAUACUUCCUGGCUACAUAAAAAAAUUUAGACCUUUACCAAUUUGUUGCCAUUAAAUUAAUUCAAAAGUGUGUGACUUUGUCCAGAUUCAUCCUUUUUUAAGACACACUCCUCAGCUCCUCUUGUACAAAGUGGCUCUGGCAGUGAUGUUGUGUACACACCAUCUGACCCUGGUGGACUAGGCAACUCAAGGUCAUGGUUUUCAUAUGAAGAACUAAUCAAGGUCACAAAUGGUUUCUCAACUCAAAAUCUUUUGGGCGAGGGUGGAUUUGGUUGUGUGUAUAAAGGGUGCCUUCCUGAUGGGAGAGACAUAGCAGUCAAACAGCUGAAGAUUGGUGGAGGUCAGGGAGAGAGAGAGUUCAAGGCCGAAGUGGAAAUUAUUGGUCGCAUACAUCAUCGCCAUUUGGUUUCUCUGGUGGGAUACUGCAUUGAAGACAGCAGAAGACUACUUGUCUAUGACUAUGUCCCUAACAAUAACCUUUAUUUUCAUCUACAUGGUAAAACUACAUCUGAGUGAUAAUAGAUUGUUUCAGUUUAUUUUGAUUGACUUUGAUUGUAUUAACUGAUAUUGUAAUUUGCAGGGGAAGGCCAGCCUGUGCUAGAAUGGGCAAACCGUGUUAAAAUUGCAGCUGGUGCAGCCCGAGGACUAGCUUAUCUCCAUGAAGACUGUAAUUACCAAUCCUUAUUAUUUUACUCUUUGUCUUGACAUGCACAUAAAUGCCUAUCAGUCCACUUUCCUUUUACGAAAUUUGAAUUUUUGGAAUUGGCUAAAAACAAUAUCAGAAUUUGAAUGAAUGUGAAUUGAUGAUGGGUGCUAGAAAACAUUGUAGUGCAGACAGUAGAUGUGGUUGGUAGCUAGAAGAUUAGACUUCUGUAUAUAUUUUUCCUGACAAAGAAGAAUGUCAUUAUUCUGAGGUCAUCCUAAGAAUUAGGUUUAGCUCAAAUUCCCUAGUAAAGUUACAAUUGGCUGAUCCGAGAAAUCAUUUGGUUGUUAUAAAAAACAAUAUUGUGAGGUUAUGAAAUCCUGAAAACAGCUUCUCCACUCAUGAGGGUAAGGCUGCGUAUAUCUAUCUUACCUUCCUCAGAGCCUGCUAGGUGGGAGUCUCUUGCACUAGGCUGUCCUUUUAAAUGCAAUAUUGCAGUGGAUAUAGAAAACAUAAAAUUGAAAGUUACUGCAACAAGGACGUCUUUAUAGUUGCUCUGUUCUAUCUACUUAAGUGAAUGUAUGAAUCAAAGGAUAGAUUACCUCAUACACAUGACCAUAAACAUGAAAGUCUCAUAUUUUUAACGCAGAUGAUAUGGUAACAGAAGUACACAGAAUAGUAGCCUGAUUUAUAAGCCUUCUUUGUGCUAGUUAGUGUUAAUUGACAAAAUGGAGAAUUCACAUAACCUAACUGUUAGGAGUCCCACAUUGAGUAUAAUAAACUACUUGAUGUGGUACUUAAGCCUUGAGGUUCUUUCACCUAAUGGACUAGUCUUUUGGGUUGGGCUCCCCCUCUUGUGCUUUAGUUCUAAAAAUUGGGGCUUUUAUUGAGAGUUGUGGACAAAAUAGAAGAGCUGUGUUAGGCAGUUGGUUGGCAGCCUACAUAAAAUCCUGUUAUGUGGAUACUUUAUGACAUGGAUCAAUGUUACAACAUAAUAGCAUCAAUUGAUGCAGGUACUUGACUCAUCUAGUAGGAUAAUGCAUAGAAGUUGUAUUAUUAAUUUACUGUUGAUGUUAUUUUAUGUUAUGCGCAUUUCAGGCAACCCUAGGAUCAUUCACAGGGAUAUCAAGUCAUCAAACAUUCUCUUAGAUUUCAAUUUUGAAGCCAAGGUAUCUGUCAUUCUACGUACUUAUUCAAAGUUUGAUAGUUUGUUCUAUUUAUAUCCAUCCAAAUCUUAGUACUCCAAGUUUUAAUGUUAUAGGUCUCAGAUUUUGGGCUGGCCAAAUUAGCUCUUGAUGCAAAUACGCAUAUAACCACCCGUGUCAUGGGAACUUUUGGGUGGGUAUUCAUCAAUAUGUCUCCAAACUUCUCUUUUCUUUUUUACUUUUUCAUUUUUCAUAGACUAAAAUAUAUUUUAGUGCAAAAAACUUUAUUAACAUUGAUUUCCCCCCCCCCCCCCCCCCCCCUUAUAGGUAUAUGGCCCCUGAAUAUGCGUCAAGUGGCAAAUUGACUGAGAAGUCCGAUGUAUAUUCUUUUGGAGUUGUGCUUUUGGAACUAAUUACUGGACGGAAGCCAGUAGAUGCAUCUCAACCUUUGGGAGAUGAGAGCUUAGUUGAAUGGGUACAUAUAGAUGCCAUGCCAGUCUUGCUUUUAUCACUCUUUUGCUAGUGUAGCUAUCUUUUUUUCCUAAUCUUUGUGUUUGGGAAGCCUAAUAUUAGUGACUAUGAAAUCAAUUGAUUGGGAUUAAAAUCUAUUUCUUCAUUGUGUUUUUCUUCCCUUUGACUGUAUCAUUUAUCAUAGUAACUUAUGUAUGAUAAGAUGCCAAAAUGCUUACUAUUUUGCAAGCCUUGCAGUAUAGCCAUUGUUGCAAUCAAGCUAGUAAAGUGGAAUGUUUUGGUUUUAAGUUUAGUAUGCAUAAUUUAGUUCAUAUCUUUGUAUCUUAAACUUUUAGGGCACUUGAUAAUUUAAUUAGAUAACGACUAUUAUCUUCAAUCUUACUGAAGAUGAAGAAUUGAAGUCACUGGAUAUUGCUUUUCUAUUAUACUUUUACUUAUGGAAAAGAACAUUUCAGUUGACCUCAAUAUAGUACUUGUGUCAAUAAUUACACAUGCAUACAUGCUAAUAUCAAACUAUAUAUGAUUUAAUAGCCAGAGAAUGUCUUAAACUUGUAAAAGUCAAACAUCUUCACUCAAAUCAUUCUUGAAUGUUCUCAAGUCUGGUUCGUCUUAAAGAUGCUGCUACUUUUUUUCAGGCUCGACCUUUACUGAGUCAUGCACUCGACACUGAGGAAUUCGAUAGUUUGGCAGAUCCAAGGCUAGAAAAGAAUUAUGUUGAGAGUGAAUUGUAUUGCAUGAUUGAAGUUGCUGCUGCUUGUGUGCGGCAUUCAGCUGCAAAGAGACCUCGCAUGGGACAGGUAAAUAUAUUGGAAAAGUGGCAAAAUGUUUUUUUUUUUUUAUAUUGGCAACAAACAAAUGCACAAACCACUGACAUGGUUUUUCCUGAAUUAUUAUGUUUCAUAGGUUGUUAGAGCUUUCGAUAGCUUAGGAGGUUCUGAUCUAACUAAUGGAAUGAGACUUGGGGAAAGCCAGGUGUUUGACUCUGCACAGCAAUCUGAAGAAAUAAGAUUAUUUCGGAGGAUGGCAUUUGGUAGUCAAAAUUAUAGCACAGAUUUCUUUAGCCGUGCUAGUUUGAAUCCAUGAAAGGCCACUGUACAUAUUGGAAGAGCUUGUUUUGGACCAAAGAACUUGUGAAGCUAAGCCAAGGAGAGGCCCUGGUUGAGUUUUGUUGGUUGCAGAUAUGGCUAAGGUGCACUGUUGGUUUUGAUUUUGGAAUUUGACUGCAUCAGGUUCAGAUCCUCAUUCUUGUGCCGGAAUUUCAUUAUUCUUUUCAUUAGCUGGUUUUUUGGCAGCAAUUUUGCUUUUGUAAUUAGAAUUUGUAAAGUUAAUUUUUACACUCACGAUGACAAAGAUUAACAUAUUAGUUGAUUUGUUAUGUAAUGAUAGAAUAGGAUGUGUGACUCCUUUUUUCAUGUCUUCCACAUUUUCUUAUGAAUUUCUAAUGAGAGAGCGAGAGCAAGCAAGAAGCUAUAUGAUUUUUCAUUUGAGAGUCUUGGUAUGCCUUAUAAAGAGAUUUAGGGAGAAGAAAGAGAGAGAGGAAAGUGUUUCUGUAUUGAUGAGGAUUCAACCCAACCAUAGAAUGGGGAAUGAAGCAGUACAUAUAGGCAGUUGCAUAACAGAAUGAUAAAGCUGUUGACAGUUGUACUUAGAACUGUCUAACAGAAAACUAGUCUAACCUGAGUUAGUUAACUGUGAGAAACAGUUAACUAACCUUUGAUUACAAUAGAUACAGAAACUAAGUAAAAAACACUUAGGGAGUAAAAUACUACUCUCUUAUACCCCCCCCCCCCCCCCCCCCCCCCCCCAAAACAAACUCAGCAGUGGUUGGCAGAAUGCUUUUCAACCACUCUAAGUUUGCUCCUAUAUAUUACAAAUUGGAGGGUGAUAAAGCUUUGGUGAGGAUGUCAGCUCUCAGGGCUGCUGCUGGAACAUGGACAACUUGAAGCUGUUUGCUGAGAACCUUGUCUCUGACACAGAACAAAUCCAGCUCAAUAUGUUUGGUGGGGGAGUGUAGAAAAGGGUUAUGAGCAAGGGACACAAUACUCAUUUUAUCACAGAAAAUAACUGGUGGAGCAUGAGGAACUUUGAGUUCAGUCAGCAGCGACUGAAUCCAAGUUACUUCAGAUGUUGCCAAGGCUAAACUCCUGAACUCUGCCUCAGUACUAGACCUGGCCACAACAGAUUGCUUUUUGGACCACCAAGAGACAAGAUUUGGGCCUAAGAACACAGCAACACCUGAGGUAGACCUUCGAUCAUCAGGAUCUGAAGCCCAUUCAGCAUCACAAAAGGCAUGAACAAAGUAGUGCUUUGUAGAAAAAUUGGGUUCCAGUUUCAGCCCAAAAUGAAGUGUGCCCUUUAGAUACCUGAGGAUUCUUUUGACAGCAACCCAAUGCUGUUCUGUUGGCUGACUCAUAAAUUGGCAAACUUUGUUGACAAAGAAACUAAUUUCUGGAUGUGUGAUAGUAGCAUUCUGUAGAGCACCAACUACAGAGCGAUACAAGGUAGGAUCAGAAAAAUCCUCAGAACCUGUUUUGGUAAGCUUGCAGCCACCAACCAUAGGAGAAGAAAUAGAGUUAGCUUCAUCCAUAGCUGUCUUGGACAAGAGAUCCUGAAUGUACUUGGACUAAGUGAGCAUGGGAGAGCCAUUAGAGUGAUGAUUCACCUCAAUAUCAACAUACCAAAUCUCCCAAAUCCUUGAGUGCAAAUUCAGAAUUGAGGUUGAUAACUAAAGACUUGACAGUUGUUGGGUUAUUACCAGUGACAAUAAUGUCAUCAACAUAGACCAGCAUGUAGCAUUAUCUGAGUAGACAAAGAGUGAAGGAUCACAUUUGCUGGACUGAAACUUGUGAGCUAAGAGUGUAGAUUUUAGUUUGUCAAAUCAGGCCCUAGGGGCUUGUUAUAAACCAUAAAUAGCCUAGUGUAACUUGCACACAAGCUGCUUGUUUUCAUUCUCAAAACCCGAAGGCUGCUGCAUAUAAACUUCUUCUGUUAAAACACCAUUUAGAAAGGCAUUGUUGACGUCCAGUUGCUGUAACUUCUACUUGUUGGUGACAACUAAAGUGAGUAGGAUUCUUACAGUUAUUGGUUUAAUAAAUGAAGAAAAACUUUCAUUGUAGUCUUUUCCCAGUUGUUGAUGAAAGCCUUUGGCUACAAACCACACCUUGUACUUAUUAAUAGAGCCAUCUGGAUUCUCUUUUACACGAAACACCCACUUGCAACCGAUGGCAGAUCUGGAAGUAGGUAACUCAACCAAAGACCAUGUACCAUUGCAAAGUAAAGCAUCAUAUUCAACCUGCAUAGGUUGCUCCCAAGUAGGAUUAGAGAGUGUUGUUUUGACAUUCUUAGGUUCAGCAUGUGCUAGCAGUAAAGUGAGAUUGAGUCUAGGUUUCACUAUGCCAAAUCCUUGCUAGGUUAUAUCCUUGCUUCUGAAAAUGGCUUCCACAAACAACAAUUCUUCUCCGCCACUGGUUCCACCAGCGUCACGCUCCCCUGUCUCGUUCUCACACGCUGUAACGGCGAAACUCACGGAUUCCAAUUACCUUCUAUGGCGUUCUCAGGUUCAACCUGUAAUCAUCGGGCAUGGUCUUCUUGAUUACAUUCUCGCUCCGCAAAUUCCGCAGAAAUUUUUCAUCAUUGAAGAUCGCAACAACAACAUCGUUAGCGCUGCCUAUCGUUUCUAGGAGCAACAAGAUCAAUUGAUUUUCUCUUGGCUUCAAUCGACUAUAUCAGAAGUAGUUCUUCCUCGCAUCACCAAUUGCGCAACCUCAUGGCAUUUGUGGGAUCAAUUGCAUGAGCACUUUCAAUCCAUUGCACGUGUGAAGAAGAAGCAAUUGCUUAUUUAGCUUCUUUCUUCUUCUCUUGAGAAUCGCUCAAUUACUGCUUAUCUAUUGCACAUUCAAUCCCUAAUUGAUUCACUUGCAUCAAUUGGAGACUCGAUUUCAACGAGCACUCACAUCGACCUAAUUCUUGAUGGUUUGACUGAUGACUGUCGCACAAUUUGUACUAUUCUAAAUAAUUUGCGUGAUCCUCUAAGUCUGGACGAUGUCACUUCUAUGCUACUGGAUGAGGAAUCUAGUAUUGAAAAGUUUCGUAAGAAGAAUUUGGGCUCGUUGAAUCUUGUUGAGGGUUUGAAUUCCAAUUCUGCUUUUGAAGCUCAGGUUCAUCUAACUCGGGGUAACACACACUCCUCCUCAAACUAUGACUAUGUGUAUGGUAAUCAAGGGAGGGGUGAUGGUGGCUGUUUGUACGGUCGAGGUGGUCGUGGUGGAGCUCGUGGCAGAGGGCAUGGCAGAUUUGCUGAUGUUUAAAGUCAGAUUUGUCGUAAAUUUGGGCACGAAGCCUCUCAUUGCUCUGAUACCAUAAAGAGAUUAAGGGAAAAGAAAGAGAGAGAGAGUGAGAGAGUGUGUGUGAGAGAGAGAGAGGAAAGUGUUUCUGUAUUGAUGAGGAUUCAACCCAACCAUAGAUUGGGGAAUGAAGCAGUACAUAUAGGCAGUUGCAUAACAGAAUGAUAAAGUUUUUGACAGUUGUACUUAGAACCGUCUAACAGAAAACUAGCCUAACCUGAGUUAGUUAACUGUGAGAAACAGUUAACUAACCUCUGAUUACAAGAGAUACAAAAACUGAGUAAAAAACACUUAGGGAGUAAAAUACUACUCUCUUAUACCUUAGGACAAAUAUAUGUAUCUCACACUUCAUGAAUGAAAAACAGAACUUGGAUAUUGAGUUUUGGGAUUUUUCCAGUUGGAGAGAACUGACUCUCUUGGGUUCUUCAUUGAGCCAACCUCUGAUCUUAUCAAGGGACCUUAACCCUUGUGGCGAUCUCUUCCCCCAGCUUAUCCAUUCUCCUGAAUUGUGGCACCCUCCGUCUUGUCUCGUAUCAUUUGUUGUCACAUUGGCUACAUAUUUAGAAAUAACUCAAUGGGCAUUGUGGUAAAUAAGAUUAGAUUUGAGAUGCCUAUGUAUUGAAAAAGUAAAAUUGAGCAUUUGGAGCUGAAUUUAGUUUUAUCAACAGCAUCUUGUCCUACCUAGGAGCAGGAAACUGACAAAUUGAUCCAAAUAUCAUAAGAAAAUUUGGAAGGUUAAUAGGUUAUCAAAUUGACUUGAGAAACCAAUCAAUACUUAGACUUCACAAUAUUUUAUUAUUUUAUUGGAAUCUAGACUAAAGUUUUAUACACGAUAUACUUGAGUCUACUCAUUCAAUUCCCACUUGCUGUUGGUAGAUGAGGCCAUAAAUUCUUGCUUCACGGGAAAGUUUUCUUUUCAGUCUUGGGUCAAACUCAAGAGUUAUUUAAGUUUUAGAAUCUUGUAACUAUUAUAAGCAUAAAGUUGGAUGAUGAUAUUGUAAAGAAAAGGUUAACUUUGAAUGCAAGAAUGGUUGCCUCAAUGUUUCAGAUUCAUUUUUUUCACAAAAAAUUAUGGUUAAAACAAUUACCUUGGUUUUAUUUCAUAUAUAUAUAUACACACACACCAAAAGGUUAACUUAUGCGAUGAUUGAAGAGUUUAGUGAAUUUUUUUUACACAUUUGUUUAGAUAUGUGCAUCCAAUCCAAAAGCACAAAUCAAAUUUACCAACUUAAAAAAGGUUCUUUUUAUACACGCUACUUUAUGAAAAAAAUGUGUUAAAAAAAUUUAUCUGAAUUUCAUCCCUCUUUAUUGAAUGGAAUAUAACAUUGUCGUCAGGGUGUCCCCAUAAAAAGGAAAAAUGAAGAAAUAUUAAAGAUAUUGUGCCAAGGGAAGAAAACAAAAGGGGAGGUGAAAGUUGUUGCUUCUAAAGAAAAUUUCUUAAUUAAUUAUGGACCUAUGCUAGUUCUAGGCAUUGACAAACAGAAUCCGAUUCAUGUGUAUGAGAACACUCUAAUUAUAUUUAUUGUAUAACUCGUCAUUUGUUCAUUUAUGUUUUACUAUAUCACCUUAAUAACUAUGACUUUUCUUCUUGUUGAGUGUAAAAAGGCGUGCCUCAAUAUUAAGGCUUUAUGUGCUUCGUCAAUGAGGCAUUAAUUGGGGAUUAAGAUUUUAUACUGUUAAGCAUUGUGGUGUAAUUAUAUUAAAGAGGUGUAAUUAUAUUAAAGAGAGAAAAAAAAUUCUAUUAUGUAUAAUUAAUGAGUUACAAUUAAUAAAAAAUAAAUUCCAAAUUCAUUUCAUUAUUUUAUCUAUAAAAUUUCCAUAAGAGUAUAAUAUAAAUAAGAUGAUUGUGUUGUGUGUAUUACUUGAAUAAAGUUUAACCUUGUUGAGAGCAGUAUAAUAAAAAUAAACGUAUUAUUUUAUCUAAUAAUAUUCCCCUCUUCAGCCACCGAAUAACUUUAUGCUUGCAGAUGCCUGAUAUUGAGUCUGAUUUUCUUUAUGCUAAUUUUCAAACCUUCUUUUACCCUAGAGUUGGCUUUUUAUUACCUUUUCUUUUCUUUUCAAAUCCACCAAAUCAAACAACAUAAAUAUGAUAAAAUUCUAAAUGUCUCAUCACGUUUAAUUCUUCUUGCUCCAUUUUAAACGCAAAUAUAUCACCAACUACAAUACAUUGCCGGAUUGUAGCUGAAAUAAAGGCAUAUAUAACAUGUCAUUGCAUUAAAGAGGCUAGCUAGGCCCAAAUUAUGAUCACUACUCUGAUCUUGCUGACUUUGAACACACUACUAAUACUACCGAAGCUGAUACCAUUGCAUAAAGUGGAAAGAGCCUCUGCUAGAAAGGUCAAUUGCUUCUUCACUUUAAAGGCUUUAUUAUAUAACCUGAAUGGCUACUAAAAAUGUGUAUGGCAACUACUUGUCUUGUUCCCUGGAUAUUCCUUUCUUCAGAAGAAAAAGUGUAAUCUUGAUUAGGCACCAUGAUGUCUAAGGUCUCUUGGGAUUAUUAACAUGUGAUCACUAUUCAGUAUAACCCUAAUAGCGGUCUAGUUGGGCGACCGCCUAGGGUUUCAUUUUUAGGGGAAAACUAAAUUUUUUAUAUAGUUUAUAUAAAUUUUAAAAGAAAUUUUUAUAUAAUUUUAAAAUUAUAUAAAAUUUAUUAUAAAAAAUAAAAUAAUUUUCAAUAAAUUUCUUUUAGGGAAACAAUACCAGUAAUUGGUCAAUUAAUAGUGAUGUUUUCACUUAUUAACAAAAUUUAUUCAUCAUUGAGAAAAAUAAUCGACAAUUUAGAUACAAUAUUGAGCGUAAAAAAGAAGAGUAUGACAUAUUAUUUCCUUCAAUUUCCAUUAGCCUUAACAUAAUUACGUAAAAAAAUGUUCUUGAACAAAAAAUUACAAUGGUUAUGAUUUAAACUUCAACAAAAAAUGAUUCAAAAUCAAAAACUAUGAUAUUGAGUUAUUUGAAAAUAUUUAAUUGUUUUCCUAAUGCGUUUACAACUUAUAAAAUAAUAUUAGCUAUUGUUACUACUAUAGCAUAUACUAAAAGAAGCUAAUUUAUCAAAUUUGAAAUGAUUAAAAUCCUAUUUGAAACAAUGACACAAGACAAAUUAAAUAAACUAACUUUGAUUUCUAUUGAAAAUGAUUAUUUAAAAAUCUUGGCCAUGCACAAAUAAUUAAUGAUUUUGCCAAAAAAAAUGCAAGAGGAUCAAAUUCAAGGGAUUAAAAGAAGGGUAUAAUUUUUUCAAUUCGCCCAAGACAACAAAAAUCUCAGGGCCGGCCCUAUCACUAUUCCUGGAAUUUCAGUAACAAGGAAGGACUUAUGAUUUAAAACAGGGAUGCUGAAUGUUGUUUCAGCUAUCAAAAAUAUAUUAAUACACUCUUUGUCAUAGGCAGUGCUACAUAUAAUAAAUGCUUAUUACAGAAUACCGGAAUGUUAGCUUAACAUUAGAAAACUAUUUUGCACUAAGAGCACAAUAGCUGUAAACCAAUGAGCCCCCGUCAUUUUCAAACUUUGAUUACACAUUAGUGCUUCAUAACUUCCAUCCCUAUAAUCAAGUAAGACUUUAAUUACAAUUUAGGUAUGAGUCAUGUGUCCCUUUAUAUUCCUCAUUAUUUUUAUUGGCUUUUCUAUUUCUGUUAACGUUUUCUUUUCCUUUCCUUUGACUUUCCUAUUACGUUUCCUACUCCAAAGCACAGGAAUAUUAAAGAUUUAGUGUGAAGAAGGCUUUUAAAAAGGCUAUCAAGUCAGACUAGGUUUUUAAAAAGGCUAGACCGAGCCAAAAUAAAAGCUUUUGAUAGGCUAUAAGUCAGGCUCAGACCUCAAAAAUUCAUCGUAGGCUAGGCUCAGGCCUUUUAAAGCCUGACCUAGCCUGGCCUAUUCCUACCCCUAGUAGGCACUGACAAUACUGUGUUUGGUUCCAUAUCUCAAAUGUGGCUUUUCACGUUUGCUGAGAAGGUAAUAGUUACUUCCACAUUACAAAUGUGAUAUUUUACUUCUCAAAGGACUUCUAAACACGCUACAAGCUGAUUUGAGGGAUUUCAGUCGUGAACCAAUGCAUUUCUCCCCUGCAGACAUGGACUUGAGUGUUCAAUUAUAAUUUGAUGGAUACAAAUGUCUGACUAACAAACUCAUUCAAAACCAGAUCUAUUGGUCAAGGAAAUGGUACUAUUAGACUAAGAAAGUUGCAUAUGAAAAUUUGUGUUCUCCUAUGGAGAAUUCAACAUUAAAUAGUGCUUAUACAAUUUGAUUUUUACAUUUGUGCAUUAAAUAGCCAAACUGCAAUAAAUGUUAUUUUAUAGUUGGGAUAACUAAUUAUGGAGAUAAUUACAACUAUAUAAUCAUGUAAGAUCUAUUGUUUUGAAUGGCCAACAAAUCUGUGCCAAUAAUAACAAAUUUCUGCAAUUUGUACCAAUUAAUAACUAAUAUUUUGCUAAUCAAUUCCAUUGACAUUCCCCCUCAAAUUGAUGUUGGUAAGUCUAAAAGCAUCAAUUUGCGAACUAGGAAAUUAUGGCGUUGAUGUGUCAAGGAUUUUGUGAGAAUGUCAGCGAGUUGAACAGAUGUAGAAACAUGAGGCAAGGUGAUAACUCAAUGGUCAUACACCUCCGGGUUGAGUGACAAUCAACCUCUAUGCGCUUUGUUCUUUCAUGGUUAACGGGAUUUGUGGCAAUUUGAAUGACACUUGUAUCGUCAGCAUGCAGUGAGUUAAUUUUGCUUUUGAAAAACCAAGCUUUAAAAGGAGACCGCGCAUCCAAAUAAUCUCAGAGCAUGUAGCAGACAUGGCACGAUAUUCUGCUUCAGUGGAUGAUUUGGAGACUGGGUCUUGUUUCUUGCAUUUCCAAGAGAUUGGAGCUUCCUUUAAGAACAUACACCAGCUAGUAGAAGAUUUUCGUGUGUCUGGACAUCCAACCCAAUUAGAAACACUGCAUGCUUGAAGAUGUGUUGAUGCACCAGUAGGGAAGAAAAAUCCAUGACUGGAAAUGCCAAUUAGAUAAUUAAUAAUAUGGUGUACUGCUAAAAGAUGCAAAUGCCGAGUAGGGAAGAAAAAUCCAUGAUUGGAAGUACCAAUUAGAUAGUUAAUAAUAUAGUGUGCUGCUAAAAGAUGCAAAUGCCUAGGAAAUUGCAUGAAUUAGCUAACUAUGUGAACAACAAAUGAGAUGUUAGGUCUGGUGAUGGUUAGGUAAAUAAGACUUUCAACUAGCUUACAAUAGAAAGUUGGGUCUUGUAAAAGGUCACCUUCAUCUCGUCGCAAUUUUAGAUUAAUUUUUGGAGUGUCAGCAGGAGCAGAAUUAGUAAGACCAACUAAUUGAAUUAGAUCUUGAAUAUAUUUGUGUUGAUUGACAAAAAUGUCUUUUUGUUGAAAGUGUACUUUUAAUCCCAAGAAAUAAGCGAGUUGACCAAGGUCUUUCAUGUGAAAAGUUGAAUGCAAUAGUCUCUUGAUUAUACUAAUAGUCUCUAGAUUUGAUCCGGUGACCAUAAUAUCGUCCACAUAAGCAAGAAGUAUAACAAUUCCUUUUAAGCUCCUUUGUAUGAAAAGUUAUCAUACCUGCUUUGUAUGAAGUAAAAACCAAGCAGUGUUGUGAGAAACUUUUCAAACCAUAUUCUUGGUGCCUGUUUUAAUUCCUAUAAAGAACGUUUUAGCUUGCAAACAACAUUAGACAAAGGUGAAGGCAUAUCGGUAGGAAGUCUUAAGUAAAUUUCCUCCUUGAGGUCACCAUGGAGGAAUGCGUUCUUAACAUUCAUUUGGUGUAUUUGCCAAGUAAAAUUAUUUUUAAUUUCAAGUGACUUAGAUUUCAUUAAUAAAAUCUGUUCAAAGUAAAAUUAUAAGAUGGACAACAACUUUUCAAAAUUGAAAAAAAAAAAAAAAGAAAACUCACCCUGAAACUAAAAAUUAGAAAUCACACAAAAUGGGACCUUAAUUGGUUACGAGUUGAAUACCUAAUGGGACCUUAAUUUUUUACUUUCUCUUAACCAAUUUAUAUCUGUGCCAACAACUCUAGUUUUUUUUUUUUUUAUUUCUUAAAUAAGAGUCCAUCACUUGUAUUAUAUUGUUAUUUAUUAAAUAACUAUUGUUUAAUUAAAAUAAUGAGUUAAUUUUAUGUAAUUAUACUUACGUAGUACGAUCUAAAGCUUUUGCUGCUUGAACUACUAUCUCCACAAACACUUGGGUUGAUUUCUCUCAAAACAGUGACAAUAUUUUAAAUCUUGCAAAAAUAUCAUACAUUUUUAAAUAUUUAUUGAAUUAUUUAAUUUACUUUUUAAUAAUAUAUAUAGUACAUUAACAUUAAAAUACACUCUAACUAAAUAAAAUUUAAAGUAAUUUUAGUGUUUAACCUGUGGGUCUAAAUUUAGUUUAAUUUAAUUAUCAAGUUUGUUCCCAUUGUAAAUAAGCUUCUUUUUUUUACUAAACUAGUCUGAAAGCAUUUUUUUUUCAAUUAAUCCGUGUAAGGAUAGAAAGAAUUUUUAUAAAUUUCCUAUUUAUUUUUUAGUUAAUUAGUGUGGUUUCCAAUCAUUGUUUAUUUAUUCUUCUGUGUGUGAGCAAGAGUCUGAACUUUCACUGUUAAUUUUAUCUCAUAUUAGACAGAUUUAUAAAUUUCAAUGUGCAAUAGUAAGGAAAACUGUCAAGAAAAUAAGGUUUUUUCAUUUCUUUCUCUGAUCGUUGCAGGUGUAACACUAGGAAUUCAUAAUGAAUUAAUGAGCAGCAAAGGACCAGAGAUAUUGCUUCUUCCUCUAACUCUUCUCUAGUAUCAUUUAAAAAGUAUGAUGUUUUUCAAAGUUUUCGCGGUAAAGACACGUGAUAACUUCACAAGCUAUCUAUAUGAUGCUUUGACUAGAGAUAAAAGUGAAACUUUUAUAGACAAUUGGCUUGAAAAGGGAGAUGAAAUCUCACCAGCACUCAUCAAAGCCAUCGAAAAUUCUCAUACAUCUAUUGUCAUCUUCUCAGAGAACUAUGCUUCCUCAAAGUGGUGCUUAAAUGAACUCAACAAGAUUAUGGAAUUCAAGAAAGAAAAAGAACAAAUGUGAUACCGGUGUUUUACUAGGCAGAUCCAUUCCAUGUAAGUCACCAGACAGGGAGCUGCAAGGAAGCCUUUGCUAAACACGAGGGACAUUCCAUGUACUGCAAAUGGAAAGCUGCUCUCACGGAAGCAGCCAAUUUAUCUGGGUGGCACUCUCAAAAUAGGUAAAAUUUUCUGAAAUAAAAUAAUGAGAAAGAUGUCAAGUCAUUGUUUUAAAUUGAGUUUGCUGGGAGGAAAAUACCACCUUGUGUGCGCUCAAGGUUCCCGAUGAAGAUUUAUGACUGCUUUCAGCAUGGACAACUUACCAAUACCAUGGUUACCAAAAAAAAAUUGAGUUUGCCAUAUUUAACUCUAAAUUGAGUGUACUUUUGUAGUACAACAACUUUCUUGCUAGUUUGUUUCAUAGAAAAAGCAAAAGUUGGUUAUGUUCUCUGAGUCAAUGAAUUUUCAAUCCCCAAUUAUAUGUUUUUGUUUCUUUCUCUACUUUACUACCAUAUUGAUCAUAGGUUUUGUACAAUAAUUUUGUGUAGUUUUGUUUUUCUUUCUUUUCAAUUUGUUAGACUUAUAACACAUCAUUUAUUUCUCUGUUUCCCUUUUCUUAUGCUAGAACUGAGUCUGAACUCCUUAAGGGCAUUGUUCGAGAUGUUUUGAAAAAAUUGGCUCCUACGUACCCAAAUCAGAGCAAAAGACUGGUUGGAAUUGAGAAAAGUUAUGAAGAAAUUGAAUCAUUACUGAGAAUUGGGUCAAGUGAAGUUAUAACCCUUGGAAUAUGGGGCAUGGGUGGCAUUGGUAAAACCACCCUUGCUACUGCAUUAUAUCACAAACUGUCUUAUGAUUUCGAAGGUCGUUGCUUCCUUGCAAAUGUGAGGAAAAAAUCAGACAAGCUCGAAGAUUUACGUAAUGAACUAUUUUCUACAUUAUUAAAGGAAAACAAACGUCAGUUAGAUGGUUUUGACAUGAGCAGGCUUCAAUAUAAAAGUCUUUUCAUUGUCCUGGAUGAUGUGUCUACCCGAGAGCAAUUAGAAAAACUAAUUGAAGAAUAUGAUUUCAUGGGAGCAGAAAGUAGAGUCAUUGUUACAACUAGAGAUAAGCACAUACUUAGCACAAAUCAUAAAAUAUAUCAGGUUGACAAAUUGAACUGUGAUCACUCUGUUGAGCUUUUCUGUUUUAUUGUUUUUGGAGAAAAAAAACCUAAACAAGGGUAUGAAGAUCUAUCAAGAAGAGUAAUUUCCUAUUGUGAAGUUGUUCCUUUGGCUUUAAAGGUUCUAGGAGCAAGUCUUCGUGAAAGAAAUAAAGAAGCAUGGGAAUGUGAAUUGAGAAAACUUGAAAAGUUUCCAGACAUGAAAAUUCUUAAUGUAUUAAAAUUAAGUUAUGAUGGCUUGGAUCGUCCUCAAAAGGAUAUAUUUUUAGACAUUGCAUGUUUCUUCAAAGGAGAAGAAAGAUACUGGGUAACAGGACUACUGGAAGCUUUUGAUUUCUUUCCAACAUCUGGGAUAAAAGUCCUUUUAGAUAAAGCUCUCAUAACAAUUUCAAAUGCCAACCAAAUAGAAAUGCACGACUUAAUACAAGAAAUGGGUCAGGAUCUAUGAAGCACCGACACCGACAUCGGACACGACACGGACACGAACACGUGGACACCUGAAAUGUUGAAAAUGUAGAACACGGACACGGCUAUAUAUAUAUAUAUAUAAUUCAAUAAAAUAAAAUUACAUAAAAUUAAAUAUGAGCGAUAUGCAUAAAAGAUCUAAAUUGAAAAUUAAGAUUUAUAUAUUCAUCAUCAUCUCAAAAGAACUUUUCCUACGAUAAUGAGUCACAAAAAAUACUAAAAAUUAUAAAGCAAGAUGAUGAAUUAGCAACUUCAAGUCUUCAAGAAUUCCACAAACUAGCCAUCAUCAUUGAAAAAGACACCCUCUAACUCUGGUUCAUCUAAAGACAAACUAGCAAUUUCAAGAAUACCACAAUCAUCAAGUGACCCAAAAUCAUCUCCAGCUACAUCCCACAUUUUAGUUUCCUCUUGAUGAUAUUGUGGAGUAUUCCUUGAGAGAAGUCGUAGGUUGCUAUGAAAAGAAAAGAAAAGCUUGCGGGGAAGGAAAACCAGGCAGCAAGAAAAGAAAAGAAAAGCUUGCGGGGAAGGAAAACCAGAGGCAUCAGGCAGCAAGAAAAGAAAAAUCAGAGAAUAAAUAAGAAGCAAAGCUUACCUGCGCGGGGAAGGAAACCAAUGCGGCAAUGGAGGUGCUUGCGGGAAGAAGAAGGAGAAGACACAGAAUGGCAGGUAUUUUUUUUGUAAGCAUUUUAAAAUAAAUAAUAAAAAAACCUAAGGCUCUUAAUGGGCCGCGACGCGCGUGUCUACGUGGUGGGCCGCGUCCAAACAGAGGUGUCCUCCUGUUCAACCGCGUCCGGUGACGGCGCCGGCGACGGACACCGCGUCGCACCGGAGUCGUACGCGCAUGGGUGUCCGGUGCGAGUCCGACACGGGACACGCCGAUGAUGAGCCGCGUCCGUGCUUCAUAGGUCAGGAUAUUGUUCAAGAAUCCGAAAAAUACCCUGGAAAAAGAAGUCGGUUGUGGAAACAUGAGGAAGUGCUUGAUGUAUUGAAAUAUAACAAGGUAAGUGGUAGAUGCAAUUGUUAUAUUAGAUAAUAUGUAUCCUUUUUUGAAUGUAGCUAGUCUUAGCUAAUUGUUAUUCAUUUAUUCUAAUGUUUGUUUGUCAGGGAACUAAUGAUGUUCAAGGCAUAAUUUUAGAUUUGGAUAAAUUGAUAGGGGAUCUAUAUUUGAGCUCUGAUUUCCUUGCAAAGAUGGCUAACCUGAGAUUUCUUAAAAUCCAUAAAAAGUGCAGGUGGCAUGACAGAUAUAAUGUGUACCUUGGUGAUGAUCUUGAGUCAUUGUCCGAUAAAUUGGGGUACCUUCACUAGGAUAGAUGUUCUCUUAAGUCUUGGCCACCUAACUUUUGUGCAGAACAACUUGUAGAGCUUCGCAUGAGUUUUACAGAUGUUAAAAAGCUUUCGGACGGAGUUCAGGUAUGAAAAUAUGGCUAUGCAUGAUACAUUUUGCUCAGAUUUUUCUUUAAGUUAAGGUUCACAAUUAUGAUUUUGGAAAUUUCUAAACAGUGUGAUGCAUCUUUUUGCAGAAUCUUAUGAAAUUAAAGUCAAUUGACCUUUCAUUUUCCGACAAGCUGGUGGAGAUCACAGACUUAUCUAAGGCAGAAAAACUUGAAAAAGUUUCUCUUGCUUGCUGUUAUCGCUUGCGUCAGCUACACUCAUCCACGUUAUCUCUUCCCAAGCUUGCAUAUUUGAAUCAAAAGUACUGCAGAAAUAUUGAAAACCUUGAAAGCAAUGUUCAUUCAAAAUCUGUCAAUGAACUGACACUCAGUCAUUGUUUAUCGCUCGAGAAAUUUUCAGUGACAUCAUAUGAAAUAAAAGUAUUGAGCUUAUCUAACACCUAUGAAGCACCGAUACCGACACCGACACCGACAUCGGACACGACACGGACACGGACACGUGGACACCUGAAAUGUUGAAAAUGUAAGACACGGACACGGCUAUAUAUAUAUAUAUAUAAUUAAAUAAAAUAAAAUUACAUAAAAUUAAAUAUGAGCGAUAUGCAUAAAAGAUCUAAAUUUAAAAUCAAGAUUUAUAUAUUCAUCAUCUCAAAAGAACUUUUCCUACGAUAAUGAGUCACAAAAAAUACUAAAAAUUAUAAAGCAAGAUGAUGAAUUAACAACUUCAAGUCUUCAAGAAUUCCACAAACUAGCCAUCAUCAUUGAAAAAGACACCUCUAACUCUGGUUCAUCUAAAGACAAACUAGCAAUUUCAAGAAUACCACAAUCAUCAAGUGACCCAAAAUCAUCUCCAGCUACAUCCCACAUUUUAGUUUCCUCUUGAUGAUAUUGUGGAGUAUUCCUUGAGAGAAGUCGUAGGUUGCUAUGAACAAAUACUAAAUCUUCAGCUCUAUGUGGUGUCAUCUUGUUUCUCUUUAAAGAAUGGAUAAAUGAAUAUGUACUCCAAUUCCUUUCACAACAAGAAGAUGAACAAGGUUGCGCAAGUAGCUUAAGGGCAAUCUUUUGAAGUAUUGGAGCAUUAAUGCCAUGAACUAGCCACCAAGCUUUUGGAUCCAUUUGACCUCUAUCAUUUAAAGAAUCAAGAUCAUCAAAGCCUUCUCUUCCAUCCGAGAAGUUGGCAAACUCAAUAUUCACUUUCCUCCUUACAUCCACAUCAAGAAAGAACCUCUUAAAGCAUUUUAAUCUUUCACGAGUGAGUUCCAUGUCUUGAUGUGGAGGAACUCGAUUAGAAUCUUCACUUAACCAUUCAUGACUAUAAUAUCUACAAUUAAAAAGAAAUAUAUACAUGAUUAAAAUUUAUGUAAUUCUAAAAAAAAUGUAAGUAAAAAAGUAUAGAGUCAAUUACCUAGGAUUUAAAGAAUGAGCUAAACAAUGGAGAGGAGUGCUACUCUUAGUCCAACGGUCAAUUAAUAUGGAGUGCACUACCUCAUAAAAGGUUGAUCCUUCACUCUCUUCCUUUCUCUCAUAUUGAUAUAUGGCAUUCUUCACUUUUUCAAUCAUUGAAUCCCACAUCUCAUAUACUAGAUGGAGAGAUGAAGCUUUUGUAUCCGUUCUUCUAAGAACAUCAUAGAUAGGGCUAGUGAAAGAAAGAAUAUAAUCAACCUUAUCCCACCAUUUAUCAUCUAACAAAGUAUCUUUCACAAAUUUAGCCUUUGCAACAUCAUCUUCCUUAUAAGAAGACCAUUGGUCACUAAUGACCAUUUCUUGGAGUCCUUUCUUCAAUUGCUUGAAUCUCUUGAGCAUUACAAUAGUGGAGACAAAUCUUGUUGGAGCAAUGGAUAACAAUUUCAAUGAAUUGAAAAUUGAUAGUCUCAUAGAGUGACUCAUGACAAAGUUUUUCACAAACAUUGCAUCAUCCGCAAUUUGGGUGAUCCAAGAACAUUCUUCAUAAGCAACAUUAUUUUUUUCUGUAUUCUUGGCUGCACAUAUGUUCUUCAAAGCAAGAUUUAAUGUAUGGACAACACAUGGAGUCCAAUAAAUUGAAGGAAACUCAGCCUCAAUUAUUAAACCUGCUACUUUACAAACGGCUGCAUUAUCCAUCACAAUUUGCACAACAUUUGAGUGUCCGACCUCCAUAAUUACCUCCCUCAUAUGUUUGGCAAUGAAAUCCUUGUCUUUGAUCUCAUUUGAACAAUCAAUGGCCUUUAAAAACAUAGGUCCACUCUCCGUGACAACCAUGAAAUUAAUAAGAGAUCUUCUUUGCGGGUCACUCCAUCCAUCACUAACAAUGCUCACACCCUUCUGGCUCCAUGCAUUUUUAAUUGGUUGUAAGAAAUUCUCCACAUGUCUUCUCUCGUUUUGAAGUAAUGUUGUCCUUAAUUUAUUAUAACCUGGAGGUUGGUAACCACUGAUCUGAUUGUUGGCAGCAUAGGCAAAUGCCUUCCUAUAAUGAGGAUUUCUUGCUAAAUGAAAAGGCAGCCCCGAAGAGUAAAACAUCCUAGCAAUUUCAUGAUCAAGUGUCUCUCUAGCUUGCAAAUUAAAGGCAUUUUCUACAGAUGAUGUCUUUCUCUUUUUUGGAUCAACACCAAGAGUGUUUGUAUCCAUUUGGUGUUGAGUAGAAACUGGAGGCAAUGACACAGAUUUUGUUUUUGACCUCUCCACCCUCAAUGUAGCCUUCUUGUCUAUCUUCUUCAAAUCUAUAAGUUUGGCAACUGUUACCUUUUGACAAACUCUAACUCCCUUUCCUGUCAUCUUCAACAAGUGCGCCCUCACUCUAGUGUAAGACCCAUUAAAGGUAAAAUCACAAAUAUUGCAUUUUAUCUCAUAAUUUCCACCACCAGCUACACUUUUUAUCUUUGUAACAUAGGUCCAUAAAGGUUUGGUAUCAUCAUCUUGUUCUUUAGCUUGACUAGGACUAGAAGCACUCAUCUCUACAACAAUUUAAAAAAAUAAAAAAUUAAUGUAAAUAAUUUCUAAAUAAAAAACAAACAACAAAAAGCAAUUUGUAAUCAAUGUUGACCGGGAAUGUGAAAAUAAAUAAGUUCCAAAAACAUGUACAUGACAAAUACAUAACAAAUUUAAGUAAAUAUUUGACUAUUUACUUUCACAUUGAAAAAUUAAUUUUAAAAUUUAACUUUAGAAAGAAAUUCUAAGUUGAGCAUCUUUACAUAACUUUUGGAUUUAACAAAAAAAUUCAUUUUCAAUUUUACUAUUAACUUAUUUUUUAAAUAAAAAUAUCCAAAACACAUGUGCAAAUUGCUUCAAUACAACUUGUCUCACAGCAUUAAAGCACAGGAAUUUAAUUACACACAGUACCCUUGCAGCCAUCCACACAUAUCACCAAGAAAAAAACACACACCACUGCUCCACACGAUUUGGAAAGCGAGAAAGCUGAUCAUCACUAACUUUAAUUAAAGCAUUUUAGAAAUAUAAUCCAUUUUUUUAAAUUAACCGUAGAAAUAUCGUCACUCUUUAAAUCUCUUGAGUCUUUAAUUUAGAGAAGCUAAAUUCAAAAUAGAAAUAUCAAGAAAGCAACAUGUGGGGAUCAAAAGUAAAGAGACUCCCAAAAAGCAUCAGGCCAACAAGGGAGUCUCUCAAUUGAGGAAUAUUUUCCUGGUUUUCAAAAUAAAGUGGAAGGCCUACGUGUUUUUUCAAUGAGAAGUUGUUUUUUACAAUAAAAUAAAGGUAAAUGCAUUUAAGAGGGAAAAGUGGUAUGCGUGUGUGAGAGAGAGAAAACAGUCUUUACAAUAAAAUAAAGUGGGAAUGAAAAUAAGAUAGUUGUUUAUUUUUGGUCGAAGAGAUAUACAUUUUGGUUGUGCCAACAUUGGUACAAUUUAUUUGUUUAGGUAGGUACAUUUGAUUAAUCGGUAUACGGUGUUAUUGAAGGCUCGAAAAUUGAUUUGAAAAUUCUUUCAUAUUUGGUGUUGUACUUGUCAUGUCCAUUCAUGAAAAAGGUAUUUUGUUUGCACUAGUCCUACUAGACCGAUUAAGUUUUCACAGAUUAUAACCAAUAAUAAUGAGGAAACAAGUGACUAGGUAACAAAAAAUAGUGGCUUAAUUUGCAAGGAAAAGAAAGAAAAAAAGGGUUUAUCUAAAAAGUGAUGAAAGCUAAAGGAUAAUAGACGUUGGAAGCUUGAAAGGAAUGAGGUUUUGUGGGGUUUCUCUUUGUCUACAUGUCUUUUGAGGGAAUUAAGAGAUGCCCCAUAUUGUCUUUCAGUAUCAAAGAAACUAACGUUUGUCACAGAAUCCACCAAUAUAUAAUUAAUUAAUUAAUUAAUUAAUUAAUAUAUAGUAUAUGUUUAGUGGGGCUUCUCACUUGACCUUUACCAAAACCAAUACAAAAAGAAAAGGAUGGGAGUGCAGUAAGGUGGACAGUUGUUUAUCUUUUGAAAUAAGAUGGAUAAAUAAUUAAAUAGUGAAGUUGACUAUUUCACAGCAAAAAAGGUAAAUGCAUUUAGAAGCUCCUAGAUGUUGGCAUGUCAUAUUCUAAUGAAUAAGCCUUUGUAAAGUGGUAUGUGUGUGUGUGUGAAAGAGAGAAAACAGCCUUUACGUGCUGAGAAGUUGCUUUUUACAAUAAAAUAAAAAAAAUGGAGAAACGUGUAAUACCCAGCGGAUAAUAGCCAAAGAGAGAGAAUGUGUAAAUGUUUAAAGAAUAAAGUGGAAAACCAGAGGCAUCAGGCAGCAAGAAAAGAAAAAUCAGAGAAGAAAUAGGAAGCAAAGCUUACCUGCGCGGGGAAGGAAACCAAUGCGGCAAUGGAGGUGCUUGCGGGAAGAAGAAGGAGAAGACACAGAACGACAGAAGAGGUAUUUUUUUUGUAAGCAUUUUAAAAUAAAUAAUAAAAAAACCUAAGGCUCUUAAUGGGCAAUGACGCACGUGUCUACGUGGUGGGUCGCGUCCAACCAGAGGUGUCUUCCUAAUCAACCGCGUCUGGUGACGGCGGAGGCGACGGACACCGCGUCGCACCAGAAUCGUACGCGCAUGGGUGUCCGGUGCGAGUCCGACACGGGACACGCCGGUGAUGAGCCGCGUCCGUGCUUCAUAGUCUAACACUGCUAUAAAGUGCAUUGUCAGCAUCAAUUGGUGACUUAUUGUCUUUAGAAGUGUUAGACCUAAGUAGGAGCAAACUUAAGAGCUUUCCUGAAAACAUCAAAAACCUUUCAAAGUUAACAUGGCUACAAUUAGAAGGUUUGUGAGAAACUCGUGUCUCUGCCAGAGCUUCCAUCAUCCUUGAGAAAGCUUAAUUUAAAUUAUUGCUGGGAACUCGAAUCUCUGUCAGAGCUUCCACCGUCCCUGAGAGAACUUCCUUUAGAUAAUUACAAGAAACUUGUGUCUCUGCCAGAGCUUCCACUGACUGUGAAAAAGGUGACUGCCUAUAACUGCAUUUCUCUGAAGACAAACAUCACACAAGGACUAAAUAUCUUAAAAAUUCUGAGUUUGGUAGUCUUGAUUAUUUCAUCUUUCCGGGAGACCAUGUCAACAAAGAGUGUGAGUUUAAUGCAAUAAAGAGUUUAAUAACUAUUUCUUAUCUUCCUAAAUCUGACUUGUUCGGUUUCAUUUACUGCAUCAUUUUUUUCCGGGAAAGAUAGUUGUUGGCAUAAUGAUGGUUCAAUUCAUAUCUAUCAAAGUAGGAUAGAGCUGGGCCUGGAAAACAUACCUAUGCGAUGCUUUAGCCAUUUAGAUUCAGCUCACAUGUUCUUUUCUUAUGUUGACAUUAGCCGAUUCGGCAGAAUAAGUGAAGUAAAUGAUCAAUUUGGCAACAUAACAUUUAAAUUUGAACUUGAAGUCAAUAAAGACAGCAUAAAAGGGUGUGGGAUUGAUAGGAAGAAGGACGUACGUGAGGAAGAAGCAAGAAGGACGUAUACGAGGAAGAAGCAGGAGUGUCCAACUGGCAUGAGGGCUAACUCAAGAUGUGAGAUCCUGUCCAUGCAUCCCAUGAACACACAGGGGCAUUGAUCUUGUCUAGGCAUGAUCAGGUACACAUAGAGGCCACAACAGGUACUAAGGUAGUCAUCAUAGCAUCCUUAAACUCUUCCCAUAUUAAGGUAAGGAGAACUAAGAUUUAUCUCGCUAAUCAUACAACUAUCAUCAAUAAUCAUUUAGGUCACCUACCUUGCGCAAGAAUGCUCACUCUCGAACUCUUCCAUGCUUAGUGAUUAACGCCCUACUAACUACCUUACUCGCUUCUUAAGGUUUCACACUAAACCUCUUAACUAUUUUUCACAAGUUUUCCAACUACUCUAUACCAAACAUUUUCCAAGAACUAUGGUUACAAGUUUCUAUAGGUCCUACACCUAGAAGAUUCUCAAUCUCACACUUAGGUGGUAACUAAGCAUAUCCUUAAGGAACACAAGCACAUGACUUACUAAGUUUAACUUUCGUUUACAAAUAACAAGGAUCAUACAUACUCACGUAUUUCCUCUCGAAACAUCUUAACGUGAUUGACAACGGCGAAGUCUCUCUCUAUUCGUAACAGAAGUAAUAACAUGACAAUAUAUCAAAUAGUUUAACAAGACAUGAUUGGAAGAUGAGCAACUCAUAACAAGAUGAACACUCGAUUGAUUAGGAGACAAUACUUUUAAAUCAAGAAUGAUCACUUAUCCAGAAUCAACAACAGAUAUUCCAAAUGAAUUUUAGAAAUGAAAAUAUGAUCACAAUGUACGCACAUAUGGAGACAUCAACUAUCGCUUGAUUGUGAUAGAAACAUCAAUAAUCCACUUGUUUGAUGUAGGCUCAUAACACAAAGAAUGAAUUAUACUCAAGCAUGCAAGUGUAAUCGAGUUACUUGACUUCAACACGCAACACAAAAAUAGGUUGCCCUAGAAUCAGAAGGUACAAUCAAAGAGUAUUCUUUAUGAAUUAUAUCUCGAUAUGAGUAAUCAAACUAUAGAGUAUUAGCAUCACUAAGAACAAAAAAUCACAAACAACCAUACUCUCUAUGCAAUUAAGGUAGAACAUCAUACUACAAGUAUACAUAGAAUUAUAAGGUUCAUAUAACAAGUAUAUAACAAACAUAUAAGAAUAAAGAAUUAAAUAGUCACUAAGGAUGUAUUAAGGAAUCACAAACUUCAAUAACUACACACAAAAUAAAGGGAGUUAAGUAGUCAUGUGUUUACACAUCAAGAAAGGCACACUCAUCCAAGACAUAUAUAUGGUUCAAAAGGUUUUCACAACACUAAUCCACACAUCAAGAUGCAAAUAAGUUUAUUAACAACAUACACGCAGGAAGAUAAGGGCUCAUUAAGGCAUUAUCCAUCAAUAUCAAGGCUUCUUGCAUCAUCUAACGGCUUGCCAUAAUGUCCAACCGCAAUUCAAAAAUUAUAGAGAUGGUCAGUCUCAUAACUCAUGACUCAACAAUGGAUUUAUGGUAUAGCAAACAUUAAGGAUGCAAGACACAUGCAAGCAUUAUUAGUAAGUCUCAUUUGAUCGUACAUAAGAAAAUACAAAUAAUAAUUUAAGCAUGCUAAACAAAAGUACUCAUAAGUAACCACACAGAGUGCACAUCAGAAUACAGUAAGCACAUAACACACUAGCCAAAAGGUUCAACCUGCUCUGAUACCACUAAAUGUGACACCCUCUACCCCUCACAUAUAUAUACUAAUAAAGGAAUACAAAUUCAAAUAUGAAUUAAAAGUAUUUUUAAAACAUUUUUAAAUGCAAGUCUUUCAAAGGGGUAAAAGACUCACAUUCACUUUCUUCUACAUCAUAUUCAAACUUGUCCAAAUAAAUAAUAAAGUCAUCUAGGCUUAAACAAGGUCGUCUAAGACUUCAUACAAUUAAUAUAAAACCCUAUACCCCCAAUGUCAUAUCCUAUCAGAGCGUUAUGCCCCGACGUCCUUCAACACAAGGUUCCUUAAAACAAUUCACCUAGUCAACUGCUCCCCCGAACACAAAGUUCAAGAUCAUCACAGGAUCCAAACACAAACAACACACAGGGAGUGAGUUAUCACAUUCCUAAAUAAUGGAUAGAAACAAGAUAAAAUGUAGGUAUAAAUAUCAAAUAAACAAAAUACAACUUACUUAAGCAUCAUUCACGUUAUUUCACCACUUUGUCACACAACAUUACAUCGCAACACCACACAUCUCAUUAGUUUUCACAGCAUUCACGUAUUCAAGGAUCAACACACAAUAUCACCAAGUCAAUCAAUAUCGAUCAAUACACAAGUGUUAUGCAACAUAUAUACUAAGACUCAAUCUUAUAUGCAAUGUGGUACCAUGUCAGUGAAAAAUCACGUCGGGUGCCUAGGAGUACAUGACAAGACAAACCACACACUAGCAAGUCAGGUUACUCUCACUAGGUAAGAUCAUAGGGAGACCAGUCAGGGUCAUAGUAUUUUGCGAGAAUGCUCCAACCUGUGACACCCUCUACCCCAACAUAUAUAUAAAUAAACAAAAUAUAUAAAAAUAUUGGUAACCAAAUUCACACGGGUAAAAGGUUCACAUUCACUUCACUAUUAUCGAUUAAAACUUAUUAAAACAUAUUCGGCUCAAAAUAAGGCCGUCAAAAUUUACAUAGAUAUUUUAUUAAAUCAGUGAAAUAAAAUAAAAUAGACUAACAUCAUGCAACUAAUAUAAAAACUUAUGUCUCACUGUCACAUUCUAUCAGAGCGCUGUGUCUCGACGUCCUUCAGCAUAAUGUUCCUUAAAGCAAUUCACCAAGUCAUCUGCUCCCCCCGAACACAAAGUUCAAGAUCAUCACAGGAUCCAAACACAAACAACACACAGGGAGUGAGUUAUCACAUUCCUAACUAAUAGAGAAACAAGACAGCUAGAUAUACAUAUCAUAUAAACCAAAUAAAACUUACUUACACAUAAUUCACGUAAUUCUACCACUUUGUCAUUCAAAGUUCACUUUCCAUCCAUCAAUCACACUUUUCAAUCAUCAAUCACAUUACACAAGAAUCACACGCUCUGAUCAAGACAUAAUAACACAUCAAUUUCAUAAUAAACAAUUAGCAAGCGCAUGAAACAGUUAUGCUAAGACUCAAGCCUAUAUGCAAUGUGGUACCAUGUCAGUGAAAAACCUCGUCGGGCGCCUAGGAGUACAUGACAAGACAAACCACACACUAGCAAGUCAAGUCACUCUCACUAGGUAAUAUCAUAGGGAGACCAGUCAGGGUCACAGUGUUUUGCGAGAAUGCUCCAACCAUAUGGGAUCAACAUAGGCUUAAAGGAGCACUCAAACCGUGUGACCCCCAAGACUUACACUCCGAAGAGUCUGUUAGGGACUCUCCCUCUUAAUUCAAGUCCAACCUAGAAAAUAUUUUAGCACACAGACUCUAUGAAUUGUACAAAACACACCACUCCUCAAUUGUUCUCAAAAUAAUUUUAACUCGUCGCCCUUUAAGGGUUUUAUCAUUAACUCGUCGCCCUUAAAGGGACUUAACAUCAACUCGUCGCCCAAAAAGAGACUUAGCAUCAACUCGUCACCCUAAAAGGGACUUAACAUCAACUCGUCGCCCUAAAAGGGACUUAGCAUUAACUCGCAGCCCUUGAAGGGACUUAUGAUCGUGUGAUUGUACAAUUCAUAGUUCACAACUCUAUGCACACAUCUCAUCUCAAUACACAUGUAUUUCAUCAUCCGUCACAUGUUCAAUUUAUCACAUACUCACGAUUUGAAUCAUCAUUUCAUAACCUCAACAUAACAAUUUAUACAAAAGAUUUUAUCACAACAUGGGAUGUAAAACCUCUAAAAUAGUUUCUCACAAUUGUAUCAAAAUCAAUUAAUCAAAAUCAUGGGUUAAAGACAAAGACAUCAAGAGCUCUCAAGUUUAUCAAUCAAUUCUAAUCAGGACAUCAAUUGGUACAUAUAACACAAUAAUAUUGUAUUCAUAAUCAUAAAUAAAAAUUAUAAUUCAAUCAACAUUCCAAAAUAAACUCAAAUUUAGUUCUCUAAGGAUCCCUACACAUAUUCUCACUAACCCCUAAUUGUGAAUAACUCAUCCCUUACCUCUAAGCGGACUCACGUGUCUUCCCACAGCGAUAGCGUCAUCUCUAACGGUUCCCUAAGAUUCCUCCAGUUUUUCCUCUGACUGCUCCGAUAUAAUUCCCAAACGUCAGAGAAACAGAGAAAGGAUUAAAGCAUCCAUUUGGACUAUCUUCAUGCGAUUCAUUUUUCUCCCUCCACGAACAUUAUCUCACAAAUCCCAACAGUCAAAGAGUGCACAACUGAAUUUCGAACAACAUAUCCAAAUUUUACGACAAUCCAACGGUUAACGAAACCGAGAUAGUAGUUUUACCAAGACAGCUCUGGGUUUCUGCGGGAAAGAAAAAUGCUACAAUACGAGGGGUAUUUCUCUUAUCUCAGACGUGAUAUCGAAAUUCCCAACGGUGAGAAUGCUCAAAAAUGGGUUGCGAACAUGGUUUUUAAAUUUCACGACGAUCCAACGGUGAAUGAGUCCGAGAUCGGCAUUUUUCUGAGACAGGUUUGGUGGCCUGUGGAAAAAAGAGAGAGUUUUGGGAGAGGAAGAGAGAAAAAACGAUUAGCAGGCAGAGGAGGCUGAGAAGUCAGUCUGAAAACUGACCUAGCAUGUCGCUAUUUAUAACUAAGGGUAUUCACGACCUAUUAUUUACUUUAUUUAUUUAUUUUUAUUAUUUUAUAAAAAAAGAAACUCUAUUUUAUUCUCCAUCAAAUGAAUAAUAAAAUACCCUUCUUAUUUUCUAUCAAACCAUUAUUUUAUUAUAACUAUUUUUCUUUUUUUAUUUAAUUAUAAAACAUCAUUAUUCUCUAAAAUUUUAUAUACUAAAAAAAAAAUGGGAUGUUACACAACCAUAUGGGAUAAACAUAGGCUUAAAGAAGCACUCAAACCAGGUAAUCCCCAAGGCCUACACUCCGAAGAGUCCGUCAGGGCCUCUCCCUCCUAAUUCAGGUCUAACCCAAAAAAUAUUUUUGCACACAGACUCUAUCUAUGAACUGUACAAAACACACGACUCCUCAAUUGUUCUCAAAUAGUUUAUCUCGUCGCCCUUAAAGGGUCUUACCAUUAACUCAUCGUCCUUAAAGGAACUUAGCAUUAACUCGUCGCCUUUAAAGGGUCUUAGGAUUAACUCGUCGCCCUUAAAGGGACUUAGCAUUAACUCGUCGUCCUUAAAGGGACUUAUAGUCGUGUGAUUGUACAAUUCAUAGUUCACAACUCAAUGCACACAACAUCUCAAUCACAUACAUACACAAUUUAUCACAUACACUCGAUCUCAAUCACAAUGGUAUAAUCUCAAUUAACACGUUAUCACACCUCAUGAAUCAUAUACACUUUACCUAUGAACUAUGCAAUACACAUAACUACUCAAUUGUUUUCAAAAUCAUUUUAAAUUGUCGGUUUCCCAUAGUGGAUUCCAUCACAAUACUUGUCGCCUUUAAAGGGUCUUACAAUUGUGUGAUUGCACAGUUCAUAGCUCACAACUCAAUACACACAUAUCAAUACACAUUUAUUUCACCAUUUAUCAUAGGUUCAAUUUAUCACAUACUCAUAAUUUGAAUCACCAUUUCAUAAUCUCAAUAUAAUAAUUUAUACAAAAGGUUUAUCACAAUAUGGGCAGUAAAACCCCUUAAAUAAUUUUACACAAUUAUGUCAAAAUUAUGGGUCAAAAUGCAAAAACAUCAAGAACACUCAAGUUUAUCAAUUGAUUCUUAUCAAAACAUCAAUUGGUACGUAAAUACAAUAAUAUUGUAUUUAUAAUUGUAAAGGAAAAGUUAUAAUUUAAUAAACACCUCAAAAUAAAUCUCAAUUUAAUUCUCUAAGUAUUCCUACAUAUGUUCUCACUAAUCCUCAAUUGUGAAUAACUCAUCUCUUACCUUUAAGCGGACUCACAUAUGUUCUGGCAGCAAUAAUGACAUCUCUAGCAAUUUCUGGAGAUUCCUCAAGUUUCUCCUCAGAUUGCUCUGGUAGGGUUCUUAGAAAGAACGAGAAGUGAUUGAAGCCUCCAUUUGUACUGUCUUCGUGCGAUUCCAUUAUCUCCCUCCAUGAAUUUUAUCUCGCAAAUCCCAACGGUGAAGGUGUGUGGAAUUGAAUCUCUAACAAAAUAUCAAAAUUUCACGACAAUCCAACGGUUAAUGACUCCGGGAUCAUAGUUUUACUAAGAGAAUUUUGGGUUUCUGCGGGAAAAGAAAAUUGUACAGUGCGAAGUGUAUUUCUCUUAGUUAAGCAUGAUUUCUAAAUUCCCAACGGUGGGAAGGCUCGAAAUUGAGUUGUGAAUGUGGUGCUAAAAUUUCACGAUGAUCCAACGGUGAAUGAGCCUUAGAUCGUUAUAUAUAGCUAGACUAACCUAGCCUAACAUUUCGUUAUAUAUAACUAGGAUACUCACAACCUAUUAUUUAUUCUAUUUAUUUAUUUAUAUUAUUUUAUAAAAACAAACUCUAUUUUAUUUCCUAUCAAAUUAAUAAAUAAAAUAUUCUUUUUAUUUUCUCUCAAAUUAUUAUUUUAAUUAAUAGAGUUAUUUCUCCUUAUUUAUUUAAUCAUAAAAACUUCAUUUUUUUCUAAAAAUCUAUUUAUUUAUAAAUAGAUUCUUUUUUAAAUUAGUCUAAAAAAAAUGGGAUGUUACAAUUUUGAUUAAUCAACCAUCAAUUCUAAUAAUAAGUAAAUUAUAGUAAGAAAUUCAAAUAGUCCAAACCACAAUUGAUACUGUUCAAAUUUUAGUCAUCAACAAAACAAAACAAAAAAUCUAGUUUAAGGCUUCCCCAAAACAGUGAUAUAAAGGCGAGUAGCAUUUCACACAAUUCAUUUCUCAAUUAUUUCCACAAAAUGAAGAAAAUCAUAAAGGAGUAAUGCAGGAAUUUCUAAGAUGAUAAGUUCGAUAAAAGAAUUACUGAAAAGGGAUGAAGGAACUGAUUUCUAUAACAAGCUAUGCAAUAUAAUCCUACAAAGAACUCAAGCUAUACACGGUAACUGCUACAAUCUAUGAUACAAAAAGCAGACUAUAAAUUAACACUGUACAGCCUCAAAUGGCCAAAAAAAAUAGGUAUACAUUUUUAUUCAUCUGUCCAACUUCACUGCCAAAUGAUGAUUUGGUUGUGUGCACUAUGCCAUGACCAUGUAAGUGGAUGUAAGCAACAUCAUAUUUCUGGUGGAGAGGAGCUAGUAAGCAAUUCCAUAACUAUAGGCACAAUAAAGUUGACACACACAAACCACAACAUUGACUGUUGAAACAAGAAUAUGUCAAGAUAUACUAUCUAUGGUUAGUGUCACUGACUCUAAAAUCAUUAUCCUUAGCCGCUAAGCGAGCUGUUGAACCGACGGUUGUUGGCCGCAAUGAUCCUUGCCGCACCAUAGCGACGAAUUCAGGGUCAUUUGUCUUUCCCUCGUACCUUAUCCAUUGUACCAUAUCAUGAUACAUGGGAAAGAACCUCAUCUGUAUUGCUGAGUAAGAGAAGUAUGGGAUAAGUGUUGAGAUGGAAACAAACAAUGUCACAAUCCAAAAGGAAGGAGAUGGUGCAAGAGUUUCAAUGAAGACUUUGUAAGCAUUUCCAGAAAAGCUGGGAGAUAAUGCUCCAUAUGCCAGGAGGAAAAGGUACCAUAGAGCAAUGGAGCCCCAGAUGAAAAUAUGUUGAAUCAAGGUGAAGUAACUUAUAGAAACAGCCAUUUGCAAGUUCACAACCCAAACCACACAAGUAUACAUCGUUGCUCCGAGUAUGUCCCUCCCAGCGGUUCUUCCCUUCUCAUCAAAGGCUUGAAUCUCCAUUGCCUUUGUGCAGAAGAAGAAAAUUAUUAUGGCACUAAUAAAGCCAUUAAGCAUCCAGCUGAAAAUUCGACGCCAGCUAAAGAGGACAUUUUGCACACCUUCUUGAUAUAACAUAGGAAACUGCCAUGUGAAAUGCAAAUAACAAGGAAUGAACAUCAAGAAGUAAACCAGGAACCCCAAAUAAAGUAAAUCAAUGCAUACUGUAUUUUACUUUGGAUACAGCUAAAAGAGGGCUUAUUUAUAGGUGACUUCUGUGUUUUAACGUUAUUGCUACCCUUGACAUUGUGUUUUAUCAUGAUGCAACUAAAAGCCACUUGGAAAGGGUAAAAACUAAUUAGGUCAACAGGCUGAAUUAGGUCUAAUGUAGAUAAAAUCAUAUGAAUUAUUGCAAGGUUUUGUUAUCUUUUUUGUAUGGUGGGUUCUCUCUACUCUUCCAUCAAUCAGCACAGUAUUUUACACCAGAGUAAGGAAAAGUUUCAUUUCAUAACCAUUAUGAGAAACACAAUAGCAUGUUGUAGGGUGAACAGUAAGCUUACCCUUUGACAGUACCUAGAAGACACAUCCUGGUCAAAGACCCCAAGAGCAAUCACGGGAAGUGACGAAAAGAAGACAUUAUAGAGUGACAAAAACCAGUCAUUGUAUGCAGGUUGCCCAGAGAAUGAUGCGUACACCUCAUAUAAGAAUAGAGUAAAGCCAAAUGUGAUGUUUUUGUAGAAGAAAUAGCAUAUCUGUAGGAAGAAGAAUGAACAAGUUAAUAUAAAUACCAAAGGUUUCAAAUUAUCUUUUAUGGCCUAUGGUUCAGUUUGGCAACUCAUAAAACUGGUUUAGAAUUGUUUAGGAUAAUCUCGUCAUAAAUUUAGGUUAUUUUUAAACUAGUUUUAAGUUUAACUAAAAUUUAGAUAAAUUAGCAUUAAACUAGAUCUUCUCAAAUCUAAUUUAAUUUUAAAAAAAACUAGCAUGCUUAUUGACCUUUCUCCUUUGGACGAAUAAGUGGUUCCUAAAAUUAUUUAAUCAAAACCACCCUAAGAUUUAGCUGAAUGAGAGAAAUGGGAAAAUGGAAGAUUUAAGUAGUUUUAUUUCAAAAUUGGCUUCCAUAAGAACCAUUUUUUUUCUUAAAUAUCGGUAGUUACCAAACACCUUAUAUUUUUAAAAAAUGGACCAAUUGCUCUUUUAUAUAUAGAGAGAGAGGAGAGAUAUCAAAUUAUACCGGUGUAACUUUGACAACUAUUACACCAUUCUUAUAACUUGAUAUAGAGUGUGAUUGUUUGUGUCAAAAUUGAACAACAAGAAGAACAAGAAGAAGGUAAUCAAAUGAUUUAUAUUUUAGUAUAUUUUGAAAUGUUUAUAUUACAUUGAUUUUAAUUUAUAUGAAAGAGGUAGCAAAUGAUUUUGGAUUAAUAUAAAAUUUUGCAUAUGUAAUCUAUGUGAAAAAAACUUUCAAUCCAAUGGUGAGUUUUAAGAAAACAUUAGCCAGUUAAAGGUUAUAGAAUGGUAUAAUAGUUGUCAAAGUUACACCGGUGUAAUUAUAUCCCUCCUCACACACAUAUAUAUAAAGAGAGGACAUAUCAUAUGAGAGUGAGAGAAUUAAAUCUAAACUGUAUAACCAAACAUGGACGGUCAAAAUUUAAUGUCAUGUGACUUUUUAACAUUAAAUUUCAACCCUCCAUGUAUGGUUUUAUGGUCCAGAUCUAAUCUUCUCACUCUCAUAUAAGAUGUUCCCUCUCAUAAGAUACGUCUUCUAUAUCUAUAUAUAUAUAUAUAUAUAUAUAUAUAUAUAUAUAUAUAUUCAAAGUUCCCAAACAUCCCCUAAAUCUAUAGAAUGUUGAGAAGUGGAUAUAAGAGUAGCAAUACCAUUGAUGAGAUCCUUCGGUAACACCAAUGUCCAUGUACAAGAAGUAAUCUUUCUAAAUAACGAAACUGUGCAAUAGCAAUAUCACUAGACAUAACCGCCUGAGAGGAAAGAUAACAGAAAGAAUUAAAAUAAUUGUGUAAGGAAAAAAAAAAUUAAAGAACAAAACACAAAUAGUUUCUCAAUUUGCUGAGUACCUGCAUUCCUUCAACGCCACUGAUUCCAAUCCCUAUAUCUGCUUCUUGAAGCAUUCCCACAUCAUUAGCUCCAUCACCAAUAGCUAAUGUAGUUUUACCAGUACCAGAUUUGACUAGUCUAGUGACCUUUAAGAGAGGAACCAAUAAAUAAAACAUUAAUUUUGAAUGCUAACUAGAAUCAUUAUCAGAAUUAAAACAAAAAUGAGGACAUGAUGCCAAAUAGAGAGGAAGAAACACAAUAGAUUGAAUCAUACCAGUGCCUUCUGCUUCGGUGAGGAACGGCAGCAAAUAACAGAUGCACAACGAAUUGCAAGGUCUAGAAACAUGUUCUUCAUAGUAUCCUCUAGCGCAUAAGUAAGUGAUUUUCCAUCAAUAAUUAGAGCAAAUGCUUGCUGAGAGGUUCCUCUGGAGGCAGUAAGCUGUUGAGCAGCUUCAGAUAUUUGAUGGCGGAUACUUUCUCUUGAAGCCUAAUGCAUGAAUCAGCAUAAAAACGUCAGAAACUCAAUUUUUAACUCUGGUUUCGCUAAGAUGCUUACACAACAAGCAAUCCCUUCCAACACAUUACACAGGCAAAGAAAAGAUUUAAUGUGUAAAAACAAAAAGGAAAGAAACAAAAUAACAGAAUCCAUUCAUCAUCCUUCUUGCAUCUUUUAAGACAAAAGUAAACAAUGCUGUGCAAAUUCAGUUAUUGGAAAUUUGAAAUUAUUAAUAUCACUCUGUCAAGAUUCUUUGUUUACAAAACUGGAAUGGAAAAAUCCAUGAAAUAUAAGUUCAAAUCAUCAGCAAUGUAAAGCAAAUACAAUGCACGCAUCAAGUCACCAUGUUAGAAGACCGUAUUGGUUUAUCAUAAUAAGUAAACAUUUUGUUAACAUGCAAACUACACAUAGUAUGCAAAGUGCAAACUGCAUCAUCAUAGAUAAAAGCUACAUAUUGAAAUUUACUUUACCUUGACAAUAGCACCCUUGUCUCCAGCCUUCUCCAAUGUUUUAAUAUCUGGAGUUUCCAAAUGAAUGAUAAUCUGCUUCAUUCCUUGUCUAAGUAAACUACAAGAAAACCUGCAAUUGUUUAUUGAUGUCAGACAUCUUGAGAACCAAUUAUCACACUGAAGCCAAAGUUAAAAAGGCACAAUCACUGUAUUAUACCCAAUAUUGAUAGCAGUCUCCAUUUUAUCCCCAGUCAAUACCCAUAUCUUAAUUCCAGCUUGGGCAAGCUUGUCAAUGCAAUCAGGAACCUAGAAAAACAAGGAGAUGCAUCAUUUCAAGUCCAGUUACAGCUGAUAAAUCUUCAUAUGUAAACAUUUAUUUCUCCUACUCACCCCAUCUUGGAGCUUGUCCUCUACAGCAGUGGCACCAAGAAGGAUUAGAUUCCUCUCAAUCUUAUCUGAUACUUCCUCAAUCAGUGUUUCCCGAUCUUCGCUAAUCGAAUUCUUCGCCUGUGAAAUUUUGUUGUCAAACUCCUUGUAUUGGUUUUCAUCAAGUUCACGAAAUGCUAGGAUCAAGGUCCUUAGACCUGCAUCAGCAUAUUCAUGCACAUGUUCCAUGGUUUUCUCUUCAAACUCUCUCCCAUCCUUGGCAAGCCUCUCAAACAUGACACUGCAUGAAAAUAUGGCGGGUUAAAUGCAACUGUAAGAACUCCAAAAUACUAUUGGUUACAGAUUAGUUUAUCACAAACCUGUCAGCACCUUUACAGAGUAGGAAAAUUCUCCCUUCUUCAUCUUUCACUAUCACUGACAUUCGCUUCCUUGAGCUAUUGAAUUCUAAAAUAUUAAGAAGUUUGUACAUCCUGAAAAAAAAAUAGUAUAUACCAGAUGCAUUCUGCAUUACUUGCAUUUCAAAAAGAAGUUACCAUAAACAAUAUUUGAAUUAGGAACACUGCAUUAUUAAAGAUAUUUUAGAAGCUAUCACACAACAAUUGUAAUCAUGUAUAAUGUGAAAUCCCCUAUUUCAAACACCAUCACAAAAUAAUAAAUAAAUUCGCCAAGUGGAAAAGAUGGCCAGGGCAAAAGUUUAACCAGUUUUUUCAUCCAUAUUAACUGUUAAGAUGUCCCACAUUGGUUAGAAAUAUAGCCAAAAUACUCCUUAUAUAGCUUGGAAAAUCUUCCACCCUCAAGCUAAGCUAUUGGGGGUCAUCUUAGGCCUAGCCCAUUUUUAAUUUUAACUAAAAGAAAAUGUUGCCUCCAUUUAUACCUUGUAAAACAAUAUCAUAACAUCUUUGGGGUCCACAGAUCUAAAACACAUAAGUUCACUUAUUCUAUAAGCAGCUUUGGUCUACUUGGUCAGUCAUUCUGGGAGUUGAAAAAUACUAUAAUUUAUUGACUAAGAUCAGCAGCAGAAGGUAAGAGUUGCUACUUCGAAGCACUUUUUGUUGAAAUUAACUGCUGUUAUUACAAGACUUGUAAUAUGUCAUUGCAUGCGCCUUCUUCAGUUAGAAUUCAACUUUAAACUUCUUAUGUUGAUUAACACUCAAAAAUGCAACAUUUAAAAUCUGUAGCUACUAAAGAAAGAAACCAAUUAAUAAAAACUGACCUUUCAGUUUUGUCACCAGAAACUGGAUCCAAUUCAUACAUUGAUAAACUAGUCUGAGUCCUUUUAAAGAAUUCAAAACCAAUUUCUCUAGCUGCUAUCACAAAUGCUGCUUCAUCUGGAGAUUCAGUUUCAUAUGAGAUAUUCCCUGUGUCUUCAUCAACUUCUGGAAUGGCUGUAUGGCAGAUUGCUAAUAAGCGAAAAAAAUUCUGGAUAACAUUAGCAUAAGGCUCAUUAACCCAAUUUCCAUUCAUUAUCCUUUCAUCUGAAAAGUUAAAUCCUUUUAUGGGAGCAUUUCUGACAGGAGAGCUCCUUGUGUCAUCAAUCAAAGGAUAACCAUUUUUUCUAUUCAUUGCCCUCUCAACCUCUGUAACACCACGGCCAUAAGCUACCCCAGCAAUGGAACAUUUGAUGAACUCCAUCGAGUUGCAGGUCAGAGUUCCAGUCUUAUCAGAAAGUAUUGUGUCAACUUGGCCAAGUUCCUCAUUCAAGUUUGAAGUACGGGCAUGGGCUGGUUUGUCAGCAUCUUCAUAGUACAUGUGGAUAUCUUGAUUGAUGAAGAUGCUCUGAAGGACUUUGACAAUUUCUAUUGAAACAUACAAUGAGAUGGGAAUGAAGAAACCAUAUAACAUUAAGGCUGUCAAAAAAUGAAAUAUAGCAGCAGCAGGUGCUCUUUUAGGAUCAAAGAAAAUUGUAGAAUCAUCUGGUCUAAGGUACCACCUUUUCAUCAAUCCAUUGUCCAAGUCAUCUUCAGUUGCAAUGCCAAAGAAAAUAGAUCCAACAAAUGCCAUUAGAAACAAAAUACAAAACAAGAAGUAGAUAACCCUAUCCAUCUUCUUCUCAACCUUGCUUCUCUUUGAAGGGGCAUCAGUGGAAUUUUGAAUGACCUUCGUGUCAUGACCAGUGAAGAUGACAGCACCGAAUACGUAGUCUGUGUUACGAAGUUUAGAGUCUCUGAGAAGAAGUUGCAGAGGAGAAAGGGGAUAUUGUUGUUCUUCAUACUCCAUGCUCCCAACAAAUGAAUAUAAAUUUGCAUUUGGGUCUUCACAUUUGACUGUAGCCUUAAAAUCACCGAAAUGAAAGUCCUCAUGUAAGGAAGAAAUUACUUCCAACCCUUGUUUUAACUUCAAAUUUGUCUCCCCAUCCAAGUUCAUGGUCUCAACAUAGCAGAAUGCAUCCUCAUAACUGGAUGAAAGCAGUAGGAGGUCUGCAGGGAAGAAUUCAUCCUUCAUUAUCUUCACUAUAUGCCCCACCUUCAGAUUCUUCCACUCAAUAUAUUCAAAAGUUCCAUGCCCUUUAUGCACUUUAACUCUUCUACUAUUCACCUCAAUAUCCUGCAGCAGGAUUCCACUGGCUAGGUUAUGAACCCCAACAAAGCUAAAUGAUUAUUGCUUUAUUGUUUUCUUAAUAUAAAUAACUAGUGAUAUAUUACUUUAAUUUCAAAUAGAUAUUUAUUUAAACAUAAAAAAAACGGAAAAUCAUAAUCAUAUUAGCAUAGACAAGAGGACUUAAAAUGCAGGGAAUAUUGUGGCAAAAAAAAAAUAUUAUAGACACUAUUUUGGACAUUCUGGUUUCUUACCACACUGUCAUUUUAUCAAAUUAUUAAGAAUUUUCAACUCCAGUUAUAAAUUUAACUUGGAAUCCGGGAGAUAAUGUUAACUACUGGAUUUAUGAACAAAGAGUUUAAUAAUAGCACUACAUCCUUUUCAAACAAGACAUAGUAAGGAUCUGAACAAAAAAGCUGGAAUCUUCCAUAAACUGACUACCAUUCCAUAAAAGGAAAUAAAGAAUCAUUGUAUAGUCUCCCUCCACCUUCCAAGAAAACAACAAUUUUCUUUUAAAAAUUACUGAUACUCUUCAAGCCAUGGGGUUCUAUCCAUCCCCCAAUAGAGUUUACAGAUAUAAUAAGUUGUUAAAAAAUAUAAAUCAAAUUAAAUUUAUAAUCCACACAGUUGUGCUGCAGGGUGGAAGACAAAAAGGUUCAAGAGCCUCACUUUUAAUAAAAUGAAACUAAACUCACAAGCAACUAUGAGGGUAAAGUAGAAGACAGAAGAAUCUAGUACCUGCUUUUUCCUUUGGAAAUCUUCAAUCCCCUCUUUGAUCAUAGUUGCCCCAACAAUAAUAAUCAGAGGAAGGAUAGCACUGACAGCUGUAUAAGGAGCAAGUUUUGUGAAGGCCAAGAUGCCAGUUACCAAAAAAUAGAAAUUAGCCACCCUCCUAAACUGCUCAAAAAGUGACUUAGGCAAGAAAGAAGCAAGAGUAUACUUUGUGGAGCUCACAUAAUUAUCAGCAUAACUCCUUAUCCCGGCCUCAAAGCUCUCUGGCUCAUUGCAAAACACCACCCUAGAAUACCCUCUCCCUCCAAUAUGUGAAUGAUCCUCCUUGAGUGAUUGUUUCCCACAUGCAAAUGAAUAGAUCUUGCUAAGAUGCAACUUCCUUCUCCUCUCACCCCUCAUUCUUCUCCUCCCCAAGUCCACCAUUCAAUCCGCCAAUAUCCAAAACCACAAAGAAAAAGAGAAAGAAAAAAACCCUUAGAAAGAAGAACACUACUUGCUCCACCCCCUAAACACCAGAGCCACCAAAGACAACAACUACCAAAACUAACAACCUCACCAAGUCCUUUUCAAACCCAAGCUCACUCCUCAAAUUUCAAAAUAUAAUAAAAUAAAAACCCUCAAUGCACCCUACCACAACCCCCUCUUCAAGCUCAACCACAAUUCACAACCCCAAAUACUCAAAAUCCCUCUACCCAAUUAAGGGUCAAAGAAACUGAAGAAAACAAACCAAACUAACAACCCCAAAACUAAAUAAAUAUAUAUAUAAAAGGCUGAUCACAGAAGAAUAAGAAGAAGAAAAAAGAAUAUUGCAAAAGCUGACACCAAAAUAACAGAAAGGUUCAGAGAUGCUAGAAUGUGUGUGUAUGUAUUUACUGUUGAGGAAAAGCAUCAACUAUCAACUAUAUAACAUAUUUGCAGAAAACAAAAAACACCCAGAAUAAGACACGUCAAAGGGUGCCUAGAAAAUGGGUGAAGGAAUCGACUUGGGAAGAGAAUGUUCGAGGAAGCCAACAACACCAACAAAGACAGCGAAUGAAAAUUCACCAUUUUUGGUAAUGAUUUAUCAAAGUGUGACACAUUCAGAAGAACACGGUAAUGGUGAAAAUGGUGACAAGAGCGUUGAACAAAGACUAGGAUUGGAUCUCGCAUUUUUCAUUGGACGAGCAUUACCCUUCAGAAGAAUUCAAAUUUGCGCCACUUUUCCACGGUGCCAUGGGAAAAUGGGGCAUCCAAAAAGUUCAACGAAGGGGAAAGAAAGAAAAUUAAAAAAAAAAAUCUAAAUUCAAAAUUAUAGGGGAAAAAAUAAGUGAAAUGAAAACGAAGAAAGAAAGAGAAAGUUCUAUUUGUUAUGUUUUCUUCUCUGUUUCGCGGGAAAGCUAUGGAGCUCAUCAAUGGUAACAGACAACUCUCUCUCUCUCUAGAAAACUUCACAGCUAAUUGAUGCAAUACAUUGAAAAAGAAGAAGAAACAACUAAGUAAAUAACUAAUUUUAUAUAAUAUUAACAAUAAUGUGAUGUUGUUUAAAAAAAAUAACAUUAAUGUGGUGUAAUAAUAAUAAUAAAUAUAAGAAAAAAUAUAAUAAAUUAAUGGAUUUGAGUAAUCAAGUGUGCUUAAAAUAUUGAUUAAAAAAUUAUUGUAAAAAUUAUAAGAUCAAAAAAAUUAUAAAAUACGUAAUUAUAUAUAAAGAUACUAAUUAAUAUUUAUUUAAAUUAAUUGAGUAAUUAUUGAGUACACCAUGACAGGGGGAAAAUGGAAAAGAAAACACGCCGGUUUUGACUCUAAGCAAAAUUGGACAAAGAGAAAAAAUUAGGUGCGUGCAUGAGCAGAAUUGAAUUUGGUCAAGUGGGAAUAUUAAGGUAUGAAAUUGAGAAUAAUUGAAUGACAGUUAACAAGAUCUACUUUUAUUUACAUUUUUUUGAUAAUAGCAACAUCUAUUUUUAAGUUUAGUAGAGUUUUAUUAUUUUCAAGGCUGUUUUUAAGUCUUGGUGCGGAAAGGAAAUAAGGGAAUCCAUUAUUGCAUACAAAAUGGUAAAAAGAAAAAAAAAAAGGAUUAUUUACUAUUUUAAAAUGAAUGUAAUGGAAGUUACAAAAUUAUAAGAUUUUUUCGUAUUUGAUUGUUGUUGAUAGUGAAUUAUUAGUUAUUAUUUUUACCUUGUAAAUCUCAAAGAAAACUUUUUUCUAAAAGAUGAAAGUUAUUUUUAAAUUGGUGUUUUAAUAAAAGGCUGAAUUAUAAUUUUGAUUUAUCUUUUAUUCUUGUUCAUUGAUUUUAGUUUUUUUAUAAUUUUAGUUUUCGUAUUUUGAUUUAAUUCUCAAAUUUUACAUACAUUUAUUUUUUUAUUUGCAUAUUUUAACUAAUUAAAUUAUUCUUUGAUAUAAUUUAAAUGAAUAUGUUAAAUAGAACAACUAAGAGAAAUAAAACGUUCAAAAAAUUGAGGAUUAAAUUAAAAUUAUAUAUUUUUUAAAAAUUUAGAAACUAAAAUCAAGAGAGAAAAAUAUGAAGAACAAAAUGGCAGAUCAUAGAUUAAAGGGAGAUCAAAAUCACAAUAAGCUUUAAUAAAAUUAUCAAAUUUUACUUUUACGUUAGAAAUUAAAAUAACUAACUUGGAGACUAGAGCUCUCUUCCCCUGUAAAAUUGGGAGCAUGAGCAAAAUUAGAUUCAGGUGUCUUGGCAGUUAGGAUACGUAAUAUUAAGGUGUAAAAUUAUAAAUAGUUAAAUGAAAAUUAUUCAGGGUUUUGAAUCUAGAAAUGAAUUUAAAUGAAAUUUAUUAACAAUAAUACAUAUGUUUCACAUUCAAAAUAAAAGUUUAAAUUUACAAUACGAAAAGGACAAGUUAAAGAAUUAAGGAUAUUUCUAAUUAAUAACUUGAAAUUGACAGUUGUUUGGAAUUCAAAUUACUAUAUUUGGUGAUUUUAAAUUAAAAUCAUAUUUUUAUUAUUAAACUGUAAAAGAAUACUAUGUUAUUUUAAUAAGUGUAUAAUAACAAAAAAAUUAAAAAAAAAUAAUUAAUUUUAUGAUUGAAUAGAAUAUUAAUGUUUUAACAUUGUAUAUUUUGAUCAAUAGUUAUAUAUAUAAAAAUUAUUUACACUAGAAAAAUAAAUAAUAUUAUUUUAUCAAAAACGUUUUAAAUAUUUUUCAAAUUCACUUUCUAGCAAAAAUUAACUUAAAUAAAUAAAUUCAAGUAAAAUUAAAUUUACAGAAUAUAAUUCGAAUUUCUUCUUUUUUUAUAGAAAAAAGGAGCUUAUUUCAUGUCAUUGGUGAUAAAUGAAGAAAUACAACUUGGAACAUGCUCAAACACUUGGUUACUAGCAAUAUAAUAAUUCGAACUUGAUGGAAUAAAAAAAUGGCUUUCAUGAGAUAAAAAUGUAUCAAGGUAUGAGUUAUCAACACGCACGCUUAAUGGGUCAAACCUUAAUUUUUAUUUUAUUUUUGUAGGAAUUGAUUCUUAUUCAAACCAUUACUUUGUACGUUGUUAACUUGUUAUGUUUUGCACCCUUUUUUUUCUAUCUUGGUUUAUUCCGUACGUUGACCCUUGACAAGUUCUUUUUAUUUUAUUUAUUUUUGAGUUUAUGGUUUGUUGUGUGCACGAGAUGCGCGGAGACACGGAACUUCGAAAAUGACAAAAAUGAAGUUUUUAACGAAAGAGUGCGAAACGAAACCAUGUCUUUUGUUUGUUGGUGAAGACAAGGACGGAAUAAUGAGGCUUAAUUGGUUCUUGAAAUUUUAAAACUAAUUAAUUUGAUUUUAAAUUUUUAAAAAUUUGACGAUUAAAUUAAAUCAUAUAAAAUAAGUUGAUGAUCAAAUUGAUUUAUUUUAAUAUAUAUAUAUAUAUAUAUAUAUAUAUAUAUAUAUAUAUAUAUAUUAUUUUACGUUAUUCUAUUAUGAACUAUCAAACUUUUUUAUAUUAUUUUAUGUUAUUUUUUAAGUAUAUAAACUAUUAAACUUUUGAUUAAAAUCUAAUUUUCGUCUUCAUAUUUUCUUAAAUUCGUGAUUGUAGUCUUUUUAUUUUUAAUAGAGACAUUUUGUUUCUCUUUUAAAAAAUUUGUAAUCUUAAUUUUCCUAUUUUUUUCUAUUUGAGACAUUUUAUCUCUCAUUUAAAAAAAGAUCUAAGUUUAGUUUUCUUGAUCAAUUUAAGAUUCGUUGAUUGUGUAGUUCUUUAAUUUCUUUUAAUAAAUUAAAUGUUUUAACAAUUAAAUAGUUUUAAAAAAAUGUCACGUAAAUAAUAAACAAAUACAUGUAAGUGGACAUUUAUAGAAUACUUAGAUCAAGUUUAAAAUUAACUAAGGAUUAAAAUUGUAGAUUUUUUAAAACUUGGAGAUAAAAUUUUCCAAUUAAAAAAAUAAAAACUAAAAUUAUAAAAAAUUUAAAAAUAAAGAAUAAAAUAUCUAAAAGGGAAGAUUAAAAAAAUAGAAGAAUAAAAAUUUUAUUUUAGGCUAAACUUUUUUAUUCUUUUAUGUUAUUCAAUUCUUAUUAAUUAGGUUAAUGUUUAUUAAUUAUUAACUUUUGGUUAAAUUAAUCAUUUGGUGAUUUUUUUACUUUCUAUAUUUUAAUUAUCUUUUAAUCUAUCUGUAAUUUGAAAAUGAUAGGGACUAAAGAAGUAAAAAUCAUGAAAACUAAAAAAAUCACUGUCAAAACUACUGGACUAAAAGAGAAUUAAAAUAUAAAUGAUAAGGAUUAAGAAGAUCAUUUUCAAAUUAUAGAAACUAAAAAGAUAAGAACCAUAAAACUAUAAGAACCAAAUGAAUAAUUUAACCUCAACUUUUUAACUUUUAGUUAAUUUAUUCACCAAUUUUACCAUAUUUUUUUUUGGCUGAAUUGUCCAGCUAAAGAGCCACAGACACCAAUCAAUUAAUUCCCAACUUGGGUAUCAAUAAAAACAUCAUCCUUCAUCAUGGAGUUUACAACAAAAUCUGGAUCUAGUUAAAAUAACAAACUUCCAAAGAUAAAGGAUAGAUCAUAUUUGGCAAAAGAAUCAGCCAAUGGCCUGCGAAUAUGGCCUAUGACACAAUUUUGAAAUUAAGCCUUCGGCUUAAGAAUUUCCUAUGAAACAAUUUUGAAAUUGAGCCUUCAGCUUAAGAAUCUCUUCAAGAAGAUCUUUGAAAUUGCUCCUUGUAUGCUCUCCAUCUAAUUUUACCAUAAGUGUGCUUGAGAUGUUAUUAUUUAAUAACGCUCUCUGUAAUUAACAAUAUAUUUUUUUAACAUAUUUUUUUUAAAAUAUACUCUUUUUAAUUGAAAUUUAUAAAUUAUAAUUUUUUUUAUCUCUGUCUGAAUUUUAUAAUUUUUGAUAAAAAAAAUUAAUCAAUAAUAAAAAUUUAUUAAAAGAUAUAUAGCAUUUCUCCUUCUCCAACGUUAAUAUAUAAAAGUAGUUUUUUAUUUAUUUUAAGAAGCAAAUUUUACUUCUUAAAAAAAUACUUAUAUAAAAAUAGGUAUUUUAAUAUUAUUUUUUUAAAAUUUAAACCGACUCAUCCGUUAAAAUAAAAAAUCGGAUUCGGAAGCAAUUAUUACAAAGACCAUGAGUAAUUCAAUAAUUUAACUAUGGGUCAUGCUAUUAUUGUUUGUAGGGUUUAGAUAUCUUCCAAUUAUGGUAAUUGUAUUUCAGAGUAGAUAUAAAAAAAAUCAAAAGGAAAGGACAAAUUCUCAAGCAUGUCUGUUUCACAAUUAGGCAGAUAAGACAUAAGUCAUAAUAUAAAAUUCAUAACUAAGAUUAAUUUAGACAUAUAUUUCAAUUUCAUUAAAUGAAAGCGAUAUUUUUUUAUAUAUUUUGAUAUACCAAUCUUAUUGAUUAACCUCAAAACUGCCACUAUCUUGUUCUUUAAUUAAUUAUAUAACAAAAUUGUAACCAAACCUUCAUUAUUUCUUUAUUUAUUCAUUUUGAAGAGAAAUGACAGGCACGUAUACGUAUUCUUGCAUUAUCUAUCUUGUUCGAUUAUGAACUGCUUGACUUCUGUUACUCCAUAAUAGAAUGUUUUUUUAACCUAUUUCGUAUAAUUUAUAUUUAUAAUCAAUUUCUUGCCCUUGACGUAACCUACAAUAGACUCACCAUUCACCAAAUAUACUUCUAUUUGUUUUCUUCUCAUGCUAGCUGGUUGCUUUGGUGGACAAAAUCAUCAAUAUCCCAAUUGACAUAUCCCUUUUAUAUCAUUUGUUUUCUCCUUUCCCUUGUAUUGAUCAUGUUAUUUAGGGUAUAUUUAGAAUGUAAUUUUUUGUUAAGACAACGAAAAUAUAUCUUUUAAAUAAAUAGAAUUAUAUAAUAUUUGUCGAUAUGAAGAAAUUAUUAAGAUGUUAAAUUUAUAUAACCUAUCUUUUUAUUUUUUUUAAAAUUAUCUAAUUAAAAAUUAAUAUUUAUUAAGAAUAACAAAAAUUUAUUCUCCUGUCUCUUUUCUUCUAAAUUUUAAUGUCCAAACAUAUAGUUAGUUAAUUUUAUUUGUGUGAUAUUUUAUGUCCAAACAAUUGUUUUCUCUAAUUUGAUUUCUCCUCCCCAACGCUCAUUUAAAUUUAUUUAUUUUUAAAAUUAAAAUACUAAAAUAAAUGUAAGUUUAAAACUACAAUUUAAAGUAUGUCAUUUUGAACCACCAUUGCAUUUAUUAUUAUUUUAAAAAUUUAAAAAAUCAUUAAUACAUCUUCCCCUUUUGGCAGCCUACUAACGCUACCACAGGUCAUAGAUCUUCUCCAAAAGACUCCACUAGGAGACUUUUUUUGUAAUUCUCUUCUUUUGCUUCUUCUUCACAUACAUUCCACUGUUAAGUAGAGCAAAAAAAGACACUCUUGUGGAGCUUAAAACAAUGUCAUCGAGACAUCUAGAAAGCGUGUCGCUCUCAAUUGGCCUCGAGAGGAAGAAAGCCUUCCUCCCUCUCUCUCUCUCUAUUUCUCUCUUAAGCUACAAAUAAAAAUAGAAGAACUUUUUCAACAACCACAUGCAUGGUUCCUUGAAAAAGCUAGCAUACUUGGUUGGGUUGAUGAUGCACUAGUUAGGUUAGGAACAAAAUUUAAAGUCGAAAAUGAAAGAGCAAAGGGUUUAUUAUUUGCUACAUAAUUCACAUAAUCUUGACAACAUCAACGUCCCAUAGGAUCCAAUCCUACAUAGCGGUCCUAUGCAGAAUAUUGUGCAUGAUAGAGUUCUUUCACGAUGACAAACCACCAUUGGCUCAAAGGAAGUUCUCAUGACGGGUCUUAUGAGCUUCAUGUCCCCUCUAUCCUUAAUGGGUCUAGAAAACCUUAACAAGAAGUCUAGAGAACCUUGUGUCUUGUGUCAUGCCUGACAAAAAAAGAUGAUUAUAGAUAGUGAGACACUUACUAAAAUAACUCUUCAGGUGAAUUAUGCUAUCGUGAAUGAUACUUGUUUGUGUAUGUAUACAACUAAUAAAGAAGAAGACUUGAUUUUAAUUUGUUCAAAUUCUUCAAUUAAUUUAUUUAUGAAAAUACUUGCGAACUUUUCACGUUUCAAAAGCUAAAGCUAACGCUCACAAGUUCAAGAUAGAAUGUAUAUUAUAAAAUGAGGUCAAAUGGAUAAGAAAACUAUAUGCCUAUGGAAGAAAUGUAGUUUUAUCGAAGAUAUAUGAGUGUGGGCAGUGACUUCUGUUGGACAUGUGGCCUCAGAAAUCUUAAGAAGGGGUGAAAUAAUUUUCCACUAACAAACUUUUAAUCCCCUUCUAAAAGAGAUAGGCUCAAAAUGCAGAAGAAGCAGCAAUCAAUUUAAUAAUGUUCUUUAAACAUGCAAGACAAAAUUGAUUGCAACAAAAUAAAUGAGAUAAGGGAAGAGAGAAUGCAAACACAGUUUGAUACUGGUUCGGCAAAGUCCGUGCUUACGUCUAGUACUCAAGCAACUCACUUGAGAUUUUCCUUUCUCUUUGUAAAUUCCUUUACAACUUUUGAACCACACAGAGACAACUCAUCUCUUGUGUUCAAGAAUUCUUACAACUUAAGAGACCAUCGGUCCCUUAAUCAAUCUCUUUGUAUAAGAAGAAAGAAGAGGAAUUCUCUCUUGAAGAGAAAGAUAUUACAAUUGAAGUCCAUGGAUGAACUCUUAAUGGAUUUGCAAGUAUUUGCCUAAGAGUUUCUUUUGAGAGAGCAUUUGGCAAUGAAGUUCUCUUGAAAUAUCUCUCUCAUUUCCUUUUAAGAGGAUAAGACGUUUUGAACAAGCAAAACUCUCUCUUCAAAAUUCGUGCCCAAGUCACCUAUUUAUAGGCCUUUGAUGGUCAUUCACAAAUCUGAUCAAAAGAUGUGGCUGUUGGCAGAUUUUCUGAAAACUCUCCACUGGUAAUCGAUUACAAUGUUUGUGUAAUCGAUUACACAGUUAUAAUUUGAAGGGUAAUGAUUUUUGAAUUUGAAUUUCCAGAGUUCCGUUGCUGGUAAUCGAUUACAAACAUAUGGUAAUCGAUUACCCUUUUCAACAGCUCUUUUUCAACCUUCCCUUCUAGUAAUCGAUUACCAGAGCCUUGCAUGACUUUGAAACCCUUUGAUUUGAGGCAAGGCUCGAUCUUUAGUGAAUCUUGAAACAAAGCUUUGUUUGUUGAAGCGAUCUUGAAUUAAUCUUGAAGCAAAUGCUUAUCCUUUGAAGCGGUCUUGUUUGAUUCUUCUUUGGCAUCAUCAAAAUUCAUGUAUUCAUACAUUCACAACUUACCUUGGUAAGGUAUGCAUUAACCUUAACCUCUAUCAAAGUUCGUCCACCCAUCUAUUCUAUAGGUCUAUUUGGUGUUAGCCACCACAAAAACCUCCAGCACUCAAUUGAGGGCCCACUAAGCACCCAUAACUUUCGUGCAUAAUCACAACAACAACAACAAGUCAGCUCAUACACACCUUUGAACCCACCAUCUCACUCAUGGUUCGUCUCAAGGAUCCAAGUUUCUCCAACAACAACAAGUCAUCCCAUACACACUAAAAGGUUCAUUAAUCUUCUUAGGAGGCAGUUCUCAACACUCUGAUAAGGCAUUCAAAGUCAAAGCAUAGAGGUAGUACUCAAGAAGACACCCUAUUAAGCGAGACUCCAGGUCAUUUUAGUAGGACAGAGUUCUAGCGUGAAAUUCACCCUCCCAAGUAUACAUUUUUGAAUAAUAAUAAAAAAAAUCUUUCUAAAGGACAUAACUAACUAAUUUCCACACACAGGGACAAUUCCAACUUCAAGGUUCACACUUACAUAACACACCUCAUCAUCUUAUCAGCAAUAACUAAUUCAUCUUAACAUUAUUAUAAAUAUUUCAGUAUCAACAUAAUCAUGAUCAUCAAUUUCAAUACCAUAAGAGUUCACCAUAUCAUAAAUUCAUCAUUCUUAAAUGUGCAUCACCAGUCAUGAACUCACCAAUAAUCCAUAAGUCAAGUAAGACAUUCACACCUUGAACGCUUACCAUCAAACAUCAAAACCCCAUAUGAAUGCAAAUUACAUGAUAUUAGCAUACAACCAACUUCAUUCAUCUCAAAUUAGUUCAUAAAACAAAAUUAAUUACAUUUGAGCUCCAUUUAGAGAAUUAUAUUGGGACAUGUAAAAUAAACUAAGUUCCCUUAAGUUUCGUGCUUAAGCCCCAAAAAUUUCAUGCUUAGGCAUCAAAGAUACACUGCACUUAAGCACUAAACAUUUUGUGCUUAAGCGUAAAAAAACUCAUGCUUAGGCAUAAAAAAUACAUUGUGUUUAAGAACAAAAUUUUACAUGCUUAAGCAUGAGGUCCUGAAACUUUGAAUUUUUUAAAAAUCAUUUCAUGGAUCUCCAAAAUGGCAACCAAUGGUUCAACAAUUUCAAAAAACACAGUUUAUAACAUCCAAAGCCAAAUAUCAAAAUUUAAACAUCAAGCACAUCAUAAAACAAGAAUUUAAGCUUCCCUUACCUUAUGGUCUUCAAGCUUAGGUUCUCAAGAAAGGAAGGAGAUAGGAGGCUUGAGCUCAACAAAGAGGGCUUCCAUCAACACCUCACAAAACCCUUGGAAACACAACCUAAAACAACACCAGUGAGAGCUUUGCACAAAUGCCCAUUAUGGUUCAUCUCAUGAAAAGAGAAAGAUGAGAAAAAAAGAGUUCACUAUUCCAACAAUUGCUCACAAGCUCCAAGAAAGAGAAGAGAAAAGAAUCAUUUGUCUUGAAGGAAGAUUAUAACACCCCUAGUUACUAUUAUGAUUUUUGUCAAUUUAUUUUUGAAAUUAUGAAGUAAAGGAAUUAAUUUAAAAUGAAUUGUUCAGCAUCAUCCUUUUUCAAAAUAAUGAAUAACUUUUUGCCAUUGCUUUAAAAAAUUUAUUAUUUGGGAUCUUUUAAAACGAUAAGCCAUAUCAAGAUAAUAAUCGUUAUACAUAAAAUAAGAUCAACAUCACAGCUUUCAAUAAGAAUAUUUUAAUUUAUAAAAUACUUGAUUUUCAUUAAACUAAUACAAAACAUUAAAAUUUCAUAUGUACAAUCUCAAUUAUGUCGAUCUCAUCAAGCAACUACACUAUACAAUUAUAACAUAUGCUUACAUUCUUGAAAUUAGAUACUUAAUACAUUUGAAGAAUUUAGACACCAUAGCAUUGAGGUUGGAAAUAAAUUUCCACCCUUAUUUCCCAAGCAUAGCUAGAUUAAAAUCAUGAAGGUUACUAAAAUUCAAACCACCAUUUUCUUUUGAAGUUGUAAGCUUCUCCCAUUUCAGCCAUAUCAUUCCUUUUCCAUUAGAUCCCCACCAAUAAGAAUUCAACAUUCGUUGAAUUUCAUCCAAUAAAGAUUCAGGCAGCAAAUAAGCACUCAUAAAGUAUGUAGGGAUUGAUUGAAGAUCAACCGAACCAUCUCUUCACAGCCAAACUUAGAAAGAAAUUUACUUGAAAGAGAUUGAUUUUCUUUGAAAUUCUUUCCUUAACAAAAUUGAAGGUAUCUCUCUUACUGUGCCCAACAAAAGAAGGCAAGCCAAGGUAUUUUCCAACACCUAACGUUGCAUGCACUCCAAGAAUAGAUAAGAUUGUGGUCCUCCUUGCAUCAUCCGUGUUAGAGCUAUAAAAAAAUUUCAGACUUAUUAAAGUUUAAGGAUUGACCUAAAGCAAGUUCAUAAGUCGUCAAGAUUCUUUGAAGGUCCUCCACUUCAUUGAUUGUUGCUCUUCAAGAAAGAAAGCAAUUGUCUGCAAAGAGUAAAUGUGAAAUUUCAGGCGCACCAGGGAAAAUAGAAAUGCCAUGCAAAUUUCCAAUGAGUCUAGCUUGCCAAAUCAGAGCACUUAAACCUUCAACACAAAUCAGGUACAAAUAAGGUGAUAGAGGAUCUCCUUGAAGAAGACCUCUACUAGGCACAAUGGAACCAACAAGAUCAUGAUUAACUUUAACUGCAUAUUGGACAGAUUCGACACAUUGCAUAAUUCAACUAACCCAGUUGAGAUUAAAUCCCAUUUUAGUCAUAACUGCCCUUAGGUAACCCCAAUCAACUCGAUCAUAGGCUUUAUUAAUAUCAACCUUCAAAGCCAAAUCACCUCUCUUACCAUUCCUCUUGCCUUUCAGAAAGUGAAUAAUUUCCGAUGCCAUGAGCACAUUAUCCAAAAUUGAUCUCCCUACAACGAAGGUCGAUUGCUCCUCCAAAAUGAUAUGAGGCAACACCCUUUUCAACCUAUUUGCCAGAGCUUUUGACAAUAUUUUGUAGAUAACAUUGCAUAAAUCAAUUGGUCUAUAAUCCUGCAUUGACCCAGGAUUCUCCCCUUUAGGAAUUAAGACAAAGGCAAUGGUGUUAUUGUUAAUACCUUCAGACAAAACCACCAUUAAGCCAGACACAACAAGCUGAAUUAAUCUCAUCAACGCAAAUACUCCAAAAUAUUUUUUUGUGGAAGGCAUAAUGCAGACCAUUUGGGCCCGGUGAUUUAUCAGGAUGAAUGUGAUAUAAGGCCUCUUUAGAGUCAUCUUUGUGGAACGGGACAGUUAACAUGUUAUUAUCCAUAUCUGAAACACUUGGAUGAAUAACUUCUAGCACCUCAUCAAAAGAAUCUGAAUAUGAAUUGAAAAGGUUCCCAAAAUAAUUCUUUGCUACUUGAUUAAGAUCGUGUUGAGUCGUUAAUAACAUUCCAGAAUCAUUGUGAAGCUAAGAAAUAUUGUUGCUCUUUCUACAAGAGAAGGCCAUGUAAUGAAAGAAUUUGGAGUUAGAAUCUCCUUCUUGUAGCCACUCAAUUUUCGCUCUUUGCCUUCAAUAAAUGUCAUCUUUUACCAGAAGCUCCACUAGCUAAUCCUUAAGCAUCUUGAAUUUCACUAUAGAGUCAACAUCAUCCUACUUCCUCAAGAUCUCUCAAUCUCUUCAGAUUAUUAAUUUCUGCACUAAACUUCCUUUCAACACAUUUGCCCUAACACUCCAAAUCAUCAGCGCAAGCUUUGAGCUUAUCAGGCAGAGGACCAUUUAAUUCACGCGUACAUCCACCAUGAACAACUUUUUCAAGAUCAGCUUCGGCCAACCGCAUGUUUUCAAACCUAAAUCUCUUAUUGACAAACCCAUAAACAUUAACAUGAAUUGGGCUAUGGUCAGAUUUUAGAGCCAUAUGAUUUGUGAGUGUUGCAUCAGGGAAAAAGGUCCAACACUCCAUCAACAGUUCCAUGUCUUCGAUCUAAAUAUACCAUGUAAAAGGGUAGCCAUCUAGAGGGAUGUCGAUGAGGUGACAAUCAACGACAACUUCCCUGGACCUAUUUAACAGCCUUUGAGGAUGCUCCAUUGGCCCAAUCUUGUUGUCUUCUAACAGUAAAUCAUUAAAAUCCUUUAUUAUGCACCAUGGUAAAUUCGAAAGACAAAAUGAAGGUGACGAAUUAAGUCCCAUGAUUCUCGCUUAGUACAUAGAAACCAGUAAUUCUCCAUUUACCAUUACUGUCUUCUACACGUAGAUCAAUGAAAUUCUGGGAGAAGCAAAUAAUUUGACAAUUAAAAUCCUUCCUCCAUAUAAUAGCCAACCCACCACCACCUUCUCUAUCCACUGCAAAACAGUGAUAAAAAAAAAUGAAUCCUUCUACAAACUUCCUUUAUCAGGUUUCUCAAUGUUAAAUAUUAGGUUUUAAUAUAUUUUUGUAUUUGAUAAAGGAUAGAAUUUGUGUUUUGGUCUCCAAUGAUUUUAUUUAAAUUUUUUUAGUUCCUAAUAAUUUUUUAUUUGUUUUUGUCUUUCACGCGCUAUCAGAGUCACUUUUCAAAAUGUUAUUUAAAAAAAUUUGAGAAAAUAAAAUAAAACUUAUUAGGGACUAAUUUUUUUUUUAAAAAAAUUGAAACUAAAGCAAACAAAAAAUCAUUUAUCAACGACAAAAAAACAUAUAAAACCUAUAAACUAGUACCCAACAAAAUUCAAUAUACAAGAAAUAAUAUGGUUUAUAAAGAAAAAAAUGGUGUAUAAAAUAAUAGUGUAAAUAAUUUUUAUAUUAUUAUUUAAUUAUAAAUUAUAAUUGUAUUAUUAUAAAUUUUUUAACUUUUAUAGUAAAUAUCAUAAAAAUCAUACUAACAUUAUUUUCUUAUUGACUAAUUAAUAAUGUAAAAACUCUUUCCAUUAUUCAUGCAUAGAAAUUAAACUCUAAAAAAAAGGAAAAACUGAUAUUGAAAAACAAAGUUUAAGAAUUUUCUUAUUUUUCUUUCAUAAGAGGGUGAAAUUCAUUUUCUCUUUAUUAUACCAAACAUAGUGGGGUAUAGAAAGAGACAAAGACCAAUAUAAGUUAUGCGGGAUAAAAUUAGUUGAAAAGUCAUUUUAUAAUUAAAAGUUUAAAAAUUAACUUAUUAAAAUAUAAAUAUUUGAUAAAAUUAAUUAUUUAAAUAAUUAAAAACAGUAAAAUUACAUAAAAAUAAUAAAAUCACAAUUUACUUUAUAAAGCUAAAAAAAUUAAUAAAUGUAUUAAAGAUAAAAAAAUAUAACAUUCUAAAAAUUAACAUUUUAAAAAUAUUAAAAAUUAUUAAAAAAAACUUAUUUAUCAAACCAUCAAAUAAAUUUAUUAACUAAUAAAAAAUUAAAAACUAACUAAAAUAAAUUAACCAAACAUAAUCAUAGUCAAUUACUCAAACUCAAGUUGCACAAACUCCACACAACCACAACCACUAGUUUCUCCCGACAUGCACCUGCUCCUCAUUAUUGUCACAUUUUGUACCCACUACACUACCAACUCUAAGCCUAUGUUUGGUUUAAAGGAAAGGGGAAGGAAAGAAAGUCAGAGGAAGGAAAGAUGGUGGAAAGUGAAUCUUUCCACUGUUUGGAACAAUCUUAAAAAGUGAAGGAAAGAAAAUUUUAUGUGGACCCCACCCAAAAAUCCUUUCCGCGCUACUUUGGACGGAAAGCGGGAAGAGCGACCAAAAUUUUGGGCAAAAGGACAAUAAUGCCCUUCUCUUUCAUCAAAUUCUAUUUGUCUUUUUGAAUACCCUUCAAAUCAAAAUCCUUCAAAAAAAUUGCUUGCUCUGGUUCUUGUUUACCUUCCAAAAUCAAACUGGUCCAUUUCAUUUGUUCUACUUCCACAACCUUUCAGUUGCUUUGUAAGGUACCAUCCCUAUUCUUCCUUCUCAUAUGGGUUUCUUUGAUGCCAUUGAAUAAAAAUGUGUUGUUGUUGAUCUUGUGCUUUGUACGUGUUCUUUGUCUACUUGGCACACAUUAUGUUGCUUUUGCUUCCUUGUAAAUCAUUUGAAAAGCUUUCUAUUUUAUUUUAUUUUUUGAAAAAUUUAUGAAAUAUAAUGAAGUUUGUGUUGUUUGUGGGUUGUUGCUACUGAUUUUUAACUUUGUUGUGAUAAAGGAUGAUUGAAUAUUUUACACUUAUUCUCUAUCAAAAUUGGUUCAACUGUCUGGAGAUUUAUCUUUGAAGACUGGUUGUGUUAAGGGUAGUACUAGUAGGAGCUAACUUUUCUACAUCUAUGCUACUGUGUUAAGUGAUGCCAUUGAGGGGAAUGUUUUAAUAGGUUUGCUUUGUUUGCUACGGAUCUUAAAUUGGUGUUUAUGCUGGGUGAUUACUUGCUGUCUUGGCUUGGGUAGUUUUCUAGCAGGGUAUGGUAUAGGAGUAGUCUUGUUUCAUUUGGAGAAGAAAAGCCUUGUGAGUGGGAUGGCACUAGACAAGUGGUGUACUGUGUAUUUGUUUCAAGCAUGCCUUAUGCCCUCUUUAAUAUACUUUUCUUGGCCUUUUCCAAAAAAAAAAAAAAUUGGUCCAAUUGAUAGUUAGUCUUAAAAUGGUCAUUUUUUUAUUUUGAUUCUUCUAUUAUAUAUACUUUACUUAUUUGAAUGUGUAUUGAAAAAUAUAUCAAAACUCAUUGAUUUAUUAAAUGUAUAUUCAUUGAAGGUUAACAUUUAUACUCUGAUAUGGAGUUUUUAAUUAAUAAUGAAGACAAGUUUGGUGAUGCAUUGGAUGGUAUAAAGGAAGAGCAGUCCAAAAUAAAACAUUUAACUAAUCUUGGCAUGCAAAAUUUAAGUCAUUUUCGUCGAGGAUUCGAAAAACAACAGCGUCUUUGUUCUGUAGUCUUAUUGUGCUAUAUUGUUCAUGCGUUACAUAUGCUUCAAACAAUGUCACAUUUCAUUCGUAGUCCAAUUAGUCAUGGAAGUCAUGAAAGGGAGCGUAAACGUCUCGAUUUAAUGAGACAAUUAGUACAUACUGAAAAAUGCCGAGACAUAAUACGAAUGGGACCUGAGGCAUUUAUGUUAUUGUGUCAUAAAUUGAGGGGAACUGGUUAUGUGAAGGAUACUAUACGAUCCACAGUUGAAGAACAAGUUGCUAAGUUCCUACACAUCAUUGGUCAUAAUGUGAAAAAUCGCACCGUGUCAUUCUUCUUCCGCCGUUCUGGUGAGACUGUUAGCCGUCACUUUCACAAUGUUUUACGUGCCAUCAUUUCAUUAGAAGAUGAGUUCCUAGUCCAACCUUCUGGUAGGGAUGUACCUCCACAAAUAUUAAACAAUAGCAGAUUCUAUCCUUUUUUUAAGGUACUUAUGCCUUAAAUUCACUUUAAUAUGUUUAGCCUCACAAAUUCAUCCUACAAUUUCAUCACUAAUCAAAUUGCGUAUUUAAUUUAAUAAAAAGGAUUGCAUUGGAGCUAUAGAUGGAACACAUAUUCGGGUAAAGGUCCCAAGAGCGGAAGCCGCACGAUUUCGUGGAAGAAAAGACUACCCUACACAAAAUGUUUUGGCUGCGUGUAACUUUGAUAUGAAAUUCACUUAUGUUUUACCGGGGUGGGAAGGCACAGCAUCUGACUCUAGGAUUUUGAAAGAUGCUUUAAGUAGGGAAGACUCUCUAAAAAUUCCUGAAGGUUAGUAGUCUAUUAAUUUGAUUUGACUAUUAAGUAUCACAAUUUAGAAUUAUAAUAGUUAACACGUCAAAUAAUAAAUUAUAUCACAACUUUUGUAGGAAAAUAUUAUCUUGGGGAUGCCGGUUUUAUGCUAAAACGUGGGGUGCUUACACCUUAUAGAGGUGUUCGUUAUCACUUGAAGGAAUAUUCUAUUCGCAGCCCGCAAAAUUCUAAGGAGUUGUUCAAUCAUCGCCAUGCUUCACUUCGAAAUGUUAUUGAGAGAUGUUUUGGAGUACUAAAGAAAAGAUUUCCAAUUUUAUCUACUGGCACCGAACCCUUUUACUCAUUUGAAGUCAUGACAGACAUUGUACUUGCUUGUUGUAUAUUGCAUAACUUCUUAAUGGGUGUUGAUGUUGAUGAGACCUUAAUUGCUGAAGUAGAUCGUGAGUUACUUCAACAAGAGAUUGAUAGAUCCCAACCACAACAACAACGUGAUGAUGACUAUAGAUUGGGAACAAUUUUAAGGGACGAUGUUGCUAUCAGAAUGUGGAAUGUUUAUCCAAUAUGAUAACACUAUAUAAGUAAUAUGUAUUUCUAAUGUGUUGUUUUUUUUUUGUGUAAUGUGACUACAUGUGUAGAAUGUAGUACAAAACUUGUGUUCUAUUUGUGUAUGGUUUUGGGAAAUUACAUGAACAUGAUUAUGUUGUAGUAGAAUUAUCCAGUGGUAUGCAUUACUAAUAUUUCUUAGUUUACUCAUGUUAUUUUUGUGGAUGAAUUUCUCAUAAGCUAAUAUUCAUAUGAAAAUGGAUACAUCAACUUGUGUCCUUUUGAAAUUUAUAUGCAGCUACUACAAUGCCAAAGGGAAAAACCACUCCAUCAGAUUCUAAUCACCCUGGUAGAGAUAGCCUACAAUGGAAUGAUGAAAUGGAUCAAAUGUUGUUGAAUGCUUUGGGUGAAGAGGCAAAUAAGGGAAAUAGGCACGAUGGUGCUUGGACAACACAAGCAUACAACAACAUGGUCGAAGCCUUAAGAUCUACAAUUGGACCAAAUAUCACAAAGAAUCAUAUAAAGAAUAGAAUGAAGACACUAAAAAAUCAUUUUGCUGAAGCUUACGACUUGUUCCAUAGCUUAAGUGGAUUCUCUUGGAAUUCAAUAACUCGAAAAUUUGAUGCUGAGGACGACGUCUGGGAAGAGCUGAUUAAAGUAAUUAGCAUUCUUAUCCUUUAUUUGAUCACUUGACUUUUAUGUUAAUUAUAAGUACCAAAUUGAUCACUUGUCAUUUUUACCUUUUAUGUAGGGAAAGCCACAUGCUGCAAGAUGGAGAAAAAUGCAAAUUAAGCAUUAUGACAUCUUGACUGAGUUAUUUGCAACUGAUAGGGCAAAAGGAAAUGUUGCGAAAACAGCUAAGGAAAGGAGGAAACAAUGGGAGAAGGAGAAUAUUGACUUGAAUAACUAUUUUGAAGAUACAGAAAUGUAUGUGCCAAAUGUUGGUAUGUUUGAUGAAAACCAAUUUUCACCCCCCAACUUUGAGGAUGCUAGUCCACAAAAUGGUCAAACAAAUCCUAGUGGCUUAAAUACUUCAAGGGGUACAAAACGGAAGAGAAAUGUGGUUGAGUUAGUUGAAGAUCAAUAUGAGCGAAUGAAUGAAAGUAUCAUGACAAUUGCUGAAGCUUUGAAAGAGGGAAAUUCUGUUUCUAAGGAGCUGCACCAAGUUGCAGAGCGUCAAGUUGAAGUUGCUGAAAGACAAGUUGCAGUCAUUGAAAAACAAGUUGAAAUUGCUGAAAAACAAGUUACUGUGAUACAACAAACUCGUCCUCGUCAUUAUUCAGAAUCUGAUGUAUGGGAUCUUUUAGAGGAAUUAAGAGUCACAGAUCCAUUUCGCAUGAAGGUUUAUAACCAUUUAUGUGAUAAUGAGCACAAAAAACGUAAGCUUUUUGGCGUACCACCUCAUAUGAGAGGAGAAGCUCUCAUUCAAAUGAUGACUGAUGCAGGUAUAUUUUGUUAAGAGCAUUGGUAGUGCUCCUUUUUUGGUCCUAUAUAUUUAGGACAUCAUGUGAUGCCUUUACUAAUGACAGCCUAUAACGGAUUGCUUUUUUGGAGUGGUUGUGGAUAUGCUCUUUUGUUGGGAUUGUAUAUAUUUAAGGCAUCAUAUGAGACCUUAUUAAUUUAUGACUUAGUCUAUAUUAAUUAUCAUUUUGGGAUAUAUAUGACUUAAGAUGGAAAUUAUUAGUUUUUAUGACUGGAGAUGCAUGGUAACCUGUGACUUUUGUUGUUAUGCUACUUUUGAAUAUGCUUUGGAGUCUGCUAUCCCUUUUGGUACUAUAUUGAUGAUUUUGAUGAUGGAGCCUUAUACCAUCCUUCAGAGGUGUGCAUUCAAUAGAAACUGAAAGGUUUGAGUCAUCUCCCUUUGUUUACAAGUUUUUGUAUUAUACUAUAUUUACAUACACAAUGUUAUAUUUUAUUAUUACACUAAAUAAAUUUAUAGAUUUUUUCACACUUUGACACAAUAUGUUCUGCAGUCACAGUUUUUAUAUAUGCAUUUUUCAAAGGAUAAUAACAAUGAGCUAGUGGUACAGACCUUGAAUAUAUUUUAGAGUUCAUUAAUAAUCUAUACCUCAUAUUUAUGUCUUAUAGUAAUUUCAUAUUAGACUUUUUAUGCCUUGAAGCUACUGUGGAGAUUUUAUAUUGGCAAGGGGUCUAAGUGAAAGUGGCGUAGUCUUUUUUUACUGCAUAAUUUUCUGCAUAAACUCAAUUUGAUGCAGUUAGAUAUUUGAAAGAAAUUUGGUUGAGGCUUUGAAAGAAUAAAUUGAGAGUCUUGUUGAUUUAAAAACACUGAACUUUUAUGCUCAUGAUGUUUAAUCAUCUCAAUGUGUUAUAAUAGUAGUAACUAAUAUAUGGUUUGAAUGUAGGUGCUUUCACCUCUAGUGCAAUACAAGUAGAAGUGCAGCAAGCAACUGGAGCUAUAGUGCAAAGAUGUGUAUACUAAUAUUGUGUAACUAGACUGUCAUUUAUGUUUAAUUUGCACUAUAACAUGUAGUGUAAUUGGCCAAUAUAUGCAUCAUAAUACUCAAACUCAAUAUUUAUAUAUAAAUAGAAUGAUGUUGCUUUAGCACUAACUCAUCCAAGAUUUCAAUUUUAUCUAUGAGGAAUUGAACAACUGGUUCAAUUGAGGGGUACAUUGCUUGAGCAUUAUCUUUUUUUUUGAGAAGGCAAAAGAAAUAAUGUAUUAAAAUUAUGGUACCAGAGAGGUACCAACAAUUGAGUUACAAGAGACAUUACAACAUGGUUUAUCCCACCCAACUACUAGCACCACCUUGAUACAAAUACAAGGAAGCCAAGUACAAAUUUAUUAAAGAAUGAAAUGAGACACCUUUCCUAAAAAAACCAGAGCUGACAGGAAUGAAAGAAAAUUGAAAACACAGCUUGAACCACACCUUAUCAGAGCUAAAAAAAAUAAGAGAGCAUCUUUGAAUGUUAUUCUCAAACAAAAUAAUUCUUAUUAUUCACACUCUAGUGCACACCUGCUAUAAGAAAUUUGCAAAUUGCAGCAUAUCUAUGUUGAUAUCUAGCUGAACAAAUGAAAUUUUUGAGCAUUAUUAAUUUAACUUAAUAAAAAUUAAUGCUAUAAAAACUGCUAAUUUUAUUUUAUUGAAGAUAAGUUGACAUAUUUUAUCUUAAAGGAAUAAAAAAAAUAUAAUUUCAAUAUUAAGCUUGUGUCUGACUUUUAUUUUUUUUCUUUAUUAUUUAAAAUAUAUUUUAUUCUCUUCACCCUCUUUAAUAUUUAUAUAAGGUUAGUUUUGUCAUUUCACAAAUGUACCUCUUCCUUUCCUUAUCACUUUCCAUCCAAACAAACAGGAGAAAAGAAAGUUUUAACUUUCUUUCCUUCCACUUUCCCUUGUACCAAACAACUAAGACAAUCCUUCCACUUUCUACUAUCUUUCUUUCCUUUAACUUUCUUUCCUUCCACUUUCUUUCCUAGCACUUUCUUUUCCAAACCAAACAUAGUGUUACAAGGAAAAUAUUUUCUGUACAAUAAAACGAAGUAAUAAAAUAAUUCUCUUCUUUGAUUUUAAAAUACAAUUUAAAGACACAUGAUUAUUACAAAAUUAAAAUAAGUUAACAUAGAAAUAAUUGUAUCUAAUAUCACAUAUGAAAUUAUUUUUUUAAUAUUUAAAUAAUAAAAUUGCAUGAAAAUAAACAGUGUUUGUGUAUGAUUUUUUUUUUAAUAAAUCUAAUGGAUAUAACUUAGAUGCCGAUGCAUACUGAAUUUGUGAAAAAAAAACUUGUUUGAUCAAGGUGUAUUUAAAUAUAAGACAACUUAAACUCUUGCUUUAUUAGCCCCCAAAAGUUAUUUAACAAAUAUUUAUACAACUAUUAUGGUUAGUUAGUCAAGUAUAGUGGUAAUUAAUGCAUAUAUUUUCUUUGGUAAUUGGAUUUCAAAUUUUGCUGAAGAAAAAUCACUUGUUUUUAAAGUCCCUGAUUUUUAUAUUAUUUUAUUAGUUUUGAAAAGGUGUGAACUUAAAGUUGGUUUUAAGCUAAAUAUGUGUGAGUCAAUCUUGGAUUUGAUUUUCACAAACUUUAACUUUAAGACGAUAAAUUUUAAUUGUAAUUAAGUGCUAGAUUGAAUUUUAGUUUUAUAGUUGACUCAAAGGACCUAUUCUAAUAUAUCAAAAAUCUCACAUCACUUAAAAGUCAAAUCAAAUGGUAGUUUAUACUAGUAAAUACACCUUUAACUCAUAGAGUUAUCUUUUAAUAAAGAUAUAACAAUGACAAGUCAAAAUGUUACACUGAGCACCAAAAUGAACAAUAUCUUGGAAGUAGUGAUCUUAACAUGAGAAAGAUGGCCUAUGCCACUCUUGUUACUUAGUCUUGAUGGGUUUGCCAAAAGUCCUACAUCACUUAGGUGUCAAAACCAAUGAUAAUUUAUGUUCUUACUAGUUUUGACAAAAUCUAUUCACCGUGAUGUUUCUCUAUGUUCUCCUCCAUUGUACGGUAAAGACACUCUGUUACUCAAGUUAGCAGUGCAGAAGUAAGAACAUGUAUCUUAAAGUAGGUUGGAAUAAAGUUGGUUUACCUAAAUCUUGAAGAUUCCUUUUAUAAAUGUGAAAUUGAAUGAUAAGAUCUCAAUUUUCUUCAUAAGAUAAUGUAAAUAAGAAAAAUAUGAUUUUAUCUUUAUCUUUAUCUUUUUGGUAGAAGAUAAAGUUUUUCUCUUACCUUAAUUAUAUUAGUCAAAUUCUCUUAAUAUCAAGUAUAUAUACUACUUGGCUGACCACCAAGUACAAAAGGUUUAUAGCUUAUUAAUACACUAUCACAUGUUGAUCAACGUAACUAGAUUUAACCGUCAAUGUCCACAAUUGGAUGGGAGGACAAAAUUCAUGAUUUUUUUAAAAUAGAUGAAUUAAAGGUUUUAAUUUUAAAAUAAGAAGAUUAAAAUUAUAAAUUUGUACAAAUAUAAAGAGAUCAAAAUUAUAUUUUAAUCUAUUGUAUUAUAAGAAAAAUAUAAAAUAUAUAAUUAAUUAAGUUAUUAUUAUUUAUGCAAAAUUAUUAAUUCAAUUUUUUAUUUAUUUCCUUUUAAUAAUGUAACAUUAUUUUAUUUCUUGCAUACAUGAGGACACGGGGAUCCUAACUAAGUGGAUUAGUGUUAUUUGACAUUUGUAGCUCACUUUUUGAACCACUUGUUCACAAAAUAGAGUAGGCCAUAGUUAAGUGAAGGAACUCUAAUAAAAUAAUGUAUUUAACACAAAAGUAAUGUGAACUUGUAAUAUUCUUUAUAGAGUGCAGGGUUUGCUCAUAGUUUUCUUUUUAAUUUUAUGCUAAUUUUUCAAUAUGAUCGAGAGCUUAUACAUGCAUAUCUGCCUUACGUAUGAGAUAUUUGUUGCACUCAAUUAUAACUUAAAAUAAACUAUAUAAGUACCAGCUUGCUUAUUUUUCACUUUGUGUAUAAUUUAGCUAUCAUUAAAAAAAAAAAUGUUUCCUAAACAUGCUGUUUUAUUUUAUUUUAUUUAUUUUCACUGUUUAUUAACUUUGCAGACAACUUGGUGCGAUUGUAGUGCUCAUAAUGAUUGGCAUCUAGAAGAUCAAUCAUCCAUUCAGCUAUUAUUGUACACUCAUCUAUUACGGUACUUGUUAGUUGUUCACAAGAACACAGACAAAAAAAGCAAGACACUAAUUUUAUUUUUUUUUAUAAGAGACUACAUGUAUCGCAAAAUAAUUGAAUUGAAUUGAAUUAUCAUGGAUAUAAAAUUUUUCUUUUAGAUAAUUGAAAGUGUUAUUUAAAAUACUUUAAAUGACGAAAAAUAAAAUAAUUAUAUUUUUAAGGAAUAAAACUAAAACAAUUAUAGACUAAAAUAAAAAAAAUACUAAAUUAUAAGAACAAAAAAUAUAUUUAAGUUUUAUACUAUUUCAAACAAAACAUUAUUUAUGCUGCUUUUAUUGUCUUUUUAAGUGUCGACUUAUUUUUGAAAAAAAAAUAUUUAUCAUUUUAAAAGAUAAGAUAUUAACUAUAAUUUUUUCAAUUAUAUUUUUUAACCAGUUUUUAAUUAUUUCACACAUUUUUUGUGAAAUGAAAGGAAAUGUGAAAAAUAAUAAAAGACAAAAAUUUAAUUAAUAUCGAUUAAUCUACGUGUUUGCUGAUUCUAAUUAAGACCAAUUUGUAAAACUAAGAAAAAGAAAAAAAUUCAUCAUGCACGUUUUCAGUUCUUUUAUUUUUUUUAGAAUAAAAACGUAAUUUUAAAAUUUAAAUGAUCAAAUAUCACCUAAAUAAGUGAUAUUUGUCCUGUCUCCUACACUCUCUUGGAACCCAUAUGAUGCCGUUCAUUUUUAUGCAUUAAUUUUCAUGAGAAAGUUGGUUUUGAAAGGAUUGAUACUAUAUAAUUAGUCUGAGAGAAUUUGCUGGUGCGUUAUAGUGGGACAUGUGAAAUAUUAAUCAUUUAUUUUAAUUGCAUUAUGAUAAUGAUCAUACGAAUAAUAUAGCCAAAUUAGAUGUGUCUCUUGUCAUUUUACUGUUAAAGAUUUGGCUUUAUCCUUUUGGUCUCAGUCUUUUGCUCUUAUUCUUCACAUGAGAUGGUGAAAUUAAGUCAUUUCAUGACGACCCUUCUCCUACUCCACGUACUAUGUCUCUGGAAAUCAGGAACACCUUUGUCAGGUUUCGUUCAUUCAUGCAUGCAGAGGGAAAAAGAAGACAUAUUUUAUAAUAAAAGCAAGCAAGAAAGAAAAUACUAAAGGAUACAUGUUAAAGAAAAACUAAAAAGUAUUUAUUAUAUUAAUUAAAAAUAUAAAAUAUAUUAUUUAAUACCUUUUUAAAUUAAUUAAAAAUAUUCGGUAGAAUUGAUUAAAUAUUUGUUUAUCAACACAUUUAAAACACUUAUUAAAAAGAGAUGACUCCUUCGAAUCCUCAUCAAAAGUAGUUAGACAAAAAGGGAGUUGUGGAAUAAUAGUUGAUUUGAAUGAUGUGGAAACAUGUAAUUGUAGUAGUUAGGAAGAGAGUUUGAUGAGGUAUGAUUAAUGUAACACUUUUAGGGUUAUUUUAAUAAAUUAUUCUAGAAUUAUGUUAGAUUACUUUUCUUUUUAUUAAGUUGAUGAUACAAUAAGAGACUUGUUUUGUAGUAUCAAAAAUAUGGAAUCGGCAAUUAAUUUAAAAAUUGGUGACCUUUUAGUGUUACUUUGUAGAUUAUUCGUAAAUAAGAAAUGUAUAAAAAUAUGGAAAUAAAAUUUUUCUUGGACACUUAUUUGAAGUUCUUACAUUAUAAAUUUUAAAGGUAAUUUUUUUCAUAAAAAUGACAAAACAGAAAAUUAUAUUUUAAAAUUAUAUGAAAAAUCAGAAAAAAUCUUUUUCGAUUGGGUGUUGAGAAUAAAAAUAUACAAAACACUUUCUUCAAUUUACUUUUUAUCAUUAUUUAACAAUUAUAUAUUAAAAAAUAUUAUUUUUAUCUAAAAUUUUAAAAUUUAGAACUACUUUUUUUUUCUUAUUUAGUCCAUAAAUAAUAAAAUAUUUAGUUUUAUUCCUUAAAAGUAUCUUAAUAGGGACUAAAUGUCAUUUAUUUAGUUAAAUAAAAGAAUUGUGAAAAAUAUAAAAAAAAACAUUAAUUCUAAAAUUUGUAAUUUUUUCUAGUCAAAACAUAUUCAAAAUUUUAAAACUAUAAUAUUAAUAUUAUAUACUACGAGUAUUUAAUAAUAACGCACACCUACACCUAUGUAUUAAGAGCAUCCAUUACUUGAACUUUGACAUAGGUUCUUAGGUUACUUGUUUUGAUCUCACACUAUCAUAUACUUCAACUGUUGAUAAUUAUAAGAUAUUUAAAAAAAAUUAUUUGUUUCUUUUCAUAAGAAUUUUUUUUAAUUUCUAGACACGUAAAUUGUUUUUUUUUUCUUAUAUAUAUAUAUAUUCUUACUUAAUUAUUAUUUCUCCAAACAUUAAUAAAAAACAAGUGAAUAAAAAUAAAAUAAAAAAAUAUUUAAAUGAUAUUAUAAAUAAUUAAAAAAUUCAAUAUGAUAACUACUUAAACGAUACAAAUUAGUUAAAAAGUCCUAUAAUUAAAUACGGAAUGAGUAAAUUUUAAAAACUUUAUCGAUUGUUACUCCAACAAUAACUCACUAAAAUUUAUCAACUGUCUNNNNNNNNNNNNNNNNNNNNNNNNNNNNNNNNNNNNNNNNNNNNNNNNNNNNNNNNNNNNNNNNNNNNNNNNNNNNNNNNNNNNNNNNNNNNNNNNNNNNUGAUGACACCACUCAUAUGUCACGUUGUAUUGGAGCAAUAAUGUAUUGGAUAGGUUUGUCAUGAGAAUAGUAACAUGAAAUUUGUGAGUGUCAUAAACGCUUUUCAAAAUAAUCAUUGUCAUUUGUCUAUGUAGUCCUCCAACUAGAAAUCAAUACAAUUUCCAUGUCAGAAGUUAUGAGAUUUAAUUUCCAUUAAACGCCAUAUAUAAAAAGAUGACUAUAAUUAAAGUGGUUGUUGGACAUUAAACGAACCAUAUGUAAAUGAAUGUGCGUGAGUGACUUAGAUGGAAUUCAUCCCUUACAUAUAACUAGAGUGAUAUCUUUGAGACCUUUUGAUAGAGCAAGACAGUAAAAUAUGUGGUCGUCUUACAAUGUUACGAGAACUUAUAAGAUUAAACAGAAGAUUAAUUGGAACAAAAGAGAAAUUAGAUUCAUCAACAUGAUAUAAUAUGGUUGAUAAAUAACUUUAUCUUUUAAUUAUGUGGUUAAGAAUCUAUGAUUAUGAAAAAAUAUCAAUUAAGAAAUGUUAAUCCCUUAAUUAGAUUUUUGUUUCUCAAGAAAUUAGUCUUUAGCUCAAAGACCCAGAGAUAUCUAGGUUAAAAAAAAAAUAGAUUGGGCUCUAAUUUUCGUGGACCAGACUCAUAACGUAUGAGUCUAUAAGACUUAGCAUACCUCACUUAUUAGAAAGGAGUGUUAUUAUAAAUUGUCUGUGGGUAGUAAGGAGGGGAAGACACCCUACCAAUUAAAACCACGAGGGGGAAGUUAAAAGAAUAAGAAUCGGCCAAUGUAACACCUGGUUUGUUUGAUAAAAUAAAAUAAAAUAAAAUAAUUAAUUAAUUAAUCAAAAGAGGGUUUUUAUAAUUAAUAAAAGAAACUAAAAAAAUAGGAAUGAAAAUGAGGUCAUCAGAUUUUUCAUUAUAUAAAGGAAUUUUUAACCAAAGUAGUUUUACAAAACAUUUUUUACAUUUUCUGUUCUUUUUACUUUGACAUUCAAGAACUCUAGCAGAGCUAUCGAAGGAGGAGCUCUAGAGAGUACCAAAAACGUCACCAUUGUUAACAAAGAAUGCUUGAACGAUUACAUCAAGGUAAUGGAUGAGUUACUCACUCUUAAGAAUUAAAAUGAUCACGUGUAGAGAUCCCUAAAGGAUCAAUUUUUUGGAUUAUUUUGAGUUGUUUUAUGAAAUUCAAUUUUAUUCUUAUGCUUUUAAUCAUGAAUUUAUUAUGUUUGAUGGACCAACUGAUGUCCUGAUGCGAAAUUGAUGUGUGAAUCCUAGAAAUUGAGUCCUUUUCUAAUUCAAUUAUUUUUUCCUCUAUUGUAUAAUUUUUUUUAGAUGCUCGUAACAUUUUCUCCUUUUGCCAAUGAUAAAUUUGCCAAAUUGUAUUUUAUUGGUGGAAUAAUUAUGAAAAGUUGUGAUUAAUUUUUGUGAUGAUGGUACAGUGCAUGAAAUCAAGUUGUUUCUAAUUGUUGGAUUUCCAUGGCUUAGUUGGAAUGCAUUUAGGAUAUGCGUAUAAUGUUUUCCAUAUACACAAAUAUAUGUAUAUAAGUUUCUGAUUGUUAUUAUCUAUGUAUGAUAUGUACACACACCCACACACAUAUUUAUCUAAUAAUCUGUGUAAUCACACAACUAUAAGACUCUUUAAAGAAGACGAGUUCAUGCACGGUGAGUUUUGUGAUGGGCUCCACUGUGGGAACCUGACGAGUUCAAUCACUAGAGGCGCGAUGAGUUAAAAAGAUUUUGAAAAUAAUUGAGAUUUUGAAAAUAAUUCAGUAGUUGUGUGUAUUACAUAGUUCAUAGAUAAAGUAUAUGUGUUAAAAUGUUUUUUGGAUUGAAUCUGAAUCAGGAGGGAGAGGCCCUGACAGACUUCUCGAAGUCUAGGCCUUGGGGGUAAAUACACUUAGUUUGACUACUCCUUUAAGUCUGUGUCAAUCCCACAUGAUUGGAGUAUUCUCGCAAAAUAAAGUGACCCUGACUGGUCUCCCUGUGAUUUCACCUAGUGAGAGUGACCUAACUGACUCAUUGUGAGACAUGUCUUGUCAUGUACUCCUAGGCGCCAAACAAGGUUUUUCACUGAAAAUGGUAUCACAUUGCAUGUAGGCUUGAGUCUAGUGUAUCUGUUGCAUAACACUUGUGUUUGAUUUUCAUUAAGCUAACGAUUCAGGUUUUGGUGUUAUUUUCUGGAGUGUGUGAACUUGAAUAAGUGUGAAUAAUGUGUGUGAUUUUGUGAAGUAAUGUUGUUUAUGUAAAUUUAGCUCUAAGUAUUAUAUGUUUCACAUGCUCUAGUGUUUUAUUAUAUACGAAUGUGAUAACUCAUUCUCGAUGUGUGUUUAUGUUUGGGCUGAAUGUCAUUUUGUUUCACGUGAGCCAACAUAUGAUGAGUUUUAUGCUGAAGAUGAAGAGACUUAACCUUUGCCAGGGAAAUAUUUUGAUAAAUGUGACAUUAUGGCAUGUGAUUUUUAUUUCAUAUGUUACAAUUCUAUGAAUAGUAUAGUUGUUUUAUAUUUUCCGCUAUUAGUUUGACUUCUUCUCAUUCAGAAUGGACAACCUUGUUUUGAAUCGAGAUAAUUUUAUUAUUUAUUUGGACAAGUUCUAUUAUGAUGUUAGAAAAGUAAAUGUGAAUCUUUUACCUUUUUGAAAUUCUUUUAUUUAAAUAUAUUUUAAAACUUUUAAUUAAUUUUGUAUUUUUAUUUAUUUUAUUAUUAGUACAUAUAUGUAUGAGGUAAAGGAUGUCACCGCACACCAAAAGCAUUGAAAUGAAAGGGAAUGAAAUCAGGUAUAAAAACUUACUAAUAGCGCCACUUAAGGUUUUGUAAAAAUCUAUCUAUAGAUACUACUAAAAGAAUAGGCGGUCAAAAUGACCAAAAUAGUCAUUAUUUUUUGUUGACAUGUGUUAUUUUUUUGGUUUUUUUGUCUUUUCAGUUACACUAUGUCGACACCCAAACAAAAACGCAAAAACAGUGAGAAGAUUAAAAUGAAAGCCAAAGCGAAGAAUGAGGAAUACUGACAUAACACGUUCUUUCUGCUUCCCAGUUUUUCAAUAAAAAAAAUUCAUAUUGCAGGAACAAAAAAUUUGAUCAAUUUUAUAUAAUUUAACUUCAUUUUAACAUAUAAUUUAUUUUUUAAAAUAUAAAUAAUAUUAUAUAUUUUUGAAAAUAUAUAGUAUUUAAUAUAUAAUAUUUAAUUUUUAGGCUGCAUAAGUCCCAUGUUAUUUUAUUGUUAAUUUUUCUUUCAUUUACACUCUUUUUUCAGUAAAGAAACACACCCUUAAUGCAGUAGUAUGUUUGUUUGUUUUAGUAUAAAUAUUUUCUUUUCCUAUAUAUUUUAGUAGUAGGGAAUUUUUUAAAAUUUGAUAAUUAUUUUUUUAUUACUUCAAAAAAUAAUUUGUUUUUAUUAGUCCUACAGUUUUUUUACAAGUUAUUUUUAGUUUCUCUUAUUCUUUGUGUUAAUGAUAUCACAAUUUAUUUGAAGUGAUUUCUCAUUGUUAAAAAUGUUUUUUAUAAUUUAAUAUAUAUAUAUAUAUAUAUAUAUAUAUAUAUAUAUAUAUAUAUAUAUAUAUAUAAUAUAAAAGAGUGUUAAUUGUUAUUCAUGAGCUUUAUUUGCAUUAAAAAUAGGAGAAAAAGUAGCAAUGUACCUCUAAUUUAUGGUUUCUUUUGUGAAAUUUGUAAAUAAUUUAUUCUUGUGUGAAUUUAUACAGGGAAACUCCAUUUUUUGACUAAUGUUGAAUUUAAUUGGGUUUUUAGGCUAAAGAAGAGAAGAAGUUGAAAUGUUGUUGAAGGGCUCGCUCAGCGAGUCAAAUUGGCUAAGCGAGGCUUAUCCGCUUAGUAAGGAAGUCAGCUCGCUAAGUGAACACAAAACCCUAGAGGAUGUUAAGCUAGAGAGUAGCACGCUUAGUGCGCAGCCAGUCCGUCCAACGAGGAUGUUAUCUCUUUUCGCGCUUAGUGUGUCUAAGCUCGCUUAGCGUACAAUCACUUACUCUCGCUCAGCGAGACAUGCUCGCUGAGCGCACCUUUGUAUGCUGAGAAGCCUAAAAACCUUUAAAAACACUCAGAAGAGAGGAAGUUAGGGGGACAAACUACAUGAGACAAAAGGAAGACGACACCAAAGCUAAAGAGAAGACUUUUGCUUCAUACUUUCAUCAUUUUCUUUCAUUCAAACGUUGUUUCCCCCUUGUAUUGAGCCCUCCUUGCUAAUGUAGGGCUAGAAACUUCAUUGUUGGGGGAGUUUUUCUACUGAGCACUCUUAAUGUAAAACUUCUAACUAUCUAUUGAAUAUUAUUUCUAGUGUUCUUUGUUUCUAUCUAUGUUUAUUUUACGUACUUAUAACUUGAUCAUUCAUUUGUAUGCUUGGUUAGGUUUUGAAUGUUGGAAAAUGCUUAGAAUCCUUAGAACUUGGUAGAGCAGCUAGAGGUCUGUAUAUCUAGGAAUAGAGUGCAGUAAUCUAGUAUAUUUUUCAUCUUGUGCGUAGUUCAGCUCCCUUAGAAUGAGUUUGUUGAGGAAUCAAGAACAAAAACUAAGAGAGUUAGACUCUUUUAUGUGAAGAAUCAUGGCUUGAGUAAAUCAACGGUGCAAGAACGUUAGAGUAAUGUUAAAUAGAUAAAAACCUAUUAGUACGACAAGAGGAAGUUCAGUAGAAUACUCCCCAACGCUUUUAUUUUGAUAUUCAUUUCGUUCUACGUCUUUGUGUUCAUUUUGUUAUUUGUUUAAGUUUAGCAGAAUUUAUUAAAGACAAUCAAACCAUGAAUGAGUUUCUCUAUUUUUAUUAACGAAGUUGAAAAUGUUUACAUAAUGAAUAUACAACAUCUAAGUAAAACAAAUUUCAUGUGGACACGAUACUUGGACUUACCGUUUUAAAUACUACUUGUGCAAAUUGAUAUACUUGCCAGUAAGUGAACAAAGAGUAGACUAGCAAAAACAUCAGUUUAAAAGAGUAUAUAAAUAUAUAAAAGAGGAUAGUAUGUUGAGACUUUCUAAUACCACGGAUAUAUAAAUUCUGUGUGUUAAUAGUAUCACAAUUUAUUUGAAGUGAUUUCUCACAAUUAAAAAUAUUUUUUAUAAUUUAAUAUAUAUGUUAAAUAUAUAAAAUAGUAGGCUAGCAAAACACCAGUUUAAAAGAGUGUAUAAAUAUAUAAAAGAAAAUAGUUUGCUGAGACCUUCUAAUACUUCUAAUAUCAUGGGAUGAUCUCCUUGAAUAUAAAUACAUCAGUCUUAGUAGUAUAAGAGAUUUUAUAUGAAAGUUAAUCAAUCAUAUUUUUUUUUUCAAUUUAACUUAUAACCUUCAAAAAAUAAUUUGUUUUUAUUAGUCCUACAAAGUUUUUAAAAGUUAUUUUUAGUUUCUCUUAUUGUUUGUAUUAAUGGUAUCAUAAUUUAUUUGAAAUGAUUUCUCAUCAUUAAAAAUACUUUUUAUAAUUUAGUCUAUAUAGUAAAUAUAUAAAAAAGUAGGUGAGCAAAAAUACCAGUUUAAAAGAAUAUAUAGAUAUAUAAAAAAAUAUAAUUUGUUGAGACUUUCUAUUAGUAGUAUAAGAAAUUUUAUAUGAAAGUUAAUUCAAAAGUUUGAUUUCUGUAAAAGUUUUCGUAUCAUUAAUCAAUCAUAAUUUUUUUUUUCAGUAUAACUUAUAAAAUAAAUAUUAUAAAAUUAAUAAAUUUAUCAUAUAUGAUAAUUUUAUGAUUAAAUAACAAUAUAAUUUAUGCACAUAUUAUUCAUUUAUUAAAUUAUAGUUGGAGAGGAUAAAAUUAUUAAAGUUUAUAAGCCAUUUUCAUUUAUUUUUUAAUAAAUAAAUUGUUGGUCCAAUUAUAUGACUCUAGUUAUCCUAUAUUGUUGCUUAAACAUGGGAGAAAUGAGAAUUUUGGAAAUCGAAAAGAGAAAGAGAACAGCAUGGUAAAUACAUGGGACAGGACGCACUGCAUACUCGUAGUAAUAUAAAUGGAGAUGUCUAUUUUUUUUAGUAAUGGAUAGGAUCAAACUCCUUUUAUUCACCAAAAAAUAAUUUGGAAAAAAAAUUAUAAGUGACUUUUUAUACUUUUUAGCAUGUUUUACUUUUUAAUCUAAGGACAAUUUCACUAUUAAAACAAAAAAAAAUUAAGUAAAAAGCAGUGAUCUAUGCAUAUAGACGGAUAUAUGACUGGUUAAUAUAGAAAAAGAUAGUCAUACACUACAUAUCAUGUCACAGUGUACUUAUUUUGACACGUGCUCCAGUAUAUAUUCAUAAAAAAAAAAAAAAAAGAUACAUAAUAUAACAAUUAGUUAGAAUAACAAAACCAAACAUUAAAGAACAGAAAUAGGUUGAAAAUUAAAUUAUAGAAAACAAUCACUCCCAUAUGCACCGAAUUUGAUGUGUGUGCCUGUAAUCACAAGUUAGCACCAAUUUUCUAUCCAUUCUCUUCAAUACAAAACUUUCCACCAAUGCAUAACAACUAAAUUUCCUCCACCUGUUUGUUCCUCCAAACUCCUCAACUCUUUCCACUCUCACUUGCCUUUGAUUCCCAGCAAUCCAUCCAACUCUUUCUUGCUCCCAUCUCAUUCUAUCAACAAUUUUCAAACUCAGCCCAACACUUGUAAUUUCCAACCCCUCAUCGUCAAAACUCUUAAACCACACCACCCUCUCACCAUUCUCAUUCCAAACAGCUUCCCUUCCUGCAAUCUUUGCAACUUCUGUUUGAACAACAACAUCCACAAACACAGCCAGAUUUUCUCCAUCAUUAUUUUCCUUUGAAAAUAUCUUCUCCCAUCUUUGCUUAAGUGUCAACUCAUAGAACACUGUCUUUUUCAUCUGCUCCUUCAAUUUCAUUAAUCUUUCCUUAACAAACAUAAAAGGGCAGUACCACUUUCCAACAUCCACUGAUUCAGACCUAUCAUUGGACAGUGGGAAUACGUUGAAAUCAGGAAGCUUGGCACGCAAGGAAUCAUCAGAGCCUAAAGCUUCACCUAAAUGAUAAUCUGUGGGAGUAUGAGCAUAAACACGCCACCCUUUUCUUCUCAACAGACCAGGAAGAAUUCCAUCUGGGGCAACGGAUUUUGCUUUGAAAUCAUUAUUCACCCUCUUGAUGAUUUCAACCUGCUGAUAAUCGUCAGAGGGAUCCAAAGGUCUUGGUUUAACAUCUUGGACAAAGCUACAACAUAAAAACGUCUCCAUGUCCUCUUCUUUUGAACUUGUGCUAGCUUGACUGAAAUCAAUUCAAGUUUCAAAAAUAUUAAUGUUUGGACUAAAGUAGUAAUUAUAUUGCAUGUUUUGAUAAACCUCAAUAAACAUUUACAGGGAAGAAAAGUACAAAGGUAUUGGGCUUCUUAAGCAAAAAUCAAUUCAUGUAUGUACCUUAAAUUUUGGAGAAGUUAAAUGAAAAUCUAUAAAAGUUAAGAAUCAAUCGAUUUUACUUGUCAAAAUAUUUAAUGUAUUUUAUAUCAAUUUAUAUGUCUUAUAUUCUUCUCCUAUAAAUACUUAUCGAUAAGUUUAUAUAUAAACAUGUGUAACAUUAUCUCUUCCACAAAUUAUGUAUAAACUGAACAAAAUGUGAAAAAAACAUGUGAUGCCUUCUUGUGUACUAAUGUGUGUUUGGUUAGCUUAUGUUAAAAAUAUGAUUGCUUAUUUAUAUAAGCUUCUCGAGAGAGCUUAAAAUAAAAGUAUUAAGUUUAAUUGAUCAUAAAGAAAAGUGAUUAUAAUUCAUACUAUACCCUUUAUGCUUCCCCUUCCUUUUUAUCACAUAGUAGCGGUUCGAAGACAAGGGUUGAUUCAAUACUGGAACAAACAAGUCUUCUUCACCAUCGCUUCCAUAGUUGAUUGAUAAGUUUUUGUUCUGAGGAAAAGGAAGAUCCCUUAUAGCUCUGUCCUUGAACAAACCAAAGAAAGAGUAAGCCUGGGCUUCUUUAUCAAGGAUUACAAGGUAACCUGAAUUUGGCCCUAGUGGAGGGUCUGAAACAGCACUAGGGUUCCUUUUGUACAUAGAAAGGGGUCUUGUCACAUACAUUGUCUAACCUUAACAAUUAAUCUUCGAUUGUUUUUGUUUCACAUAUAUAUAUGCACGCAUUCCAGGGAAAUAUAAAAUACUUUGUCUUCUUAUCCAUAUGUAAUGUAUGUGUUUAUCAGUUGAUAUUGACAAAAGGGUCAAUUUCACACAUUGUUUUUCGGUAUAUUCUUAUUAGGGUAUAUAUGAUACACGCUCCUUGGUUCUUUGGAAAAAUCAAUCUCAUGGUAUAAUUCUCUUGUCUAUAUUGACUUGGUUGGUCCAUUCUAUAUUUCAAUGAUGAUUUUUUUUAAUCAGUCAAAUUAAAUUCAUUAAUGAAGGACACAAAUCACACCGAUAAUUUCAAGAAAUUACAAAGGGAAUUACUCAACUGUCCAUAUGUUGGUUACUCAAUAUUAAAAGAUAAUCAAUCAAAUAAUUAAGCUUUGACAGAAAUAAUUCUUAAUUAAUAAAAUAUUACUUGUUAUUUUUGGAUUAGUGAAGACAUCUUCUCCUUAUGAAUAAAAGGGUUAAGACAAAAAAAAAAUACUAAAAAGCAGUCAAUCUUUUAAUAUGCUGUGACUCACGUGCACAUGCAGUAUCAUAACACUAAUAACUGCACAAGUAUAUCCCCUCCCAAAAUCACGCUAAUCUCUACGUACGUGCAUAUAUUAACAAACAAUUCAGUUUCCCUCUUAAUUAGAGACAAUUGAUAUAUACAAGCUUCAGGAUUGAUUACCCACUAUGAGAAAGAGUAGCAGAAUCCCUCGAUUUAUAAUUUAUAUAAGAUAACUUUGGCGAAUCUAUCAAUUUAUAAUUUAUAUAAAAAUCCUUUAUUGAUUUAUAAUCUAUGAAUCCUGAAGUAGGAACUGAGGCUUUGGGAUUUGAUCUCACACACAAAAGCUACAUGUAUUUGUAUAUUUUAUUUUUCAUGGCGCAUUACCAUGUCUAUUAAGAGCUUUAUUGAUGGACCUGACAGCCUUGACCGAUUUUAUAUGUUUUUUACAAGAACAAAUGAUCAAUUUAUUGGUAAUGGACCAGGCUAGCUGUUUUUUGAUGUAGAGACACAAACAUAAUUUUUUUUUCCUAGAACACAAUUUCCUCUUUAAAUAAAUCAUUCUCACUCAUAUGAACGCAAUAAAAUUUUACAUCACUGUGUCAAUCCUUUGGGUUAAAAACAAACAUUUGAGGAAGUAUCAAUUACUUAGGAGAUUCACUCAUUACCCUCAAUCCCUCACUAAUAUUUAUUUUCAUAAGAUCUAAUUAUAACUAAUAACUAAUUUUAAUCAUUAGAUUUCAAGAAAAUAAAUCAUCAAUUCUCAACUUUUUUUUCUUUCAAAUUCGACUGCUUUAGUCUCAAUCUUCUUGUCUUAUUUUUGUCUUUCUAAUUUAUAAAUACUUCAGUUUUUGUCCUUAAGGUCCAAGUCAUUGACCCUCUUUUCUUUUUCUUUGGGAAAGCCUUCAUCUCUAAUGUUAUCACAAUUAAGCGUGUUGAAGGCCUUUGAACUCAUAUGGGUCUUAAGGUCAAUUACCACAAAAGCUUUAUUGGAGCUAUUGGGGUUAAACUAAUGUCUUGGAAAGGUUCGCCACUAUCAUGAAUUGCAAUCUUAAUAUUACUAAACUACCAUUUGUGUAUCUUGACAUUCCCAUUGAUGUCAAUCUUAGAAGGAAAAAUACUUGGAAGUCGGUUGUUGAUAAAGUGACUAGAAGAUUGAGCUAAAGGAAACAUUGAUCCUUAUCCAUGGCGAGUAGAAUUUGCUUAAUUAAUUUGACAAUCUCUUCCCUCCCUCUCCUUUAUAUUUCUUUCUUUAAGAUGCCCUUGGGCGUGGGGAAGAAAAUUGAGAGACCCCGAAACUUCUUUGGGGGUUAAUAAGAGCUCAAAUUCUCAUAUUUUAUGAUGGUGAUGAGUGUAGAGUGUUUUUUUUUUAAAGACACAAACAAUUCAUAUAUAAAAGAACAAUAGACAACCACAAGUAGUGGCAAUCCCAAGCAAGAGUUACAGAAAAUAAUAACAAAGUUGGGUGACAACACCCCAAUAAAACCCCCUAUUUACAAAAACAAGACAAUGAAGCAAAACAAGAAGACACGACACCCAAAAACCACUCCCACGGAUUCCUAUUUAGCAUAGCCAAUGAACUUGAGCCUUCCCAAAAUGAAUGCUAUCGAUAACAUAAUACUGAUGACUCAAAUAAAGUAUCUAGUGUGACACCCUCUACUCCAUACAUAUAUGUAUUAAUAAUAAAAGAAAUAAAAAUUCAAAUAUUAAUUAAAAGUAUUUAAAACAUUUUUUUAAAUAUAAGUCUUUCAAAAGGGUAAAAGGCUCACAUUCACCUUUCUAAUAUCAUAAUAAAAUUUGUCUAAAUAAAUAAUAAAUUCACUUUGUCUCAAAACAAGACCGUCCAAAACUUUAUACAAUUAAUAUAAAACAUAUACCCUAAUGUCAUAUCCUAUCAGAGCAUUGUGUUCCCGUGUCCUCUAGUAUGAGAUUCUUCAUAGUCAUCCACCUAUUCAUCUGCUCCCACGAAUAUAAGGUUCGAGAUCAUCAUAGGAUUCAAACACAAAUAGCACACUGGGAGUGAGUUAUCAUAUUCCUAACUAAUGAAGAGUAACGAUACAACAUGUAGGUAUAAAUAUCAUAAAAACAAAAUAAAACUUACUUAAACAUAGCUUACAUCAUUUCACCACUUUGUCAUCCAACAUCAUAUCAUCACACAACACAUUUCAUUCAUUUUCACAACAUUCACGUACUCAAAGAUCAAAACACAAUGUCAUCAAGUCAAUCAAUAUCGAUCAAUAUACAAGUGUUAUGCAACAUAUACACUAAGACUCAAUCCUAUAUGGAAUGUGGUACUAUGUCAGUGAAAAAUCACGUCGAGCGCCUAGGAGUACAUGACAAGACAAACCACACACUAGCAAGUUAGGUCACUCUCACUAGGUAAGAUCAUAGGGAGACCAAUCAGGGUCACGGUGUUUUGCGAGAAUGCUUCAACCAUAUGGGAUCAACAUAGGCUUAAAAGAGCACUCAAACCGGGUGACCCCCAAGGCCUAUACUCCAAAGAGUCCGUCAGGGCCUCUCCCUCCUGAUUCAGGUUCAACCUAGAAAACAUUUUAGCACACAGACUCUAUCUAUGAACUAUACAAAACACACGACUUCUCAAUUGUUCUCAAAUAGUUUAUCUCGUUGCCCUUAAGGGUCUUAGCAUUAACUCGUCGUCCUUAAAGGGACUUAGUAUUAACUUGUCGCCCUUAAAGGGACUUAGCAUUAACUCGUCGCCCUUAAAGGGAUUUAGCAUUAACUCGUCGCCCUUAAAGGGAGUUAGCAUUAACUCGUCGCCCUUAAAGGGAGUUAGCAUUAACUCGUCGCCCUUAAAUGGACUUAUAGUCGUGUGAUUGUACAAUUCAUAGUUCACAACUCAAUGCACACAACAUCUCAAUCACAUACAUACAUAAUUUAUCACAUACACUCGAUCUCAAUCACAAUGGUAUAAUCUCAAUUAACAUGUUAUCACACCUCAUGAAUCAUAUAUACUUUACCUAUGAACUAUGCAAUACACAUAACUACUCAAUUGUUUUCAAAAUCAUUUUAAAUUGUCGGGUUCCCACAGUGAAUCCCAUCACAAUACUCGUCGCCUUAAAGGGUCUUACAAUUGUGUGAUUGCACAGUUCAUAGCUCACAGUUCGAUACACACAUCUCAAUACACAUCUAUUUCACCAUUAAUCACAGGUUCAAAUUAUCACAUACUCAAAUUUGAAUCACCAUUUCAUAAUCUCAAUAUAACAAUUUAUACAAAAAGUUUAUCACAACAUAGGGAGUAAAACCCCUCAAAUAAUUUCACACAAUUAUACCAAAAUUAAUUAAUCAAAAUCAUAGAUAUAAAAAAAUAAAAACACCAAGAUCACUCUAUUUUAUCAACCAAUUUUUAUCAGGACAUCAAUAAUGUAUUUAUAAUAAUAAAGGGAAAAUUAUAAUUUAAUAAACAUCCCAAAAUAAACUCAAUUUAGUUUUCUAAGGAUCCCUACACUUGUUCAUUCUAACCCCAAUUGCGAUAAACUCAUCCUUUACCUCUAAGCGGGCUCACGUGUCUUCCAACAGCAAUAGAGGCAUCUCUAGCAAGUUCCUGAGAUUCUUUAAUUUUUUUCUCUGAUUGCUUUGAUAGGAUUCCUAAACGUCAAAGAGAAAAAGAGAUCGAAGCCUCCAUUUUUUACUGUCUUCAUGCGAUUCUGUUUUCUCUCUCCAUGGAUAUUAUUUCCCAAAUCCCAACGGUAAAGUUGUACCAAAUUGAAUCAUGAACCAAAUAUUAAAAGUUUAAGACAAUCCAGCGGUUAAAAAAUCCGGGUUCGUAGUUUUACCGAGACAGUUUUGGGUUUUUGCGGGAAAAGAAAAAGGCUAUGAUGCGAAAUGUAUUUCUCUCAGUUCCAACAUGAUUUCAAAUUCUCAAUGGUGAAAAGGCUCAAACCUGGUGCUUAAAUUUCACAACAAUCCAACGGUGAAUGAGUUUGAGAUUGUCUUUUUUUAAGAUAGGUUUGGUGGUCGGUGACAAAAAGAAAGAAUUUUGGAAAGAGAAGAGAGAAAAAUGAAAAUGAGGGAAAGAGGAGACAUAAUAUAUGACUAUUUAUACCUAAAUACUCAUAACUUAUUAUUUACUCUAUUUAUUUAUUUUUAUUAUUUUAUAUAAAGAAAUUCUAUUUUAUUUUCUAUCAAAUGAAUAAAUCAAAUAUAUAUAUAUAUAUAUAUAUAUAUACAAACAACAAACAAUUAUUUUCAAAGUAUUAUUUCAUUACAAUUAUUAUUUUUAUUUAUUUAAUUAUAAAAAUCUCACUAUUCUCUCUUAAACUUUAUUUAUUUAUUUAUACUAAAAAAUCUUUUUAAUUUACUUUAAAAAAAUGGAUUGUUACAAUCUAGGUCCAAAGAUACUCAUUGUAUUCAAAGUUAAACUAAGCUUUAGCUUCAAAGAUCCCGUCACACGACCUCGAGUCCUUUGGAUAACAAUCAGACAAUGCAAAACCACCCUCCAGAAACAUGAACACCACACCCCAAACACCAGAAACCCUUCCGAACUGCAAAAAUUAGAUGGAAUAAGACCUACUCCAGACUCAAUAUCCUGCUAUACUACACAUCAUAGGAUCAUCAAACCAACAUGCCAAAGAAUACGUACUACCGCCUCUAUUAUUUAUCCAUUGCCAAGACAUAAUCUUCACCAAAUCAAGAUCUCCUCUACCUCUUGAUCCUUUCCUUGAAAAAUGUGUCAAAUUAAUUUGUUAUAAUAAAAUUCAUCAAAAAUUAAAAAUUUAAGAAUAAAAAGUGUAAUUAAACCUACAAAAAGACAUCAAACAAGGGUGUAAACUCCUCAUCAGACAGACAUUUUAUUUGGAGUAUGGGGAUUUCAUAAUGGACUAAUUAAAUUAUUGAACAUAAGUGAUUGAUAUGUUAAAAUUAAGAUUAAAUCUUUAAGAUAUUAUUGAGUUUGAUGUUUAACAGUAAAAAUUAUUAAUCAGAUUUUAUUUAUCUUUCCUUGAAUUUCGAAUUAAUUAAGAUUAUUUUAAAAAAAUAAUAAUAAAAGGGACCAAACUUUGGGAAGUAAAACUGGUAUAGCUCCCGAGAAGAUAGUCAUUAUGGACAAAAAAAGUGUUCAUAAAUGGGCCCAUAAUGGCUUAGGUUCAAUGAUUCUGUUCUGUCCCAAACCACGGUGUUCUGUCAUCUCUGUUCUCUCUCUCACCAACGAACAAACCAAAUCCAACAAGACAACUCAAACAAACCAUUUUCAUUUCCCUCACUCUCUCUUUGCUUUCCCAAUCUCAUCUCAUCUCUCUCUCUCUCUCUCUGACCCAUCAUUCAAAUCUUAACUUUCAUUAAUCUUCUCUUCGUGGCUUAAGCCUAAGAAAAAUCACACACCCCCAUCACUGUUCACGGUCUUACCUUUCCUUCUAUUACUCAGGUACACCUCUUUUCUCUUUCAUUAGGUUUAGUACUAAACCCUUAAAUUAUAAUGGUUGGUUUCGUUUAAUAAUAAUAAUAAUAAUAAUAAUAAUAAUAAUAAUAAUAAUAAUAAUAAUAAUAAUGUAAGAAGAUUCUAAAUUUUGAAGUGCAAAAUGAUUGUUCUGUGCUGGUGAUAGUUUGAUUACAUGAAAAGUUGUAGUUUUUAGAUUGAAACUUAGGCUGUUUACUUCCGUGGAAUUGUGUGGUGCAAUGGGGUUUCUGUGUGUUGGGUUGAAGUUUAUUGCGGAAUCUGAGUGCCAAUUGAUGAGUUUUUUAGUGAUUUCAUUUGGCCAAUGAACUUGUGUGAUGAAUGAACAUGAAUCUGUGGAGUGUGCUUAGUUUUUUUGAUGGGUUAGUUAAUGGAUAUGACCUGAGGUGGGUGAGUUCUCUCUGUUUAGAUAAGUUCUGUGUAAUAUUGUAUGAGUCUUUUUGGUGGUUGGGAUAAUAUUAUAACUGAAUUUGUUUAAUGUGGUGGAAUGAAAGGAAUGAUUGAUUGAUGAGACAAUUUGAGGCGCUGUGACAGUGAUUCUGUUAAGAUCUUUUUUAAAUUGUCAUAAUAAGAUAUGGCAAAUAUGUUGUGCAUCAGUUUUUUUUUUUUAGCAAAGUUUGUGUAUGCUUUUUAGUUAUUCUCUAAAUGAAAAUAUUGAUAAUACAGAAUGGUCAUAUGUUUUCUCUUUAAAGUACCAGAUGGAUCUGCUUUAUGUAUUUUGGGACUAUUGUGAGAUUAGACAACCAGGAAGUGGGAUGAAUGCAUCCCUUUCUGAAACAUUGUGUAGUGUCAUUUUCUGUUUCCAUCAGUUCUGAGGUUAAAUUAUUUUAGAUACUGAGAUAAGUUGAUUUAGUCGUUGAAUGUUGAUCUAUGUCAGUCAUUCUGAUUUCACUGGACCAUCUAUUGGUACAGGUGUGAAAGGUUAAAGCAGAGUGUGAAUAUCAGGUCUUGUUCUUUUUUCGAAGGUGAUUCACUAUGUCGAUUAUUCUUGUGCAUAGGCUAAUACCAAGCUUCUAUAUCAGCACUUAACAGAUUAUGGCAUACUGAUUUUUGGCAUUUUAAUCUAUGCCAUCUGAUCUGACAUGAUUUCUCUACUUGUCUAAUCUCAAUUGUAAUUAAAAGAAAUCCGCUCUUGUCAAGGUACUCUCUCCCACUCUUGUGGGAAGACACAUGCAACUAUGAGCAACGCAUAUGUUAGCUCAACAAUAUAUGCUGUUAGGUGUAAAGAACCAUUUUCAUUAUCUUUCAAUGGCUACUCAAACUUCUGUUACGAAAGAUUUGACAGAACCCCAUCAUACUGUUUGUCAUGCUGUGGUUGUUGUGAUUACUGUUCAGUCUCCACUUACAGAGUACCCAUAAAGCCUUGCCUUAUAAAUGGCUUGAGGCAAUCUGCUCUUCUUCAAUUGUCAGCUUCUAGAAGGUUGAUAUUGGGUGGAGGAGACCAUUACCUUUCUCGGCUACCAGCUUAUGGUGUCCUCAGAGGUUGUCAGGAGCUUAAUUCUUCUGUCAAUGAGAGAACUGAUUAUAGUAGUAGUAGUAGAUGGAGAAUAAAGGGAAGAUAUAUUCGUGCUGCCUCCCAGAAAGGGAGAGAAUUUUCCCAUUCAUUUGGUUCUGAUGGUGCUGAAGCAGUUCUCAGCUUGUUGAGUGAGGAGGCAGAUAAGGAUGCUAUUUGUAGCAAAUGUAAGAAUGCGUCUUCAUCAAAAAGAGUGGAAGUUGAUAAAAGAAAAAAUGUGAGCAGAGAGAAACAUUUGAGUUCGAGUGAGAAAGUAGAAACAGAGAAAAAAGGAAUUUUGAAACGGCGUGAAUCAUCCUCCGUAGACUUGAGAAGAGAAUAUGGAAAAGCCAACCAAGAAAGGGAAGCCUUUGUAAAAAGUGAAAGCCAUAGGAAACGAAGAGAUGCAUCUAGUUGUUCAUCUUAUUACUCUCUCUCAUCAGGAGAUUUUGGGAGUGAGCUGGAAGUUCAAGAUGAGAUUGGUUUGGAAGAGUUGUCACUGGAAUAUGAGAAGGAUGAAGCAAAUUGUCUGGAGGAAGUGAAGGAAGAAUUCAACAGGCAAGGGGAUGACUCAAAGAAGCUGCAGGCUGUUUCAAAUAAGGGAAGAAUUGCAUUUGGUGUGGAUAUUGAUUGGAACCUAAGGAACAAAUCUGAAAAGAAGCUGAUUGAGGGAACUCUGCAAAACACUGAAUCCAUAAGAGAACAACAGGAUAUGCAUUCAAGAGAAUUUAGAACACAUGAUUCUGGUCAUAAAAAAUCAUCUAUUUCACAAAAGCGAGUCAAUAGUGAGGAAGAUAAAUCUUCUUUUAUUGACAAUUUGGAUAAGAAAGCAAACAAGGCAUAUAUUCAAACAGUAAACAGAAGAAAGCAUCAAUCUAUAGAUGUACAAGAGUCUGGUUGUGAUGAAGUUGAGACAACUUUGUUAUCACAAAAGAAAUUCAGUGGCAGGGAAGGGAAGCUUGAGAUAUCAGAAACAAUGUUGAAGGAAACAACUGAUGAAUAUAAAAAGUUUGUUGGUUCAACUUCUACCACAGGAAAGGAAACUUUGACAUCGAAGAAGGCAUUCAGUGGCAGGGAAGGGAACCUGGCAAUAUCAGAAACACUUUCACAAGAAACAAAUGAUAAACAUAAAAAAAUUGUUGGUUCUACUUCUACCUCUGGAAGGGAUGUGAUAGAUAGAAGUUCCCAGAAAUAUUCUGGAAAUUUAAAAAUUGAAGACACUGAAAGGACCUCAAAUACUAGGAUGAAGGACAUGGGAGUGAAAAAAGUUUCAGUUUUGAGUUCUGUUCAGGGAGUGGAUAAGCAGAAACACCAAAAAGGAGAGAAGAUCAUUACACAGAUGAAGGAUAAAGAGGGGAGAAAAAAAUCUGAGCAAUUUUCUGAAGUAUCAGAAGCUCACAAGUCUAAUGUUGAAGAUACAUCUAGCAUAAAGUCUAGAACUAGAUUAAAGAACAUGGAAGAAAAAUCAAACAUAAGCUCAGAUGCAAGGGUUACGUUGCUCCAAACAGAUAAAAGGACAACUCAGAGUUUCCAACACAGGAAAGGAUCUGAACUUGUCAGCACUUUAUCAGAAGGCUAUGUCAGUGAUGAAAAGCAAGUUUCAAGUUCUCAAAAAGCUUAUGAGAAGGUGAGAUUAAUUCCAAAAAGUAAAUCAACAUCACUUGUUAGAACUAGAGAAAGUUCUAGCCAAACUGAUGAAAGGAUUGCAAAAUUUGAAUUGGCCAGAGACGACCAAAGAUCUUGCAACCUUUCAAUUUCUGAUGAAACUAACUCAAGAGAGGAAUCCAGCUCCCAGGGAUCAUUGAGUUUGAUUUCUGGGGCUGGAAAACAUAGUAUAUUAGCAUCAGGUGAAAAAAGAAGGUCUGCAACAAUGUUGAUCCCUUCCUCUUCUGAAAUGGGUGGAGACUCAGUACAAUUUGAACUCACUGCAGGAAUUGCAAGCCCUGAGAUCUUCCUUGGAACUUCAGAAAGUGGUUCUUCUGCUUUGUAUGACAAUUCAGGAAGAAGUUCUGCUUUGCAUCCAGAUGCUAUCGAUUUAGCUAAUCGUUUAGAGAAGUCAUCUAGACAGUUUGUUGAUGAGUUUGCUGAGAGGGUCAUGCAUGAAGUAACGACUUCAGAAGCACAAGAGAUGGAAGUUACAGGAACAAAGUUGACACUUGAAGUUGGUGGUGAUCAGAUCUACAGCUCAAGGCAACAAGGCACUCAAAAUGACGCUCAGUCAAAGAAGCAUGAUUCUAGUCGUUCUUCUGGGUUUCCUGGGACAAAAGGACCUUCUGAUGAGAUGUGGGAUGUCAUGGAACCAUCUGUUGAGCAAGGUCAAGUAGCCAAAGAAACGGAUAUCAGCAAGGAAACAGGGAAAGCAGUUGUUACUAGAACUGGGAGGUCCUUAUGGGGUAUGAUUGGUGAUAUUGUUCAAUUACGUUGGGGUUCACGUGCUGGUUCCUCCACUUCAGCUGGAAGAUCAGCUGAGAGAAACUCACCAAACAAGUCUGACAGUGACACAUGGUUUUCUGGGCAGGAGCAUGAGGAAACCACUAAAACUAAUGUCUUAAAAAAAACAAGUGUACCACCACAAGUCAUGACUUCUGAUAAGUUAAAACCAGGUAAACAUUAUACCCAAAGUGAGGGAGAGGUGUCUGACAAUACAAAACUGAAAGACAGAGGAAAACAUCUCGAAGUUGGAUUGUCAUCCCCAAAUACAUUGGAAAGUGGAUCAAUGUCAGUAGGCGCUUCUCAUACUUCUGGAGAGGAAAAUGUUAGUGGGACUGAGGAUAAAAAAGAUUUGAAAGCCACUACUUCUGGCACACAAAACAUGGAAUUACCAAUUUCAGUACCUGCCAGAGGGCCUUCUAUUGAUGGAGAAAUUGUAAGCAUCGGUGGAUCUGACAUGUCUGGAGCUGAGUCAGUGGUUCCAAUCAAGGAAUCUAUUGCUCCUGUGCGGUCUGAAUUGUCCGGCUCAGAGAGAAAGGAUGGAGAGUUGAAGCAAAGAAAGUUUCAACGGAACAGGCAAGUCUUGAGAGAUAGGUUUGAUGACUGGGAAGAAGCCUAUCAAUGUGAACUUGAGCAGCGACGCAUAGAUGAAAUGUUCAUGAAGGAAGCACUUUUGGAAGCCAAGAAGGCUGCUGAUACAUGGGAGGUACCUGUUGGUGCUGUUCUUGUGCAGCAUGGGAAAAUUAUUGCUCGAGGCUGCAACUUGUAAGUGAGGAUAUUAUUUCAUUCUUUGUAAGUGUAAUGGAAUUAUUUCGUUCUUUGUAAUUGCCCUAGUUUUUAAUUUUUUUAUUUAUAUCUAAAUAUCUGUUCCAGAGUUGAAGAGUUACGGGACUCCACUGCCCAUGCAGAGAUGAUUUGUAUACGAGAAGCUUCAAAGCUUCUUCGAUCAUGGAGACUAUCAGUAAGUUUUCUAGUUGGAAAUUUAAAUCUAUUUUGAUAUCACACCGCCCAAAGUUUAAUAUUCAUUGUUGUGAUUCUCUUGUAUAAUUUUUAAGCUCAUAUGGCUAAUUUAACAUGUGACAAUAUUCCACCACUUUUAAGUUAAAGAGUAAAGACAUCUAUAGCUGCAGGUCUAAUAUUUAUUUUUACAGAACAAAGCAAGUUGCCAUUGCAAAGAUAUUUUUAAAUUUAAAUAAAAUUUAUAAAUAAAAAUAAAUUAAAUAGUACAUGUUUUCAUUAUUAAUAAUAAGUAUUUUAUUAUAUAAAAUAAGAAUAAAUUAAAGAGAUGGGGACUUUUAAAAUUGAGGACAUGAGAGAUCUAUCAAAAAAAUUAAAUAUCAUCAUUCAACUGGGGAAGUUGAGGCUUUUGUUAUUGUCGUCAUAAGUGCCUAUAAUAGAGUUUGAUAAACUCUGAUUUAUCAUUGAUCAGAAAAAUGAAAAGGCAAAUUACAAAGAAAAGAGUAAUCUCUAUAUAUAGAGAGUCUUAAAGUCUAACCGUAAACUAUCCCUAUAACUGACAGCUCACAGAUAAUGGAAAACAGAAUACACAAAGUAAAAACACUUUUAGUGGAAUAAGUAUACUCUAAUAGCCCAUGAUUAAAUAUCAUUAGACAUGUAGUGCCCUUCAUCCUUCAUCAUCACUGAGUAAACUAUUGACCAUUCAUAAUUUUACUUACGAAUAGUUGGUUGCUAUGCAGCUUUCUUAAUUCUUAUGUGGACUCAUUAAUUCAAGAACAAGGUUUAUUUGCAUGCAUGCAAUGGUGGAUAUCAUUAUCGAAAUGUCUAAUGUAAAAAUAUAUAUUAGCAAGAUAGAUUCAUGUUUAAAGAGGGUGAAAUUAUUGAAAGAGAAAAAAACAUUAGGAUCAGAUUACUUUAUAAUCUGUCACUCCCUAGUACUUCUAUCUAAUGACUGAUAAUGUUAAAAACCCUUGCUGUGGCAAUUUUUUUAUUUAAAAAGAAGAAAAUUCAUUAAGAAAAGUGAGAUAUACAAAGGUAGAAGGAUAAGAUAUCCCCCAUAAGAGAACUGGAAAAGGAAAAAAAAAUACAAAGAACAAGCAAAAUGGAGCUCAAGAAAAUCAGUGCACAAUGGCAGACCAAUCUUUAUUGGAAUCUGAAAUGGCAACCCCCUUAAAAGAGCUAGUGAGCCACACUCUAAAGAGAAGCCCAAAUUUUGAUUACUUUAUUAUCUAUUGCUAUUUAAUUUAACCAGUAUUAAUAAGUAAUGUUACUAAAAAUAAUGCUCCUGUAAAAAUAAAGAGAAUUUGACUAUAAUGGCAUGUUUAAUAACCUAAAGCAAUAUUUAUUUAGUACAGGGGAAUGAGAAUUGGAGUGAUAGUGAAAGAUUUUUGUAUUUGGACUUACCUGUGGUCCUGGUAGAUGAAUCAUUUCCUUCCUUUCAAUUAUUUCUUACCAAACAUUGCUUGAAGGAUCACUUAGUAAUAUGGUCUUUCUUGACAAAUGGUUGAUAUCUAUUAGUUGUGGUAUUUGAUACAACUUGAUAAUUAGGUUGAUGGUUCAUUUGUUUAAGGACAAAAUUUUCCCACUUUCAGGACACUACACUUUAUGUAACGCUUGAGCCAUGUCCAAUGUGUGCUGGUGCUAUCCUUCAGGCAAGAGUAGACACUGUUGUGUGGGGUGCUCCCAAUAAGCUUCUUGGAGCUGAUGGUAGCUGGAUUAGGUAUGCAGCCAAUGUGCUUCUUUUAUUUGUUUAUCAUUAUUUUGAUAAGGGAGUCUUUAUGGUUGUUUGUCAAUGUUUCAUGAAACUUCACCUAUAUUUGGCCGAAUUGGUCUCUACCUACCUUUAUUUUCCUGCUUGUUAUCUUCAGUUGAAUUGGCCGUGCCAUAAAAACACUAUGGAAAAAGAGGGAUUGCACACAUGUGCAUUAAAAUAUAUAUUAUUAUAAUUAGAAAAGGACCACAAUGCCCUCAACCAUAAUGCAUGUUAAACAUUUGGUAUUUGACUAUAUGGUCGCAGUUAAAAUUUUAUGUCUAAUCCCAUAUUUUUUAGAUUAAGAAAUCAUUAAUAAGCCUAUGAAACAUGGUUUUUACUUAGAGAAAAUAGUAUAUACAUUAACAUGUAAAGAUUUUUUUUUACAAUGUCAUCUAAUCACAAAUUAUUAUGUAUGAUCAAUUUGUUGAUUUUUAUAAUAACUAUUUUAAAAGUUAUAUCAAGGAUACUUUGUAAUUGGUUAAUAACAGUUUAAAAACUUUUACACUGACCGUGCUUGUUUAUUAAACUCUUUUUCUUAUGUUAUAUAGAUGUCAUUUCUGUUUACAACUCCAUUGUCAACAUCUUUUUACUUUCCUCCUAAUUUACCUUUUCAGAACCUUAAUGAGUUGCAUUUCUUCAAAUGUACUGGGAUUACAACAUAAUCAGGGCUGGGGUUUCCAAUUGUUUUCCCAACUGAAAUUGAGUCCCUUUUUGGAUAUUUUCUUGAAAGCUCAGCACAUGAAAUGUUCUUGAAAGCUCAGUACAUCGAAUAUUACAGCUCUUUCUUGAACCUUAUUUCUGCAGAAUUUUCCCUGAUGGAGGAGAAAAUGUAUCAGAACAAAGAGAUAUGCCACCUGCCCCAGUUCAUCCAUUCCAUCCAAACAUGAAAAUAAGAAGAGGGGUCUUAGCCACUGAGUGUGCAGAUGCAAUGCAGCAAUUCUUUCAGCUUAGAAGGAAAAAGAAGAAAGAGGAACCACCGAAUGGCCCUUCUAGCCUUCCUGUUACUCACCACCCAUCCAAGUUACUCAACAAGAUACAUGACGUCUUCCACAUCAUGUUCUGUUUGUAAAAGAGAAUAUUCACAUAUUUUCCCAUGUUUUAAAUGAGCUUCUAAAUAAAAUAAUCAAACAUGAAUGAAUGAUCAUUGUGAAAAGUACAAUGCUCAAUUUCUUUAAGAGUAUUCAAUCAGUUAAGCUGUCAAAGACAAUAAUUUCAGACGUUGCCUACUUUAAUUUCAAGUAAUGACUUCAAACGCUUAGGAUGAUGACUAGAUUGUAAUGAUAUAGUAAAGCCUGUCUGUCAUUGUUCCCUUUCAUUUUUUUUUGGAAAGGGUGAUUGGGUGAGAAUUUGAGAUCACUUGCAAGAAACAGAAACCUAGUAGAGUAUGUAGAAAGAUUGAAUUGCUGAUGAAACAUUACAAUCACCAUGGUAAGUUGAACCAUCAAGUAUUUACAGAAAGUGAUAGAGACCUGGUACUUACAUAUAGGUAUGUGUAGAAAAUAGUAGGUGAAAUUAUGUUCUCAUUAACAUGAAACUUUUUUUAAUUCAUUACAUCCCUCCUUGCCUAAUCCACCCAACCUUUUGUCCUGGCAAAUCUGAAAAAUAAUUAAGUCUACUUAAAACACAAGUUAGGCCAUAACCAUAAUAUUAACUUUGAAUGAGUGAGCCUGUGAUAAAAUUCUAAACGACUAGGACUUAUGAUUUCAAGGGUCCCCCUUGAUGCGAAGGAAGCUACUACUAUUUGUCUGUUUCCUUUGUUAACGUUACUUGUUAGAUGAUUAAUAAUAAAAUGAUGUCACAAUCACAUGAAGGCUACAUUUUUCCUUCCACAGAUAGUCCAAACCAUACGUUUCAACCUUGUGCUGCACAUUAGUUCAAAUAUAAGAAGCAAACUCUUCAUUCAAAACCAGAUCACAACAUACAAUGGCUGCAGUGUUCUGGGCUUUGGCUUUAGUAAGCCUCUGCUGCCAGCUACCUUCCAAUGCCCAAGCACCUGCAUCUGUGCCGGCAAACUCGCCACCUACAACCCUAGCUGCAACAUCCCCGUCUUCUGGCACGCCACCGGCAGUAACACAGGCAGCAUCCCCUCCCACCACAAGUAAUCCACCAACUAUUUCCCAGCCACCUGCAAUUGUAGCUCCCAAACCUGCUCCAGUGACACCACCUGCUCCAAAAGUUGCACCAGCUUCAAGCCCAAAAGCACCAACACCCCAAACUCCACCACCACAACCACCAAAAGUAUCACCUGUCGCAGCUCCCACAUUGCCACCCCCACUACCUCCACCACCUGUUGCUACGCCACCGCCGUUGCCACCACCAAAGAUAGCUCCAACACCGGCCAAAACAUCCCCUGCACCUGCACCAGCAAAGGCAACACCAGCACCUGCUCCUGCACCUACAAAGCCGGCUCCAACACCAGCUCCCAUUCCUCCACCGCCAACACUGGCACCAACUCCAAUAGUAGAGGUACCAGCACCUGCGCCAUCGUCACAUAAGCAUAGAAGGCACAGGCACAGGCACAAGAGACAUCAAGCACCAGCUCCAGCACCAACAGUUAUUCACAAAAGUCCUCCGGCACCACCUGAUUCCACAGCAGAAUCAGACACAACACCAGCACCAUCACCAAGUCUGAAUUUGGUAAUAUCUUUGUCUAGUGAAAUAUCAAAUUACAUUAAAAUUACACACAAAUAUGUCUCAUCUGUUUCACAUUGUUUUGAUCACAUUUUUUACUUCCUCAUUUCACAGAAUGCUGCACCAUCAAACCACCAGCAAAGGAGUAUACAGGCAACGGCUGCACUUGCCAUCACUGUUUUGCUAGCCGUCACCAGCUACAGCUGCUAGCAGCCUCAUGGAGACCAUGGAUUCACUUUAAUGAGUUAUUUGGCUUGCAAAAUAUAUAAUCAUUUAAUGUGUAUAGAUCUGAAUCAUGAGAAUCUAUACCUAUGAUUCUUUUUUUUUUUUUUUAUUGUUGUUAUCUUUGCUCAGAAAUAUUAAUGGAUAUGAAUUUUUGAAUUAUGACAAUAAUCUGGAGAUGUUAAACAAAAUGUCUCUAGUUUUAUAAGUUAUUUCAUCAAACUUGAUCAGUUUCUGAGUCUAUGUUUAUUUUCUCCCGAAAGUCAUAAAACUCCCUGAUAAGUCCAAGAUUGUCAACUAAUUUGUUAUGCCUUAGAUAUCCUGCACACUAGUAAGAUGAAAUUCCCAUCAAUUACUUACAAAGAAUAUGUAUUUGCAUAACACUAACUUUACAAAAUAUGUCUAUAAAGAAUGAAGGAAAGCAUGAGAAAAUAAUAUGACCAUCAUCAAUAAGGUUUCCAAAGACAAACGCAUACUCAGCAGCACAAGAUUAAAAUGUAACCACAAAACUGGUCGCUAGACAAUGAGCACAUAUAAAACUUUAACACACUUGCACACAUUACCCAUUCCAUAAGUUAAUGAACUUUCAGAACAAGUUGACACACAGCAAUGCAAUCCAGUUACUCCCUUUGUAUGAUAAACACCAGACUCAACCAGGAGAGGGUAGAUGGCUGGAAAUUUAUUUUUCAAUUCCUGAAGGAAAAAAAUUGGUGUUCCAUUUUGAUAUUUUAUAGAAUAAAGAUAUGGUGAACAUUAAUAUGUUACAUACACAUAAACAGGGAUCGGAUAUGGCAAGUUGGCAACUAGUGAGAGGUUGAUGAACCAACAAAGAUAGUCUUAAUUUAAAAUACCAAACUUGGCGGAAACGUGAUUCCGUUAUAUACAUUUUUUUUGUACUUCUAAAAAGGUGUUUUCAGAAUUAUGUUAGCAUAAUUUCAGAAAGGUGUUUCCAGAAUGCAUGUUAUUUUUGUAGAAAAGCUACUAUGAAAAAACUUUUCUGGAAAUUGAUUUUGGAAACUUGUUUAUGGAAAACAUGAAUUUUGUUUUCCAGAAAAGUCUUUCCAGAAUUAUGCUAACAUAAUUUUGAAAAGGUGUUUUUGGAAUACAAAAAUCAUGUUUGUGUGGUGCUGAUGUCUGUGUGUUGUUUGCAAGGUGUUGGGUGGUAUUGGGUGGUUGCAACUGUGGUGGUGGUAGUGUUUGGGUGUGUAGUUAGCUGGAGAUGGGUUAUGCAUGGGAGAGGCAAGGGUAUUAUCGUUCAUUUGAGACUUUUUGGGGGGUGUAGGAAGUAAAAGCUUCCCAUGUGUCUUAUGUUUUUAAAAUUUGACUUAGUUUUUGGAUAAGGGAGUUGUUGUUCUCAUCCUCUAAAAUGCUAUUCUCACCCUUUUCAUUUUGGAAAAUUGUAAGAAGAUAAUGUUAUCUGUAACAUCCCAUUUUUUUCAUAGAUUAAUUCAAAAAAAGUUGUUAUUUGUAAAUAAAUAAGUUUUAUGAUAAGGUUUUUGUAAUUAAAUAAAUAAAGAGAAAUAAGUGUAUUAAAAUAAUAGUUUGAUAAAAAAAAUAAAGAGGAUAUUUUAUUUAUUCAUCUGAUAGAGAAUAAAAUAGAGUUUGUUUUUAUAAAAUAAUAAAAAUAAAUAAAAUAAUAGGUUGUGAGUACCCUAGGUAUAAAUAACGAUAUGUUAGGUCAGGAAAACGACGAUCUCGGACUCAUUCACCGUUGUAUCAUAGUGAAAUUUGAGCACCACGUUCGCAACCCAAUUCUGAGCAUUCUCACCGUUGGGAAUUGCAAAAACAUGUCGAAGCUAAGAGAAAUACCCUUUGCAUCGUAGCUUUCUCUUUUCUCGUAGAAACCCAAAACGGUCUCAGUAAAACUAUGAUCUCAGUUUCAUUAACCGUUGGAUUUUCAUGAAAUUUUAAUUUGUAGUUUGCAAUUCAAUUCCACACACUUUCACCAUUGGGAUUUGCGAGAUAAUAUUCACUGAGAGAGAAAAAGGAAUCGCACGAAGACAGUACAUAUGAAGGCUUCAAUCCCUUCUCUGUCUCUCUGACAUUUGGAAACUCUAUCAGAGCAGUCGGAGGAAAAACUGGAGGAAUCUUAGGGAACCGCUAGAGAUGCAGCUAUCGCUGUCGGAAGACACGUGAUUCUGCUUAGAGGUAAGGGAUGAGUUAUUCACAAUUGAAGGUUAGUGAAAACAUGUGUAGAGAUCCUUAAAGGAUUAAAUUGGGAUUUUAUUUUUGGAUGUUUAUUAAAUUGCAAUUUUUCCUUUAUAAUUAUAAAUAAAAUAUUGAUGUUCUGAUGAGAAUUGCUUGAUAAAUUAUGUUCUUGAUAUUUGUAUAUUUUGACCUAUGAUUUUGAUAUAAUUGUGUAAUAUUAUUUGAAGGGUUUUAGUCCCCAAGUUGUGAUAGUCUUUUGUAUAAAUUGUUAUAUUGAGGAUAUGAAAUGAUGAUUCAAAUUGUGAUUAUGUGGUGGAUUGAACAUGUGAUGAAUGAUGGAAUACAUGUAUAUUGAGAUGUGUAUUGUGUUGUGAGCUAUGAAUUGUGAAAUCACACAAUUGUAAGACCCUUUAAGGGCGAUGAGUUUUAUGCGACGAGUAUUGUGAUGUGAUCCAUUGUGGAAACCCGACAAGUUUAAUCACAAGCGCGACGAGUUAAAAUGGUUUUGAAAAUAAUUGAGUAGUUGUGUGUAUUGCAUAAUUCACAGGUAAAGUGAAUAUGAUUCGUGAGUCUGAUAACAUGCUAUUUUGAGAUUAUACCAUUCUAAUUGAGAUCGAGUGUAUGUGAUAAACUGAGUAUGCGCAUGAUUGAGAUGUUGUGUGCAUUGAGUUGUAAACUGUGGAUUGUACAAUCGCACGAUUAUUAGACCCUUUAAGGGCGACGAGUUAAUGUUAAGACCCUUAAAGGGGGACGAGUUAAAAAUAUUUAAGAACAAUUGAGGAGUCGUGUGUUUUGUAUAGUUCAUAGAUAGAGUCUGUGUGCUAAAAUAUUUUCUGGGUUGGACCUGAAUCAGGAAGGAGAGGCCCUGACGGACUCUUCACAGUGUAGGCUUUGUGGGUCACCCGGUUUGAGUGCUCCUUUAAGCCUGUGCCGAUCCCACAUGGUUGGAGCAUUCUCGCAAAACACUGUGACCCUGACUGGUCUCCCUAUGAUAUUACCUUGUGAGAGUGACUUGACUUGCUAGUGUGUGGUUUGUCUUGUCAUAUACUCCUAGGCGCCCGACGAGAUUUUUCACUGACAUGGUACCACAUUGCAUAUAAGAUUAAGUCUUAGUGUAUCUGCUGCAUAACACUUGUGUAUUGUUCUAUAUUGAUUGAUUUGAUGAUAAUGUGUUUUGACUAUUAAGUAUGCGAAUGUCGUGAAAACGAAUGAGACGUGUGGUGAAAUAACGUGAGUUAUGCUCAAGUAAAUUGUAUUUUGUUAUAUAAUAUUUAUACCUAUAUGUUGUCUUAUUUUUCUCUAUUAGUUAGGAAUGUGAUAACUUACUUCCUGUGUGUUGUUUGUGUUUGGAUCCUGUGAUGAUCUUGAACUUUAUGUUCGGGGGAGCAGAUGAUUAAGUGAAUUUCUUUAAGGAACCUUGUGUUGAAGGACGUUGGGACACAAUGCUCUAAUAAGAUGUGACAUUAGGAUAUAAGUUACUAUAUUAAUUGUAUGAGGUCUUUGACAACCUUGUUUUGAGCCGAAAUGAUUUAUUAAUUAUUUGAACAAGUUUUAUUAUGAAUUAGAGAAGUGAAUGUGAGCCUUUUAUCCUUUUGAGAGACUUGUAUUUAAAUGUAUUUUAAAAACUUUUAAUUAAAUCUGAUCUCUUAUUUCUUUUAUUUAUUUAUAUAAAUGUCGGGGUAGAGGGUGUCACAUUAUCUCUCUUCAGUUUCCCUUCACCUUUCUCUUUCCCUUCCCAUUCUUGCUACUGCACCCCCCCCCCCCCCCCUCCAACUCAUCACCUUUUUUCGAUGUUUUGGUGCCAACAAAAACAUGAUUUGGUUGUUACUCCACCAUGGAAUCAUGAUUUUGUUUUGAGUAGAACAUAGUCAUAUUUUGUUGUACAAUUGUAUAUGCAUAAUGAAAAUUUUUUUUUGUGUUUCUCAAUUGAAACACUCAUUGAAAAUCGUAUUUUCAUUAUGGAUUUACAAAUGAUACAUAAGGAAAAUAUGAUUUUGUUGUGUUUUUCAAAAUAAUUGUAUUUUUUAGGAAUUAAAAUCAUAUUUAAGCUUUUAAAUUUUGGAGAACCAAGAACAAAAUAUGACUCAACUUUAAAAUACUAAAAAUAUAUUUAAAUCUUUUUUUAAAAUCAGCUCUAUUUCCACUCCUUCCUUCUGUUUCUCGGUUGUUCCCUGCUACCAAACAUAGAGUGCAAGUCUCCAAUGAUUUUGACUUCCAAAAAUCCCGACCUCAAACUUCUAAAAGCUAUAAGCUCUUUCCUCUUCUCAUUAAGGCCUUAAGUGGGUUUUAAUUCGCACAUUUUGCACCUAACUUUACUUAUCAUAAACUAUUUAAUCAUACACUCAACGCUGAAAUACAAGCGCUCGACACUUAAACAUAGUAAAUUCAAUGCUUUGUCAGUACCUGACGCUCUCAAAGGCACCUAACGCUGCAUGAAAGACUAGCAUGUAGUGUACAUUGGCUUCAUUUUCUAGAAUUUUCCUAGUAAAUAAAUAUAAAAAAAAAUACUACUAAAAAGUUGAGGUUACUUUCUUAACGUAUAAAAUACUAAAAACAUGCAAUAAAGCUUUAAAACAUAGAGACAUAUGUAUAAAAUACGCUAUAAAUUUACAUUAAUUCUAGCUAGGUUUAUCAGUGUAAACAUUUUAUGUGUUUUCCCUCAAACCUUCCCAGCCACGUAAUAUGAUUAAUAUCCAAGGUUUUGUGGUGCUAUUGAGGUGUUGUCUUACCAAGGAGACAUAUUCCCUUUUUUUUUUUAUCGUUAUACUUACAUUUCGAAAAUACAUAGAUAAAAUGUAAAAUAUAGAUACAUUGAUUCCCAUUUCAAUUCAGAUUCAUUUAAUUCAAAAUCCACUUAAUAUAAGUACAAAAUGGUGUAACCCUUAACCGCAUGAUAACUUUGGUGGGUUCAUAAUAACUUCGGAUGACUUACUAAAGAUCAUGACAGCAUUAAAAUUGUUACAUAAUAACAAUGAUAUGCUGCAAUGAAAAUUAUUAUAGCUUUUCCAUUUUUUUUAAAUAUUUCAAACCGUUGUACGAGGUAAAUAUAUGUUCCCAUCUUUACAAGUUUUGGUUUAGUCUACCUUAUUCUUUUCAAGAUCAGGAGCCAACUUUGAACCAAUAAGGGCUGGCCCCAGAGAUAUCCUUCUAAGAAAGGGCAAGAGUUAACCUUUCGGAUUGAAAACGAUUGUGGCAGUGCCUCUUAGAGUGGUUGUCUCAAUGCAACACCUCUAGUAUGAAGUAUAAACCACUGAGAAAUUGAUGUUUAAUUGGUUGAAAUAGCUAAUUACUUUGUCUUCAUCCACUUGUAGUCAUUAAGAAACAAUUCAACACUUCAAUCACAGGUAUUCUUUUAUGAAUUUAGAUAAAAUCUUCAGAGUAAAGAUAAUUCUAUACCAUCAUUCAAAUUAGUAAAUGAAAUUAUGUUCUCAUUAACAUGAAACCCUUUAUUCCUUUUUACCCUCCUUGCCCCAUCCUACAUCCACCCAACCUUUUAUCUCAUUAAACAUGAAAAUUAAGUCUACUUAAAAUACAAGUUAGGCCAUAACCAUAAUAUGAACGUUGAAUGUGUGAAGCUUUGAUAAACAUCUAAAUGACUAGGACUUCUGAUUUCCCUCAUUGAUGCAAGGGAAACUACAUUGUACCUCUACUUUUUCCAUUGUUAACGUUCCUUGUUAGAUGAUUAAUAUUUAAAUUGUCACAAUCACAUGAAGGCUACAUCUUUCCUUCCACACAUAGUCCACACCAUACGUUUCAACCUUGAGCUUCAUCAAAGCCCAUAAUAUAAGAAGCAAACUCUCCAUUCUCAACCAUAUCACAACAUUCAACAUACAAUGGCUGCAAUUUUCUGGGCUUUGGCUAUAAUAAGCCUCUGCUGCAAGCUAGAUUGCAAUGCUCAAGCACCAGCAACUGUGCCGGUAAAGUUGCCACCUACAACUUUGCCACCUACAACCCCAACUGCAACAUCUCCAUCUUCCAGCACGCCACUGGCGGUAACACAACCACCCACAGUGGUGGCAUCCCCUCCCACCACGAGUACACCACCAACCACAUCCCAGCCACCUGCAAAUGUAGCUCCCAAACCUGCUCCUGUGAAACCAUCAGCUCCCAAAGUUGCACCUGCUUCAAGCCCAAAAGCCCCACCACCUCAAAUUCCAAUACCACAACCACCAAAACCUUCACCGGUCUCACCACCCCCGCUACCACCACCACCUGUUGCGUCACCACCACCAUUACCACCACCAAAGAUAGCACCAACACCAGCUAAAACACCUCCAUCCCCUGCACCAGCAAAGGCAACACCAGCACCUGCACCCGCACCCACAAAGCCGGCACCAACACCAUCACCUGUUCCUCCACCGCCAGCCGCAACUCCAGCACCAGCACCAGUGAUAGAGGUACCAGCGCCAGCGCCAGCGCCAGUGAUAGAGGUACCGGCUCCAGCGCCUGCACACCAUAGGCAUAGAAGGCACAGGCACAGACACAGACACAGAAGGCAUCAAGCACCAGCUCCAGCUCCAACAAUUAUUCGCAAAAGUCCCCCAGCACCACCUGAUUCCACAGCAGAAUCAGACACAGCACCAGCACCAUCACCAAGUCUGAAUUUGGUAAUAUCUUUGUUUGAUGAAAUAUCAAAUUACAAUUAC